CCGAGUCCUCUCUCUCCCUCCCUAUGUCCCCCGCGUCGAACCCGAACGACUGAGGGUAAUCGUCCAUACGAGCGAACGUCGGGGUGGAGUUGAAAGGCGUCAGGUGGAGUUGAAAGGCGUCGAGGUGUGUCGGGAUUGAAAGCGAGGGGCGGGCGGAGAGAUGCGCCGGGCAGAGUCCUUAAGGAUCGGCGUUCACCACGCCGACGCGGUCGUAUGGGGACCAGUGUAUAGAACGCGCCUCCCCCGCGCGUAAGAUAUCGCUUCUCCGUCCGUGCAUCGCGCGAAGUUCUCGCUCGAGCUCGUCGUCGUCGUCGUGGUCGUGGUCGUCGUCGUAACGGUCCUCGUAACGGUCGUCGUCGUGACGGUCGUCGUGACGGUCGAGCAACGGCGCGUCGAGCCCGCCGCUGGACGCUCCGCGUCCGCCUUCGCCGUGCUGCGCGGCGUCGGUUGACGUUCCGUCUUCUUCCGCCCGCCGGCGAACGCACACGACGCCGCGGAGGAUCAGAAAGAAGAAUCGCUUCGCGUCCGACGCCUUCGACGACGCGACGACUUCCCCUCGCGCGGGACGUCUCGCCGUCGCCGCGCGCAGCAGCGCGCGCCUCGCGCUCGGGUCGAGCUCGCGGAAGAAGGCGAGGCCGCGGACGCACGCGUACGCGAACUCGACGUCGUCGUCCGUGCGAUGAUGCGUGAUGGAGGACGCCGCCGGCGAAUCGAUUCGUCGACCGCUCGACGGCGUCGUCGUCCGCGCGGGCGUCGGCGUCGUCACCUCGAGGACGUCCACGCACUCGUCCGCGCGUAUCACGAACCCCGGGUCGCCGCCGCCGCCGCCGCCGCCGCCGCGGCGGCGGCUCGACGCCACCGACGGCGUCGCGCGCGCGCCGUCCCGCGCGUCGUCGUCGUCGUCGUCGUCGUCGUCGUCGCGCGUCGCCGGGUCCGCGAGCGUCGACGCGAGCUCCGCGAGCGCGACGACACCCGCGAGCUGCGCGUCCUCGUCCUCGGCGUGCGCGCGCAUCGCUCCCGCGAUCGCCUCCGCGGCGCCGGCGUCGAGGAGCCACCCCGCGCGUCGCGUCUCUCUCCGCGUCGUCGUCGUCGUCGUCGUCGUCGUCGUCGUCGUCGUCGUCGUCGUCGUCGUCGUCGUCGUCGUCAUGAACGUCGCCAUCUCGCGCAGCGACGCGACGACGGCCGCGACGUCGGACGGCGGCGCGUCGAGGACGCGCGCGACGAGCUCGCGCGCGCGCGCCUCGCCGCGCAGCGCGCGGGGCAUGCCCGCGGGAGGACGGCGACGACGCGCGACGAGCGACACCCCGCGCGGGUCGCUCGCGGCGCGCGCGACGUCGCGUCUGCGCGGCGAGAGAUUCGUAUCGACCGCCCUCAUCGCCUCGCGGCGCGUGCUGACGAUGCGAUGCGCGUCUCGCCCGUCCUCAACUUUGACCGGCUCAUCACUCGUCUUCGCUCGUCACUGAUCGAGCGCGCCCCGCGCGCGCCUCGCCCCAAACCUGCCCCCUCCGUCUCGAUGGAGUACCUCCAGAAAGCCGCCGCGAAGGCGAAGUCCGCCGCGAAGGCGGCUCGGUACGCGUACGAGGGCCUCAACGACGUCGAGAUCGCGGUGAUGGACGCGACCGAUAACGAAAAGUGGGGCCCGCACGGCGCGGACCUCAAGAAGAUCGCGAAUCUCACGCGCGAUCGCGAGAACUUGCACUACGUCAUGAAGACGCUUCGCAGGCGCUUAGAGCACCGCGACGAGGAGUGGCGCCACGUCUACAAGGCGUUGACGGUGAUGGAGUACCUCGUCGCGCACGGCGCGGAGGACUGCGUGCGCGAGCUGCGAAGGGACGCGCGCGAUCUCGAGCGACUGUCGGGCUUCAAGUAUAAAGAGCCGAACGGACGCGACCAGGGGAUCAACGUCCGGCAGAAGUCGCAGACGAUCGUCACGGUGCGCGCCGCGGCCGCCGUGGACGGCGCGCGCGCGCGGCCCUCCUCCGUCCGCGACCGCGCGCGUCCCCCGCCGCCGCGAGAUCCCGGCGCCCCGCGAACAGAAUCGCAUCUCUCGCGACGAACCCUAUCGACCGACUGACCGAACCGCGAUUCCUUCCUUCCUUCCUUCCUCCCUUCCUUCCUCUCUCUCUCUCUCUCGACAGCUCCUGAACGACCCGACCGCGAUCGCGGAGGCGCGCGACAAGGCGAUCAUGAACCGCGGGAAGUACGGCGGCAUCUCCGCGGCGGACGUUCGCGGCGGGUCGUACGGCGGGUCGCGCGGCGGGUCGUCGUCGUCGUCGUCGUUUCCCUCUUCAGGUGCGUUCUAUACACUGGUCCCCAUACGACCGCGUUCGCGUGGUGAACGCCGAUCCUUAAGGACUUUUGCCGGCGUCUCUCUCCGCCAACACCUCGGUUUCAAUACACGCCCUCGAAGCCUUUCAACUCCAACUGACGCCUUUCAACUCCACCCCGACGUUCGCUCGUACAGAACGGCCCUCGCACUCGCGAGGGGGCUCGUACAUCGACCGGCCGAACGCGAGCGCGAGCGACCGACCGAAGCCGCCGCCGCCGCCGCCGCCGCCGGUCGCGUCGUCGUCUUCGGGGCAAGAGCCGACCUUCGCGGCGAAGUUUGGCCGCGAGGACGACGCGGACUCGGACGGCGAGGGCGGAUGGGGCGCCGACGCGUCGGCGACGGCGGCCGCCGCCUCCGUCGCGAAGAGGGGCGGGACGUUCGUGCCGAAGAUCCGGUCGUCCGGGAACCUCGCGUCGCCGGUGCCGGCGACGAGCGCGGCGCGCGUCGUCGGGAUCGCGCCGCCGCCGGGGUCGGGCGUCAAGCCCGCGGGGGGCGGGGGCGGCGCCGACCUGUUCGGGGACUGGGGCGCGACGACGGNNNNNNNNNNNNNNNNNNNNNNNNNNNNNNNNNNNNNNNNNNNNNNNNNNNNNNNNNNNNNNNNNNNNNNNNNNNNNNNNNNNNNNNNNNNNNNNNNNNNCCGUUCAUGCCUCCCAUCAUCCCGCCGCCGCCCAUCAUGCCUCCGUUCAUGCCUCCCAUCAUGCCUCCGUUCAUGCCUCCGUUCAUGCCUCCGUGCAUGCCUCCCACCAUGCCGCCGCCGCCCAUCAUCCCGCCGCCGUUGCCCGCGCCCAUCGGCGCCCCCGGCGAGAGGCGGCGGCGGAUUGGACUUUUUCGGUCUCGACGCGCCGGUGGCGUCGUCCGCGGGGGCGCCGAUGGGCGCGGGCAACGGCGGCGGGAUGAUGGGCGGCGGCGGCAUGGUGGGAGGCAUGCACGGAGGCAUGAACGGAGGCAUGAACGGAGGCAUGAUGGGAGGCAUGAACGGAGGCAUGAUGGGCGGCGGCGGGAUGAUGGGAGGCAUGAACGGAGGCAUGAACGGCGGCAUGAUGGGCGGCGUGAACGGCGGCAUGGGCAUGGGAGGCAUGGGCGCCCCGGGAGGCAUGGGCGCCCCGGGAGGCAUGGGCGCGCCGAUGGGCGGCGGUCCCGGAAUGAUGGGCGGUGGACCAGGAAUGUCCGCGUCCUCCGGCGGCGGCGGCGGGAUUCCCGCGUCCGGCGGCUGGGGCGGGAUCCCCGGCGGGAUUCCGUCGUCGCCGGCGAACAAAGGCCAUCGACGGAACCAGAGCUCCGCGGGGUCAGACGCGCUGUCGGAGCUCACCGCGGACUUUCUCGCGAUGAGCGGCGUCAAGGGGAGUAAGCCGGGGGGCGCGCUGACGACCGGAAACACCGGCCCGGGCGCGCCCAUGCGAGGGUGACGGGUCGGCGGCGGCGGCGCGCGGCGCGGCGAAGCGACGGCUGGACUGGACGGAAAAAAUGAACAGAAAUCGUUCAGUUCAGUUCAGCUCGUUCUCUACUUCUCCCCUUCCGAACGCUUCUCGACCUUCUUCUUCACUCCACCCAUCGCGCCGACGACGAUGGCGGCCGCGCUCGAGGCGCGCCAGCGCGCGAUCCUCUCGCGGCUCGACGUCCUCGAGCGCGACGCCGUCGUCGACGGCGUGCGCGCGAUGUCGACGUCCGCGUCCGCGUCCACGUCCACGUCCGAGGAGGAGCACGCGGUGGACGAGAUUCCGGUCGCGUCCGAGGGGGUCGCGUUCCCUCUUCCGCGCGGCCCGCCGGAGACGUCGCUUCGCGACGACGGAUGCGACGUCGCGGUCCGCCUGAACGCGUUCCUCACGGCGCGCGGCGCCGCGCCGUCCAAGUUCGUCCGCGUCCCCGCGCAGUACUACGACGAGACGCUCGAGUUCCGCGCGUCGUGCCUGCGCGCGUCGUCGAUCCACCGCCUGUGCAAGACGAUCUGCAUGGAAAACACAAAGUGGAACGGCGACCCGUCGUCCUUCGGACGCGCGAACGCGCGGCAUUACGUCGUCGUCGUGCAGUACACCGCGCGUCUGUCGCAGCAGAAGCUCGAGCGAUGGCUGCACGAGCUCAACGCGGGCGCGGUCGCGAAGAGCCGGCUGCACAUGCGCGUCGCGAAGGAGGAGGACUCGGAGCGGAUCACGGGAUAUAAAACCGGGGGGGUCGUGCCGUUCGCGAUGCGCGAGGGAGACGCGACGCCCGUGGUGUUGAGUCACAGGAUAGCGGCGCUGGGCGACGACGCCGCGUUCUGGCUCGGCGGCGGGGAGGUCGAUCUGAAGCUUCGCGUGGGGGUGAAGGAUUUCGUGAGAGCCACGGACGCGUACCUCGUGGACUGCACCUACGACGACUGACGACGACGACGACUGCGUUCGACGCCGACGCCGCUGAAUAAAAAAGUAAAAUAAAACGCGCGCCCCGCCGCGCCGCGCGCGCGCGCGAACGCUCGCUCGAUGACGGUUACCAUCCACACCAUCGCGCGCUCGCUCGAUCGCUUCACUGCACGCUGAUGAGCUCGACGUCGAACACGAGCGUGCUGUUCGGAGGAAUCACCGGCGGCAUCCCGUUCGGUCCGUAGCCGUAGUCGGGCGUGCACGUGAGCGUCGCUUUCUCGCCGACGGACAUUUGCAUCAUGCCCUCGUCCCAGCCUCUGAUGACCUGCCCGACGCCGAUCGUGAACUGGAACGGGCGGCCGCGCUUGCGCGAGCUGUCGAACUCGCUGCCGUCGGUGAGGCAGCCUGCGGCGGGGCGGGGGUGGAGGAAGGGAGGGAGGGAGGAGAGGCGAAGAAGACGUGAGACGAGAUCGCGGCGAUCGGAGGAGGAGACGCCGCGCGGGGGGGCGACCGCGCGAGAGAGAAGCGAACGAACGCGAACGUCGGACGGAUCGCGGCGGGUCUGCGGUAACGCGCCGACGUAGUGCGCGGUGACGGUCUGCCCGGUCUUGGGGAACGUGACGCCGUCCCCGUGCGUCGUGGUCGCGAUCUCGACUCCCAUUUUCGGUCGUCGCGGGCGCGCGCGCGUGAUGGUGACGACGCGAACGCGCGACCUCGACUUUAUUUUCCAGCCAUCUCUCCAGAUAUCUCUCUUCUCUCCACCGAUCGAUCGACCGACGCGCGUCGCCCACCCCUGCCCUACUUCUUCCCUUUCUUCCCCCCGCCGCCCGCCGCCUCCGCGGCGAGCAUCUCUAUGAUUUCCGGGAAGCACUCCUCCGGCCGCAGCUUCGCGUGCUUCGCGUCGACGUGCUGCAUCAGCUGCGGCGACUUCGCGGUCACCAUCGCGGCCCAGCGGCACACUCGACAGACGUGCCCUCGGUUCGCGGCUUCGACGGACGCCUUCGCCUCCUUCGUGCUCGCGCUCUUCUUCCCCGCCGCGUCUUUCCGCUCCUUCUCCUUCUUCUUGAGCUGGAUCUGCAGCUUGUUCAUCGAGGAGUCGAGGAGGAGGACGAGCGGACGCGCCGCCGCGCGUCGCGCGCGUCGAUGAAGUUUCGGUUCUGUUGUUACCCUGACCGCCUGAUGACGCGGAGCGCAUAAUCGAGUGAGUCCGCGAUGCAUUGAUGCGUGAAAAAUGGAUCUGCGCUUUUCCCGCCCGUUUUGUCCGACCCGAGCUGGUUAACUCGUCAAACUCGAGUCGUUUCGCCCCGCUACAACGUACGCCUCUCGGAGGGAUUUCAAACCGGGGACGCGGCGACUCCUGGGAUAAUUCGCCGAACAACUACGAACCGAAGACGCGUCGUAGGCUGCGCGAAGUCGGCGCGCGCGAGGCCGCGCGCGCAGAGCGAACCGCGCGCGCGCGACGUCCACACGCGUCGGGACGCACCCGCGACGAGAAACGCGCACCGCAGCGUCCGUCGACACGAGCGCGCGCGUCCGUCUCCGGACGAACGAAAAACCCGCAUUGGCGCGUUAGCAGACGCGUUACAGGCACGCGGGAGAGGUCUCUCCGCUUCUGCUACGCGCGGGGACGCAAUCCAACCAUAUAAUCCGACGGCGACGGUCGCCAUAGCGUCCGUUCCCCGCCCGCGCGCGAUGGCGCCGGGGGCCUCGAACGCGCUCGCGGGCGCGUUCGAUAAGCAGGAAGAGCGCCAGGCGAUCGGGAACGUCUUGGGCGGCGCGGGCGAGGAGCGAAGGUGCGCGCGACCCUUCGACGACGAACGCGCGGUCUUUUCGAUCCUCUUUUCGCGCCCAAACCUUUCCCGCGCGCCGAUCCGCCCCGGGGGCGCGCGUAUCUCGCGCGCGCGGGGGGCGUCGCGGGUAUCGCGUCGCGGCGACGGCGUCGUGGGCGCGAACGGCGGGGGAACGGCGCGGGGUUUAGGUCUCGCGCGCGCGCGGUCGCGCCCGCGAGGCCGCGGAGACGGGCAGGGAAAAAACCAAAUUCGUCCUCGGCGUUCGCGCUCGAGGAUUAAACGUUCAUUCAUUCAUUCCAUCUUUCGUCGUCGUCGUCGUCGCGUCACCUGACCGUCUCCUCUCUCCCCUCCCUCCCCCUCCCUCCCAUCCCAAAACCCCCGCAGCGAGCCGUCGUUCGUGAACUACGCGAACUACGCCCAGGCCGCGGGCGGACCCGGCGCGCUGCUCGGCGACGCGUCGGCGUCCGCCGCCAACACGACGACGUCCGGAAAGACCAUCCCGGCGCCCAACGUCCCGGUCGGGACAACAAAAAAUAACGCCACCUCCGCGACCGUUACCCGCACCACAAACGCGUGGGUCUCCGCGCCGCCGCCGCCGCCGUUCGGCGGCUUGCGCGGAGGGUUAUCGCGCGCGGUGGCGACGGCGACGGCGACGGCGGCGGCGGGCGGCGGGGACCCGUCGACGCCGCCGGGGGCCCGUCCGGGGAGCGCGCGGCACGCGCGACGCGCGAGCGCGGACGGGUCCCCGAACGGCGGCGGCGCGGCGGACGAGCUCGCGAGCCAGCUCGCCGGCGUCUCCGUCGCGGAAGGCGGCGGCGGCGGCGGCGGCGGGUCCCCGAGCGGGCAAGCCGACCUAGGGUCGCCGCCGACGCACGUCGGUAUGGCGGCGCCGCCGAUGCCCGCGGGCGCGCCGCCUUUACCGUGGGGCCCGCGCGGCGGCGGCGGUCCCGGCGGUCCCGGCGGUCCCGGCGCGCAGCAGUUCGUCCCGCCCGCGCCGAACGGCGCGUGGGGCCCCGGCCCCGGGUCGCCGAACUCGGCGCAACAGCAACAGCAACAACAGAUGCAAGCCGCCAUCCUCGCCGCGCAGGCGGGGUACCACCCGGACGCGGCGCAGUACGGCGCGCCGCACCCCGCCGACGCGUACGGCGGGCAUCACCCGGGCGCUUGGAACGUGAGUGGUCAGCACGGCGGCGCGCCGCAUCCCGGCGACCCCGGGGGCCCGCACGCGGGGAUGCAUCCGGGGAUGGACCCGCGGCAACAGCAGGCGAUCGCGAUGCAGCAGCAGGUGCUUCUCUACACUGGUCCCCAUACGACCGCGUCGGCGUGGUGAACGCCGAUCCUUAAGGACUUUUCCCGUCGUCUCUCUCCGCCCACACCUCGCUUUCAAUACCCGCCUUCGGCGCCUUUCAACUCCAACUGACGCCUUUCAACUCCACCCCGACUUAACUUCGUAGCAGCACAUGCACGCGGCGAUGAUGUACGCGCAGGCGCAGGCGCAAGGGGCCGCGGGCGGGAUGACGGGGAUGCCGCCGGGAGGGAUGUCUCCUUUCCCGCCGCCGCCGAGAGGCGCGCAUCCCGGCGGUCACGGGAUGCACUCGCCGCCGGGGCCGCACGGGCCGCACCAGGGGCCCCAGAUGCAAGGGAUGCAGGGAUCCAUGCAGCACUUCGAUCAGAUGUACGCCGCGGCGUACUAUCAACGGCUCGCGGAGAACGGCGAUCCGAACGCCGCGGCGAUGGCCGCGGCGGCGAUGAUGAACGCGCAGGGGAUGGGACCCGGAGGGCACGGCGGGAUGGGCGGCGCGUGGAACCCGAACCACAGAGGAAACGGCGGCGGCGCGAGGAACGGCGGGCGAAGAGGCCGCGGCGGCGGCGGCCGCGGCGGCUCGGGCGGCGGCGGAUACGGGAUGCAUCAAAACGGCGGCGGUCCGGACGGGUACGGCGGUCACGGCGGUAGAGGCCCGAUGAAGCAGAUGAGCCCUCUGCUCGAGGAGUUCAAGAACAACAAAGCGCGGCGGUUCGAGCUCGGCGACCUCGCGGAGCACGUCGUGGAGUUUUCCAGCGACCAGCACGGCUCGCGGUUCAUUCAGCAGAAGCUCGAGACGGCGGCUCCGGAGGACGCGCAACUCGUGUUCGACGAGGUCCUCCCCGCCGCGCACGCGCUCAUGACGGACGUGUUCGGGAACUACGUCGUGCAGAAGUUCCUCGCGAACGGCACCCCGGAGCAGAUCGACGCCAUCGCGGGCGAGCUCAAGGGCCACGUCUUGUCGUUGUCGCUGCAGAUGUACGGAUGUCGCGUGAUUCAAAAGGCGCUCGAAGUGAUCGACGAGGACGCGCAGUGCGCGCUCGUCGCCGAGCUCGAGGGCCACGUCUCUCGGUGCGUCCGCGACCAGAACGGCAACCACGUCGUGCAGAAGUGCAUCGAGUGCGUGGCGCCGGCGAAGAUUCAGUUCAUCGUCGAGGCGUUCUACGGCAACGUGUUGUCGUUGUCCACCCACCCGUACGGCUGCAGAGUGAUUCAGGCGCGUUCUAUACACUGGUCCCCAUACGACCGCGUUGGCGAGGUGGACGCCGAUCCUAAAGGACUUUGCCCGGCGAUUCUCUCCGCCCACUCCACGCUUUCAAUCCCCGCCCUCGACGCCUUUCAACUCCUACUGACGCCUUUCAACUCCACCCCGACAUUCGCUUGUAUGGAAUGGCCCUCAGAGGGUCUUGGAGCACUGCACGCCGGAGCAAAAGAGCGAGGGGAUCAUGGACGAGAUCCUGAGAGAGGCGACGAGCUUGGCGCAGGACCAGUACGGGAACUACGUCGUGCAGCACGUGUUGCAGCACGGCGGCGAGGGCGAGCGCAAGACGAUCCUGCAGACGCUCGCGGGUCAGAUCGUUUUGCUCGCGCAACACAAGUUCGCGUCCAACGUGAUUGAAAAGUGCCUCACGUACUGCGGCGCGAGCGAGCGGCAGAUCAUGAUCGACGAGAUGCUCGGGAAAACUGACGAAAACGAGCCGUUACAGGCGAUGAUGAAGGACCAGUUCGCGAACUACGUCGUCCAGAAGCUCCUCGAGGUGUGCGACGACGGGCAACGCGACCAGCUUCUCACGCGGAUGCGCGUGCACUUGGGCAACUUGAAGAAGUUUACCUACGGGAAGCACAUCGUCGCUCGCGUGGAGAAGUUCGUCGCGUCCGCAUCGACGGCGGCGAAUUCGGCGGGGAUCGAACCGGCGGCGACGGCGACGGCGAGCGAGGGGGGCGAGGACCAGGACGACGCGCGACCGGCGGCUGGUUCGGCGGAGACGGGGUUUGGAGAAGAAGGCGACGGCGGCGAGGACGACGCGCAGCUGUCGUCGUCGGAGGGCGGGAAAUCGGGCGGCGGGGGCGCGGAGGCGUACGGUGCGUCCGCGGACGUCGGCGAGCCCGCGGUCUCGGCGUCGUAGCGCGGCGACGACGCGCGGGCGUUUCGCGCUCUAGUCCCUUAGCUCCAGCAGUCUAGCGCCGUCGGGCCGGCGGCCUCGCGUUUCAUCGUACGUCGGAACUCGAGCACUCCUGUCGUCGCGCACCGCUUCGUAUCGCUUGUGCGCUUGCGCUUGCGCUUCGUCGUUAAAUGUCGUGCAGUAAAAAGUCGUUCCGGUCAUCAGGUCGCCUUCUCUGCUCCUCCUCACGUCGCGAUGCGCGCGAACGCGAACGUCACCCUCCGCGGGUCGCGAUGCGUCCUCGUGCCGUACCGCCCCGAGCACGUCGAGACGUACCACGCGUGGAUGCUCGACCCUGAGACGCUCGCGGCGACGGCGUCGGAGCCGCUCACGAUGGAGGAAGAGAUCGAGGCGCAGCGGUCGUGGGCGAACGACGAGACGAAGCUGACGUUCAUCGUCCUCGACGUCGACGCGGCGGGAGACGCGCGCCGCGACGGCGACGGCGACGGCGACGGCGCGCCCCGCGCGGACCUCGGCGUCAUGUGCGGCGACGUGAACUUGUACUGGAACGUCGCGGACGACGUCCUCGCGUCGGCGGAGAUCGAAGUCAUGGUCGCGGAGAAGCGCUCGCGACGGAAAGGCAUCGCGAGCGAGGCGCUCGAGAUGUGCAUGGCGUACGCGUGGAAGACGAUGCACGUCACGACGUUCGUCGCGAAGAUCGGGUUGGGAAACGCGGCGUCGCUGGCGCUCUUCACGGAGAAGCUCGGGUUUCGCGAGACGAGCCGCGAGACGCGGAUCUUCCGUGAGGCGACCGCGGAGCUGUCGUUGGGGCUCCCGACGAGACGCCGACGCGACGACGGCGGCGACGGCGGCGACGGCGGCCAAUCGGAGCGGCGUCACACGUGGCGUCCGGGGAGCUCGGAGAAGGUGCUCGACGACGAGCGCGCGCGCGUGCGCUUGGAGAGGAAGUGGGAAGACGUCGUCGUCGGCGCGUACGACGAGGAGGUGGAGGAGGAGGAGGAGGAGGACGGGGGUGGGGGUGAAGACGCGUGCGCGCUGUUCGAGGUGCGUUUUAUCUCGCGCCGGUCCCCGUACGACCGCGUUCGCGCGGUGAACGCCGUUCCUUAAGGACUUUCUCGCCCGGCGUGUCUCUCCGCGCACCCCUCGCGUUCAAUACCCACCCUCGACGCCUUUCAACUCCGCUUCUGACGCCUUUCGACUCCACCCCGACGUCGCUUCCUAUGGGCAACGACCCCGAGUUCGUCGACGCGCACGCGCGGCUGUUCCAGGACGCGAUCGCGAAGGAACACCUCACGGACGUCGACGCGACGUUGCUCGCGGCCGCGCACCCGAGGCUCGCGGCGCUCGUAGGCGCGGACGUGUCGGACGUGUCGGACGUGUCGGACGCGCUCGGCUCGGAUUUUUUCGAGCGCCCGUCGCUCUUGGCGCACGCGUGUCGGGGAGGUGAGACUGCUUCCCAUACGAACCCGUUCGCGUGGUGAACGCCGUUCCUUAAGGACUUUUCCCGUCGUCACUCUUCACCCGCGCUUCCCUUUCAACGUUUGACCGGUAAGACGUUCGACUGACCGAUCGCUUCACAGACGUCUGGACCGAGCGCGUCCUCGUCCGCGCCGCCGCCGUCGGCACCCUCCGCGCGACGCAGUUCCUCCGCAAGCAUCAUCCCGGCGGCGGUCCCGGCGGCGGGUGGCCCGUCGACGCGGUCGCGGCGGCGGCGGCGCGGACGGACCUGUCUGAGGUGCGUCCUAUCUCACACUGGUCCCCAUACGGCCGCGUCGCCGCGGUGAACGCCGAUCCUUAAGGACUUUUCCCGGCGUCUAUCUCCGCCCAUCCCUCGCGUUCAGUUCAAUCCCGACACACCUCGACGCCUUUCAACUCCGCUUCUGACGCCUUUCAACUCCACCCCGACUUCGAUUCGUGUGGAACGACCCGGAGGACGACGCGCGCGACCUGCUGGCGUUUCUGCUGUCCUGCCGGCCCGAGGGGGCGUGGCGCGAGUGUUCGCCGCGCGUCCGCGGGCGGUGGGAGCGCGCGGCGAGGGGGCGCGCGAGCGUUCGCGAGCUGUUCUUGGAUCACGGUCUCGUGGAGUAGCGACGACGCCUCGGGGGGCGGGCCUCGGGGGGCGCUCGGGGGUAGUCUUAGGUAGCUACUAGAGCUAGGGCUGGUAAAACCUGGUAACCUUACUGUACUUCGCCGGGCGCUGCUCGGACACGACAGAGCAUAGCAGCGGAGUGUGGAUUUUCGCGCCAGCUGGCUGGGACUGAGUUCGCGCUGUUGCUGCUGCGACUACGACUUUCGGUGUCGUGGCGAGAAGGGGCGCGCGCGCGCGCACUCCUCGACGCGCGCGCCAUCCCACCCCGAGCGUCAUGGGCAGCAAAUCUACGCGCCGGAAGCAUUCUCCUCCUGAUCCGAGCGCCUCCGACACCACCCUCGACGACGUCGUCGCCGAGCCCGGCCUCGCGUGCCUCGUCUUCUCGUUCCUGCCGAACGCGCGCGACCGCUGCGCGCUCGCGCGCGUCGGCCGCGUCUUCCGCGACGCGGACGCGCAGGUCGCGUCGUUGCCCGCGGCGUUCGACUUCGCCGGCUACGAUCCGACGCAGCGAGGAUACUAUAGUAGCGUUGUGAUCAAGUAUCUGAUGCGCCACGACGGCGUGCUGAGCUUGCCGAAGGCGCGCGUCGAGGAGCUUCUCGCGUCGGUGACACCGCGGUUGCCGGGAAAAAUUUACGACCCAAGAGCUAUCGUUCCACGUGGUGUCCAACCCACGAGCGAGAAGGCCAAAGAUUUCUGUGGCUGGGCCGCUCACGCUGGCGAACUCGAGCUGCUCAAGUGGCUGCGAGAGCACGAGUAUCCUUGGGGUGUUACUUGCAUGAAUGCCGCCAAGACAGGUCGCCUGGACGUUCUCCAGUGGGCGCGAGAGAACGGCGCUCCGUGGAACGAAACGUACACGCACGACAUAGUUUGUGCCGGCGCGGCAUUCGCUGGUCAUCUUCACGUUCUGAAAUGGGCGCGAGCGAACGGCGCGCCUUGGGACGAGAACACUGCUCUCUCGUGUGUUCUUGGAGAUCAGAUGGAGACCCUAGUAUGGGCUAUCGAAAACGGAGCUCCGGUGAACAUUCAAGUCUAUGUUGUGGCGGCAAGACGAGAACCCGCGAGAACCCGCAUGGUGGAAAUACUCGGGGAAAGCAUGUGGCCCGACGAGUAACGACACGGAGUGUGGAACACGACCACGAACGAUCGCGACGCGAAGCGUAUAGCAAAGAAUAAAGAAUGUACUACCAUGAACCGCGACUACACCUUGUACACGUGCUAAUCAAAGUCCGCGGCGCCGUGCCGCUCCUCCAACACAAGGUUACAGUAUGCUGGUAUCGACCAGAUCGUGUGUCAUCCUCGCGUGAACGUUCGCCGCGUUCAUCCGUUGAGGAAACGCGGAAAGCGCACAGAUCGCGGCACGUCCGCGGCGCGAUGAGCGCGGCGACGCGCGCGGCGGCAUCGCCCGCGCGGGCGUUGAGAUCAGAGAGGAUCGCUCGGAGCCGCCGCCGGACGACGACGCGACGCGCGCGCGCGGUCGCGCACCCCGGCGCGCCGAGCGACGCGGACCCGUCCUCGUCAUCGUCCGCCUCCGCCUCCGCGCCGUCGUCGUCGUCGCCGUCGCUGGACGCGAUCUUAUCGAACGUCCGCCGCGCGAUGGGCGUCUCCCCGACGCGUCGUCGCGCGGGCAUGGUCUGGGGCGAGGGCGUCAACCUCGGGAUGCCGGUGCGAUGGUGCAUGCGACACGACGGCGCGUCGUUCGCGGAAGAGGCGGUGGGCCCGCAGCUGUCCUACGCGUCCGGACACGCGGAGGGCGAGCGCGAGGUGUGGGAGACGGACUUCUCGGGGUACACGCAGACGCUGCAGCUGGACGAUCACGAGGCGGCGCUUCUCGCGGGGUGGACGCGCACGGGGUGGUGGGUCACCGCGGACGCGUCGAGAGCGCUCGAGCUCGAGCUCGUCGAGGAGGAGGAGGAGGAGGAGGAGGAGGAGGAGGACGUCUCCGACGAAGAUUCCGCCGCUGGCGUCGUCACGGUGUCGCUGAGACUGCGCGACGGCGGCGUCAUCGCCGCGCGCGUCGCGAUCGACACGACGACGUGGCUCCCUGUGGGGAUGAAGCUCAACGUGUGCGGCGACGAGGAGGCGUGGACGUUUGAGGGGUGGCACGACGCGCUCGACGGUCCGAGUUCGAGUUCGAGCGGUUCUUCGGAGCGGCGAGGCGGGAUGUUGUACCCGAGGACGACGACGCUGCGAGGCGCCGCGGGGGGCACGCAGACGUUCACGCAGACGGGCGCGCGCGCGAACGCGGGGGUGAAGCCGAGCUGGUUCCAGGUGAGACGGAGGAGAAGACCGUUUCCCGUGCGAUCCCGUUCGCGCGUCGUUCCCGGAGGACCGACUGACUUUUCACUUCACCCCGUCCGGAGUUUCCGAAGCGUCGCAUCGAAUCGAACGUCUCACGUCCCGCGCUCGCGCCCGACCGCAGAAACCGAUCGGCGAGAACCGCGGCUCGGUCCGGUUCAACGCGAACUUACCCCCCGCCGUGCCGAUCGAGUCCGCGCGAUCGUCGCACGUACUCGUGCGCCCGACGAUCGACGGCCUCGACGUCGGCCCGUUCAUCUUGGACACGGGCGCCAGCGGCCUCGUGAUCUCGUCGAGGCGCGUUCUAUACACUGGUCCCCAUACGACCGCGUUCGCGCGGUGAACGCCGUUCCUUAAGGACUUUGCCCGGCGCAUCUCUCCGCCCACCCCUCGCUUUCAAUCCCCGCCCGCGUUGCCUUUCAACUCCAUCUGACGCCUAUGAACUCCACCCCGACAUCGCUUUGUAUGGAACGACCCUCACAGAGCCGCGUCGCGUUUAAAACUCCUCGCGUUCGGCGAGGUCUUCGUCAGCGGCGUCGCCGGGAAGGUGCCUUGCCGCUUCCGCAGGGCGAAGAAGCUGCGGUUGGGUCCGAUCACGGUCGACCGUCCGGUGUUCAUGGAGAUGGACGUCGGCGGGAUCGUGUCCGGGAGCGCGGAGACCGUCGCCGGCAUCGUCGGCUUCGACGUCUUCAAGAGCGCGGUGUUGGAGGUGUCGCCGCGCGGCGAGGAGGUGUAUCUCCACGACCCGUCGACGUUCGUCGCGCCCGCGGCGUGGCGUUGGAAUCCGCUGCUCAUGGUCUCGAACGUCCCGCACGUCGCGGCGACCUUUUCCGGCGCGCCCGGCGGGGCGCCGCAGAUUUUCAUGAUCGACAGCGGCGCGGGCGGCGCCGACGUCAUCUUCCACGCGCGCGCCGUGAAACGGUUGCGUCUCGACCGUUUACUUCCGCCGCCCGGGCAGGAGAGACGCGGGACGUCGGUGCGAGGCGUCGGCGGGAGCGACGGCGAGAGCUCCGGGAGCACGCGCGCGUGGCGCGCGAAGCUGCCGUGGUUGACGCUCUGUCGCGAGCUUCCGGGCGGCGGAGGAGAGGGCGACGACGACGACGGCGACGACGACGACGGCUCCGCGUCGGCGCUGCGAAGAAACGGCCUCGGCGUCUCCGCCGCCGCCGCCGCCGCGGUCGCCGCGUUCGAACACGGGGAGGAAGACGGAACGUCAACCGACGCGUUCCAGGAGACGCGUGGCGACGACGACGACGACGCGCCCCCGCGCGUCCUCCCCGGGGACGGCGGCGCGUUCGCCAACCUCGACGUCUUGCUCGCCUCCGACGCCGGCUUUGAUUUGUCCGAACACUCCUGCGGGCUCCUCUGCGCCAACGCGCUGAACGCUCGACGGGUCGUGUACGACCUCCCGAACCGCCGGUUCGCGCUGCUUCACGACGGCGUGGACGAGACGCGGGGCCUGGAUGCUCCCGGGAUGCGUGGGUUAUCCACCGGGGUGAUCGCGCUCAUGGGGGGCAUCCUAGGCGGCGACGGCGGGUUCGACGUGUUUUGAUCAUUUGGAAUUGCUUGAUUAUCGUGAGUUGCUAUUAUUCGGUCGAACGGUCCUCGCCUUCCUCUACGCGCGUGUCCUCACGCGUCGACGCGCGCGUCGUUUUCUCGCGCGCUUCCCACCCUCGAUCUCUCCUUCUUCGCCGCGGACGCUUCCAUUCUGAGCGCCUCGCGCAUCUCGUCGUCGUCCUCGCCGUCCUCGGUCCCCUCCGUCUCCGUCUCCGGCUCGGGCUCCGAAGAGAACAACGCGCCGCGCCGCCGCGGCUUCUUCGCGUCGGCGAGGUCGAACGUCAGCGCGCGCGACGACCUCGCGGGCGUCCUCGCGACGACGCCGCCCUCCGGGAGCGGCGGGAGCUUGUGGAACCUGCGCUCGCGCGCUUUCCCGCCGUUUUCCCCGUUUUCCCCGUCCCCGCCGUCUUCCCCGCGGGCCCCGUCCCCGCCGUCCCCGCCGUGGUACCACCCGUCGAACGCCACCUUACAGAUCGGGCAGUUCCUCGCGCGUCGCGUCGCCCACCCCUCGACGCAGUCCACGCACAGCGCGUGGUUGCACCCGCUCAGCAGCGCCAUGUCGUCGCGGCUCUGCUCGCCGUCGCACAGCUUGCAUCGCGCGCGCGCGUUCGACGCGAGCUUCCCGCCCAUCGUCCGCGCGGCGCUGAACGGCAGCGGCAGCGGGUCGAGGAUCGCGCGCGCCGCGUCGUCCGCGCCGCCGCCGCCGCCGUCGUCGUCGACGACGCGGUCGCGGUCGCGUCCCCACCACGCGUGCCUCACCCCGGGGGUCUCGAGCGGCAGCGACGACGACGACGGCCGCGCGCGCUUGCGGCUCGCCAUCGUGGACGUCGUCGCGUCGCCCCCCGAGCAGCGCGCGCCCGUCUCCGUCUCCGUCGCCGUCGCCGUCGCCGUCGCCGUCUCCGUCAGAUCCGUCUCGACGUCGACGUCGCGCGCGGACGCCUCCUCCGCGGGGACGUCCUCGGAGAAGACCGCCCCGGGGGAGACCUUGCGCGCGCUGUCGGGCGCGGGGUCAGGAGCNNNNNNNNNNNNNNNNNNNNNNNNNNNNNNNNNNNNNNNNNNNNNNNNNNNNNNNNNNNNNNNNNNNNNNNNNNNNNNNNNNNNNNNNNNNNNNNNNNNNNNNNNNNNNNNNNNNNNNNNNNNNNNNNNNNNNNNNNNNNNNNNNNNNNNNNNNNNNNNNNNNNNNNNNNNNNNNNNNNNNNNNNNNNNNNNNNCCCACGCGCGGAAGGAAUGAUUUAUCAUACUCGCCGUCGCGGACUCCCACGACGCGCGCGCACGCGUCGUCCAUCGCCCCCGUCGUCAUGACGCGCGCGACGCGCGUCGCGCUCCCGACGACGCGCCCGCGAUGCGCCGUCGCGGCGCGCGGCGGCGCGCGCCGCGUCGUCGCCGUCCCCCGUCGCGACGUCGGCGCUCGACGCGCGGGGGCGAACGCGAUCGUCAUCGUCCGCCGCGCGUCGACGAUUCGCGCGCGCGCCGCCGCGCCGCCGGGCGACGCGCCGAAGCUCGAGGCGACCGCGGGUGCGCGGCGAACGGCGACUCCCUCGCGCGCUCGACGACGCGUCGCGCGACGCCGCGUGGCGUCGUCGAGCGCGCGACGCGCGUCCUCCCCCGAUCGUCCCGUCCUCCGCCUCGCGCAGAUGCAUCCGUUCGUCUCGGCGUCUCGGAGACGUCGGCACGCGACGACGACGGAGGGACGGACGGACGCGGGGUGACGAUAUCCUCACCGCUUGGGCUACGCCCUCGGGCGAUGGGCUGACGCGACAUUCCACAAGAGAUUUCUGACCGCGCCGUCCUUCUUCCGCGUCGCGCCGCGGCGUCGCGCGGCGGCGUCGCCGUCGCCGUCGACGCGUCGAGUCGACGAUUCGAUCGAGUCGUCGUUCGUUCGGUUUGGUUUUCUUCCAGUCGCUCGUCGCGAUCACUCCUCCGUCCACGCCGACUAAUUGCCCAUACGCGUCGUCGUCCGUCCGUCCGCCCCGCCAGCUCACUCCGAGGAAGACAAAGCCUACAUGCGCCGCGCGCUCGAGCUCGCGGCGACGGCGACCGGGCAGACGCAUCCGAACCCGCUCGUGGGCUGCGUCGUCGUGAAUGACGACGGCGACGUCGUCGGCGAGGGCUACCACCCGAAGGCGGGCGAGCCGCACGCGGAGGUGCGCCGACGUGGACAGAUAUCGACCACGAUUCAUGCCACGUCACCGAAUAUCUAACGCAAAUAUCCGCCACGUCACCCUAUCCGACCAAUCAGGUGUUCGCGUUGCGCGCGGCUGGCGACGCCGCGCGCGGCGCCACCGCGUACGUCUCCCUCGAGCCGUGCGACCACUUCGGUCGGACGCCGCCGUGCUCGAGAGCGCUCGUGGACGCGGGCGUGCGCCGCGUCGUCGUCGGGUUCGUGGACCCGGACCCGCGCGUGAGCGGCGGGGGGAUACGGACGCUGUUGGACGCGGGGAUAGAGGUGACGGUGGGGUGCGAGGAGGCGGCGUGCCGGGAGAUCAACGCCGACUUCAUCGCGAGGAACACGAAGAAGCGGCGAUAGACUAGUGAGCAUGAUAACCGCUCGUCGGGAGCCGUUACGUGUUAUGUAUUAUGGCAUGAGAAGAGUGCGUAUUAUAUUCUACUGUAACGAGAGGGCGUGGUUUAUGAGACCCGCCGCCUCGCCGCUUCUUAUUAACGACGCGGCGUCAUCACCGCCGCCCGCACUGGAGCAGCGACCCCGCGCCGAGGAAGAGCCCGAAGAGGGCCGCGCUCCCGAGGGUCGUCCGCCCCACGUGGCGGAUCUUGUACGCGAACCCGGGGAUCUGAUCGAUCGAGGCGCGCGGGAAGAGACGGAUGAGACGCGUCGGCGGUCGGCGACGGAGGAGGAGGAGGAGGAGGAGGAGGAGGAGGAGAGAGGAGACGACGCGUCGAGCGCGAGAGACGACGAUCGGAUCUGGCGUGAACGAUGGGGCGAUCGCCGCGACGCGGGGGUCGGGGGGACGCACGUAAUUCACAGCCUCCCACGAGCCGUACGCCGAGCCGACGGCGGCGCCGACGGCGGCGCCGAGCCCCGCGCCGGAGAUCACCCGGUUCGCGCACCUCUCGUCGAGCAUCGACGUCGGUCCGCGCGGUUGGGGAAUGAUGAAUGCGACGACGGCGACGACGCGUUUACAAAUUCGCCCGCGCGACGACGAGAUCUCAGAGAAUCGCCCGCCGCGCCCCGCGUCGACGUCAAACGCCGCGGCACGUCGCCACGCCGCGGUCGCGACCCCCGAUCGCGCCCAUGAAACGCUCGCACCCCGACGGCUCGGAGAACGACUCCGCGGUCACGGCGACGCGCGCGCUCGCGCGCGACGCGCACGUCGCGCGCGUCGCGCCGUCGCCCGGUGGAUCCUCGGUCGUCCGCCGCGCCGCCGCGGAGCUCGCGAUCGACACCGAGGACGAGCUCAGCGACGAGGAGCUGCGCGACGAGGACGUCGCCGCGCUCGAGGAGGAGGAGGAGGAGGAGGAGGACGCGAAGGACGACGCGCGCCGCGGCGGUAACGGCGGCGCCGGCGGCGAGGCGUUCGCGGACGCCCCGGACACGGUCCCGCAGGAAGAGCUCAUCCGGCGACGACUCGGUCGAAUGAAGGAGCUGCACUCGCUGUACAACGCGCAGUACUGGCGCCUGCUCGAGGAUCUUCGACGGCGGCACUACCGGUACACGCUUCGGAACGGGCACGGGGGGAAGAAGGAAGACGCGAGCGCGGAGGCGGCGGAGCGCGAGAGGGAGGGGCUCCCGAGCCAGUGCGAUUCCGAAGGAUGCGACCGAAAGCCGCUGCCGCUGUCGCGGCACUGCUUGGAUCACAUCCUGUUAGAUCCCAAACAACAGCUGUACGUCAAGGGCGUGGACGGAGAGGAGGACUGCGGGCCGGUGCUGUGGACGGAGGACGAGAGCGGCGGAGAGGCGGGGGGGGUGGCGAAGGCGGAGGCGACGCCGGCGUGAACGCCGCGGAGGGGGGGGAGGGGGGUGGGACUCGAGCAUCAUAGCAAAGCUCUCAAAACGUACGAAGGUAUCGUAGUAGUCUGCCGGAUGACGCGGACGCGCGCGCGCUGUGUAGGUCACGUCCAUUCGAGGACACGACCGCUACCUACUCGUACGCCGGGCGAAUCUCUCCGCCGCUGUCGCUCUUCGCGAGACCUGAGCUCUGCCUCAGCAGCGCCCCGCCCGGGCUCCCCCCGCCGCCACCGCCGACGCCGACGCCCGCGCCCAUCUCGAGGAGGCUCUCUCGAGACGAGCGCUCCCCCACCAUUCCCAAUCCGCCGCCGCGCUUCUCCUUCCCGCCGCCGCCGCCCGGCGGCCCCAUCCCCCCCGCCCUGACGUCCUUCGUGACGUGAAGCACGAACACCCCGCUCAGAAUCGUCGCGAACCCGCACAGCUGCGACGUCACCUCCACCGCCGAUUGCCUCUCGUAGUCUUUGAACAUCACCGAAGACGCCAACAGCGUCAACGUCGUGAAACCGACGUAAUACACCGGCGUGACGACCGCGGCGUUGAAGACGUCCAGGGCUUUGUUCAGGUAGUUCAUCUGCGUCACGACGCACGCGGCCACGACGGCGACGCACGCCCACGUUUCCGCGUACGCGAACUGAUUGCUCCCCGCCCACGUCAGUCGCAACGCGAUGCCGAGCGCCUUCACGCCCAUCACCGAGAGCGACCCCGCGAGCGAGCAGAUCCCGAUGGGGACGACGAGGACCUGCGAAGGACGCGAUCGAUUCGAUUCGAUGAUCGGCGGGGGUGGCGGGCGACGUGGUCAGACUCGAAUCGGAUUUGAUGACGUGGCAUAUCGUGCGGCCGCGAGCGAAGCGCGCGAAGAGACGCGGCGUCGACGUCGCGCGCGCGCGUGCCUUCUCCCCGACGCGAGGGUACACGCUCGUGAUGAGGUACGACGUCAGGCACGUCGCGAACGCGGCGUACGUCGCGAACGUCGGCGCCGACGCCAUCUCCCACAGCUGACGCACGUCGCGUAUCGGCCGAUCCUCCGGCGCGUGCAUGACCACGGACAGCGACCCCACGACGCACAGGAAGCACCCGAGCCAUCCGAAUCCGUUGAGGCGCUCGCGGAGGAUGUGGUGCGAGAGCACCGCGGCGACGAUGAUGGAGAGCGCGCCGAGAGGCGUGACGAUGACCGCGGGCGCGUACGCGUACGCCGCGAAGUUGGCGACCUCGCCGACUAUCAUGGUGAUCAUCCCACCCCACCACAGCGGCUCGCGGAGGUAGCCGAACCCGCCGCUGCCCGCGCGGAGUCCCCCGCGCGCGCUCGCGAGCUUCAGGCCCUUCUUCUUGACGAUGAAGCUGCUGCCGAUGGCGAGCGAGGAGGACAUCGCGAGCGCGAUGCCGAAGGUGAGGUCGGACGACGGCGACGUCGACGCGGGGCGCGUCGCCAUCGCGGCCGGCCGGGGGGACGACGCGGCGCCCGGGGCGCGCGCGUGGAGGAAAUGAUGAUGCGAUCGACGAUGUCGAACGCGUUCUGGUCGCGUCGCGCUCACGUUUAUCCGGCCACGUCACUCGUCGCCGCGCGCGCGAGCGAUGACGACGUCCACGGCGUCCUCGCGAUGCGUCGCGCCGCGCGCGCGCGCGCCCGCGCCGCGCGCGUCGCGCGCCGCCGCGCGGCUCGCUCGACGCGGCCCUCCUCCUCCUCGCGUCGUCGCCGUCUUCGCCGUCGCGACGACGACGACCGGAUCCCAGGCGCCCUCGGACGACGACAGUCCGUCGAGAUCCUCGUCGACGCGGAGGACGAGAUCCUCGUCCGCCGCCUCGCGCGCGCCGCGCGUCGUCGUCCUCGGCGGCGGCUUCGGCGGACUCUACACCGCGCUCAAGCUCGACGCGCUCUCCUGGGACGCCACGGUCGGGGGCCCGCCCAGACCGCGCGUGACGCUCGUCGACCGCGCGGACGACUUCGUCUUCAAGCCCAUGCUCUACGAGCUCGUCAACGAGACGAUGCGGCCGUGGGAGGUGGCGCCGUCGUUCGCGGAGCUCCUCGCGCCGACCGCCGUGCGCCUCGUGAAGGGCGUCGCGGUCGACGUGCGCGAAGACGACGACGCGGAGGGCGAGGGCGAGGGCGGCGCCGGCGUCGUGACGCUGAUGGACGGGACGACGGUGCCGUACGAUUACCUCGUCUGCGCGGUGGGCGCGAACGCGUCCGACGCGGGGGUCGCAGGCGCGAAGGACUUCGCGAUCCCGCUGAACGACGCGAAGGACGCGUCGAGGCUCGCGGGGGCGCUGCGGGAUAUCGAGCGCGCGGCGGAUAAGACGGAGGAUGAGGCUCGCCGCCGCGUCGCCGUCGUCGGCGGCGGCCUCGCCGGCGUCGAGCUCGCGGGCGUCGUCGCCGAGCGAACGCGAGGCGUCGCCACCGUCGAGCUCUUCACGCCGAGCGGCGGGAUCAUGCGAGGCGCGCCGAGCGGCCAGCGGGCCGCCGCGACGCGCGUGCUCAGGGACGCGGGGGUGGUGAUGCGGGAGGGCGCGCGCGUCGUGGCGGUGGAGGCGUGCGCGGACGUCGAGAGAGUGCGCGCGUGCGGGGAGGCGGCGACGGUCACCGUGGAGACGAGCGACGGCGCGACGACGACGGUCACCGUGGAGACGAGCGACGGCGCGACGACGACGGAGGACUUCGACGUCGUCGCGUGGACGGUGGGGCAGCGUGCGGUAACGCCCGAGUCGUGGCCGUUUCCGAGGGAUUCGAAAGGGCGGAUCGUCACGGAGGACACGCUGCGCGUCGUCGGGCGUUCGAACGUGUUCGCGCUCGGAGACGCCGCGGUGGUCGCGUCGUCGUCGUCUUCGAAUCCGAACGAUUCGAAUCCGAACGACGCCGACUUCGCGUCGCCGCCGCCGUCGGAGGCGCUCCCGAGCACCGCGCAGGUCGCGUUCCAGCAGGCGGACUACGCCGCGUGGAACGUCUGGUCCGCGAUGUCGUCGCGGCCGCUGCUGCCGUUCAAGUACCAGCACCUGGGGGACAUGAUGACGCUGGGCAAGACGGACGCCGCCGUCGCGUUGCCGUUAAACCUCGCCGUGGUGGACGGCCCCGCGGCGGCGGCGCUGCGGCGCGCGGCGUACCUGUACCGCAUGCCGACGAACGAGCACCGAGCGAAGCUCGCGGCGGAGUGGAUCGAGCAGGGCGCGAGGGCGGCGUUGGAGGAGGGGCCGGAGGUUCUGAGGAAGCUCGGCGUGCCGCUGCCGCCGGGGUUGUUCCCGCCGCCGCCGUCGAGAGAGUAACCUUACGUAGUUCAUUUUUUGUCGAUCGAUUCGACCGCGACUCGCCGCAUCCUUUCGCGACUCUACCCGACUCGCUUCUCUAAAUUCUACUACGUGACAGACUAUGAAUCACAACUAGAGGCGGCUUCGCAGCCGAAGCGCCCACGCCACGGACGCGUUCUUCCUCGCGUAGUCCCCGCACGUCCCUAUCCCCGCGACUAAGUCGUCGUACGCCCUCAGCCGCGCCGCGCGAUCGCCUCCGCCGGCGCUGAGGGUCGUUCCGUACGAAGCGACGUCGGGGUGGCGUUCAAAGGCGUCAGAAGCGGAGUUGAAAGGCGUCGAGGUGUGUUGGGAUUGAAAGCGAGGGGCGGGCGGAGAGAAUCGCCGGGAAAAGUCCUUAAGGAUCGACGUGCACCACGCCGACGCGGUCGUACGGGGACCAGUGCGAGAUGGAACGCGCCUCAGCAGCGCGCGCUCCGCCUCCGCGCGCAACGGCUCGACGUGCUCGUGGUCCACGAUGGACAGAAGGUUAAACACGAGCCGUCGCAGCGUCGCCGCCGCGUCUGACGUGGCGUCCGACGUGGCAGCGUCGAGCUCCGCCGCGCGCGCCGCGCAUCGACGCGCGGCGAACGUCGGGAGGGACGACCCGGGGAGACACCCGCGCGUCGCCGCGCCGACGGCGGCGAUGAAGUGCGUCGUCGGCGUCGCCGCGGGGGCGCGCGGUGACGUGGCGUCCGACAUGGCAGUCGACGUGGCGCCCUCGUACGGCAUCGCCUCCAACGCCGUCGUCAGGUACGUCGGGAAGUGCGCCUCCGCGGCGCGCGGCGAGCGCUUGAACGCGGACGCGAACGCGACGUGGGAAGAUCGCGUCACCGUCGCGCGCGGAUGCCUCAGGCACCGCGUCAUGCACGCCGCGACCGCGAUCGGUAACUCGCCCCCGGUAACGCCCUCGCGUUGACCGUUUCCGUUAUUUCCGUUAUUUCCAUUAUUUAUCGCGCCGCCGCCGCCGCCGACGCCCCCGGGGAGUCGCGCGUACGGCACGAGUCGAAGGAGCAAGUGCGUGCGCGUGGACAGCACCGGGUCGUCGCGCCACGCGACGCCGCCGCCGCCCGCGCCGCGCCGCGCGUCGAGCUCGGCGCGCGCGUCCGGCCACAUCCGCGUGGACAUGAACCGCCGCGACGCUUCACAUCCCACGCCCAGCGCAUCGUCCCCCCCGAGCGACGACGCGACGACGCGCAGGACGUCCGCGUACGCGGGGUUCGGCGACCGCGCGAACUCGAGGUGCGCGAGCGCGUCGACGACGUUCGCGAGCGUCUCGGCGAGCGCGGCGCCGUCCGCCGCCGCGUCGGUUGACGUUCCAUCUUCCGCGCUCGUCGCGAUCGCGCGCUCGACAUCCUUCGAGACCUCGUGCGCGCACGCGAGCGUCGCCGCGAACGGCCGAGACAGCGCGGGCGCGACGGCCGACCCGUCGAGGCCGUCGCGCCAUCGCGCGGGGACCGCCUCGCGAAACGCGCGGUACGCCGCGUGAUGCCGCCGCGCGAAGACCGCGCAGCGUUCCGUCAUCGCGCGCGCGCACGACGCGCGACGCGUUUCGUCGCCCGGGAUCUCGCGGACGCGCGACGCCGCGAUCGCGACGAGCGCGGGCGCGCGGCGGACGACGCGCGACGCGCACGCGGUCGCGACGCGGUGGGAGACGGUCGAGGGAUCUUCGCGCGUCGCGUCGCAUCGAUGCAGCGCGUCCGCGGCGCGCGACAGCUCGAGGUGCGUCCCGGCGACGACCGCGAAGAGGACGUCGGGCGCGGGCGAUGUCGCGCGCUCGGCGAGCGCGCGCGCGAGCGACAGCGUCGCGUCGGCCGUGGCGUCGAGCGCGCCGUCCGACGACGACGACGACGACGACGACGACGACGCGCGCGUCGUCGUCUCGCGCAGCCGCGCGGAGGCGUCGUCGCACGCGCGGCGCGCGUCGUCGCACGUCGCGCGCGCCGCCGCCGCGGUCGGGGCGAGGGCAUCGCGCGCGGCGGCGAAGACGCGCGCGGCGUCCUCGAGGACGUCCAUCCUCGUCCCGCGGGGGAGGCGCGCGCGCGCGAGUGCGCGAGGGCGUGGGGCGCCCUCGACAAUUAACGUCACGUCUUCAAAACUUACAACAGAACGAACGCCAUCGCCACAAACAGAAAGCAAAAGUCAUCAUCCGUCGCUCGCGUCGACUCACGCCACGAGCUUCAUCCUCGCGCGCACGAUGUCCUUCACUCGGAAGAACACGAGCGAAUCGACCCUCUCGAUCGGCGUGAACAGCGCGCUCGCGGCGCGCCAGUACUGCCGCUCGCUCGGCCACGACGGCGGCGGUUCCGCGGCGGUCGCGGCGGCGGCCGCGCCGGCGGCGAUCGAAGCAGCCGCCGCGUCUUCCAAUUCCAACAGCCUCCGCCACGACGCGUCGUCCCAGUCGUGCCACGCGACGAUCGAGUCGUCGCGCAGGAACGGUAUGACGGCGUACGCGCACGCGUUACGGUACCGGCCGUCGAUGAGCACGACGUCGAAGGCGUCCACGCCGAACGUCCCGGGCGCUUGCACGUACGGACGCAUGUCGUCCUCGAACGCGUCGUCGUCGGCGGCGGCGGGGUAGCCCCACUUGGCGAGCUUCGACGUCGGGGUGGAGUCGGAACGAACGAAAGCAGCGAGGGGUGGGCGGAGAGACGCGUCAGCCAAAGCCCUCAAGGAACGGAACGCCACAACGCGAACGCGGUCGUAUGGGGACUAGUGUGUAGAACGAUCGUACGGGGACCGGCGCGAACCUUCGUCCGCGGCGCGUGGCACAGCAGACGCCACCGCCGCGACCGUCGCAUGCAUCGCAACUCCGGCCAUCCGCGGACGAUUUCGCACCACUCCUCCGCGUGCUCGACGCUGUGCGCGCGCGAGGACUGGACGCCGAAGACGCUCGUGGAUCCGCCGACGCCCCACUCGAGGUACACGGGCCCGUCGCCGUCGUUCCAGCGGUUUAUUCGCUCUCGCGUCGCGUUGCGAUGACUUUCGGACGUGACUACUGUCGUGGGCGUCGUCGCCGCCGCUUCCGCGCCGACGACGUGCUCGCCUCGGACGUAUCGCGUCAUCGCGCGCACCUCCGCCGCGGUCAUGCUCGGCGAGUGCGUGUCCGGGAACCGCGCGUCGUCGUCGCACCGCGGGCCGAGCCGCGGCGGCGACGCGCGCGACGUCCGAGACGUCGCGUCGAAGAAAAAGUCGCGAGAGCUCGCGCUGAGACGUCGCAGACCGCGCGGCCACUCGUCGUUCAGGAGGAUAGAGAGCGCGCCACGCGCGACGUGCACGGCGGCGAACGCGACCGCGACGGCGACGAGCACGACGCUGAGUCUCGGCGGCUUCGUCUUGAACGGCAGGAGCGCGACGCCGCGCGUCGGGGAGGAGAACAUCGUCGCGGGCGCGUCGGGGCGACGGCGGAAGUGAUGACAUCGCGAAUACGAACCGUCUCGGAAGAAGAGAUUUUUCUUCGCUUCCGUUGCGCGGAGCAGUGCUGAAACGACGACGCGCGAUGCGUCACAACGGGUUCGCGCGGGGCCAUGCCCCUCGCGCGCGCGCGCGCGUCCGCGUCGUCCGCGGACGCCUCGAAGAAGCGCUACGGCUACGACGUCAAGGCGCUCGCGUCGCUCGUCGCCGCCGCCGCCCCGGGCGUCACGCGCGUCGCCCCGGACGUGAGCACGGUGGAUCACGCCGCGCGGCUGCGGAAGCGCUACUCGGACGCGGAGGUGGGCAUCCCGAAGACGUGCACGCGCAUCGCGUGGGACGACGGCGCGUCGUCGUCGUCCUCCUCCUCCUCGUCGUCAUCCGACGACGGCGACGGCGAGCCGUCCACGCCGACGACGCGGAAGACGCGCGCGGCGGCGCGCGGGGGGUUCGCGCGCGUCAGUCUCAGCGCGAAGCGCGGCGCGCUGACCAGCCUCGGCGCGCUCGCGCGCGCCGCGCAUCUGAACGGUUGGAAGCUCGUGACGCACGGCGACGACUCCGCGUGCCAGCUGUACUGGUGCUGCCGCGCGCGCGACCUCGCGGAGCUCACGGAGUACAUGACGAGCGCGCACGAGCAGCGCGUCGCGAAGCGCGCGGCGAUCUGGAAGAGGGCGCUGACGCGCGCGGCGGGGAUGGGAAACGGACGAUCGAACGCGACAGGCGCGUUCUAUACACUGGUUCCCGUACGACCCCGUUCGCGUGGUGAACGCCGAUCCUUAAGGACUUUUGCCGUCGUGUCUCUCCGCCCAUCCCUCGCUUUCAAUCCCCGACCACGACGCCUUUCAACUCCAUCUGACGCCUUUGAACUCCACCCCGACAUCGCUUUGUAUGGAACGACCCUCAGCGCUGCGCGCGCUUCGUGGAGAAGCCGCGGACAUGCGAUACAUCCGCGACGAGAUCGCGAGAGCGCGCGCGUCGAUCGAGGGCGGCGCGCACGACGGCGACGACGUGACGAUCGCGUCGUUGCCGCCGCCGCCGUCGCCGAGCGACGUCCCGCUGGAGGAUCCGACGCGCCCGUGCCCUCGGCGGUUGCGACUGCGCGUCGCGAAAUUUCCGGGGAUGAAUCAGAUUUGCGACAAGGUGCGAUUCGCGCGGCUGAUGAACCAGGCCGCGAAGCUCUUCCCGGACGCGUUCGAGUUUUGGCCCACCACGGUGAUCCUCCCGGACGACGUCGCGCACGUCGGGGAGGCGAUGGGCGGCGAGCCCGCGGGGCGACGAAGGGAGAUUUUGUUGCAAGCCGCCGCCGCCGCGCGAGCGCGAGCCGCCGGCGGCGACGGCGACGACGGCGAAGUCGGCGGCGUUCGCGGGAUAACCGCGGGGCUCGCGCCGCUCCACGUCGGGGGAGGCGGCGGGAACGGGAGCGAAACGCGCGCGACGCCCGCGGCGUCGAUACCUUCCGCGAGCGGCGUCGUUUCGUCAUCCGCCGCCGUCGCCGCCGCCGCGCGACCGCCGGGACCGCCGCCGACUCAGGUGCGUUCUGUACACUGGUCCCCAUACGACCGCGUUGGCGUGGUGAACGCCGAUCCUUAAGGACUUUGCCCGGCGUGUCUCUGCGCCCACCCCUCGCUUUCAAUCACCGCCCGCGACGCCUUUCAACUCCGCCUCUGACGCCUUUGAACUCCACCCCGACAUUCGCUUGUAUAGAACGGCCCUCGGUGGCACAUCGUCAAGCCCGACAACGGCAGCCAAGGCAAGGGCAUCUUCCUCGUGAAGAACCUGUACGAGCUCGCGUUUAAGCUCAAGAGCAAGUGCCCGGAGGUGUGGUUCGGGUACAACUUCAACGACGGCACGACGGAAGGUCGCCGCGGCGCCGGAAAGAAAAAAAACGCCUCGCCGAUGAAAGUAAAACGCAUCCACGCGGAAGUCGAACCGCCGCCGCCGCCGACGGACGGCCCUCUCGCGCCCACCGGAAAACUCAACAACCGCGCCGGCACGUUCACGAUGUCCGGACUUGCGAACGUCCCGGACGCGUCCAAGCGCGACGCGGACGCCGCCGCGGGCGGAUUCGUCGUGCAGAGAUACGUGACCAACCCGCUGCUCAUCGGGGGCGUGAAGGCGCGUUCUAUACACUGGUCCCCAUACGACUGCGUUCGCGUGGUGAACGCCGAUCCUUAAGGACUUUCGCCGUCGUCUCUCUACGCCCACCCCUCGAUUUCAAUACCCGCCCUCGGCGCCUUUCAACUCCAACUGACGCCUUUGAACUCCACCCCAACGUUCGCUUGUAUGGAACGACCCUCAGUUUGACCUGCGUCUGUACGUGCUCCUCCUCGGCGCGGACGACUUCCCCGCGUUUCUGUCCAAAGAGGGCCUCGCGCGGUUCUGCACGGUCAAGUACGCGCCGCCAUCGUCGAAAACGCUCGCGGAGGUGCGAGGCUAUCUCACGAACUACGCGCUGAAUAAGGGCGCCGACGAGUUCGUGCGAAGCGACGACGUGCACGCGUCCGAGGGGUCGAAGCGAAGCCUCGCGAGUCUGAUGACGGAGCUCGCGCGAAAAGGGCACGACGUCGACGCGCUGUGGACGCGGCUCGAACGCCUCGUCGAUCGCACGAUCGGCGCGAUGCGUCACGCGGUUCGAGACGCCGCGGUGGCGAACCGCGCGCAUCCGGAGAUGUGCUUUCAAGGUGCGUUCUGUACACUGGUCCCCAUACGACCGCGUUCGCGUGGUGAACGCCGUUUCUUAAGGACUUUUCCCGGCGUUUCUCUCCGCCCACCCGUCGCUUUCAAUCCCCGCCCUCGACGCCUUUCAACUCCAACUGACGCCUUUCAACUCCACCCCGAUGUUCGCUCGUAUGAAAUGGCCCUUUCAAGUCCUCGGGUUCGACGUCAUGCUGGAUGAAAAUCUGAAGCCGUAUCUGCUGGAGGUGAACUCGUCGCCGUCGCUCGCGAUCGACUCGGUGGAGGCGUUUCAGUCGCAUAAGACGUUCACGACGGCCGCCGGGGCCGAAGGUAGUAACGACCGCAGGACGGACGUUCUCGAGCGAUGCGCGUCGCUCGACGCGCCGUACGCGCGUUGCCUUUGCGCAAACCACAAGGGCGAGCACGCGCACGGUGCGUUCUAUCUCACACUGGUUCCCAUACGACCGCGUCGGCGUGGUGAACGCCGAUCCUUAAGGACUUUGCCCGGCGUGUCUCUCCGCCCACCCCUCGCUUUCAAUCCCCGCCCUCGAUGCCUUUCAACUCCGCUUCUGACGCCUUUGAACUCCACCCCGACAAUCCCAGUGUUAUCCCCCGUGGACGCGCACGUCAAGAGCGCGGUGCUCGCGGGCGCGUUGGAUAUCGUCCGGCGCGCGCAGCGCGGGCAGCCGGUGGCGGCGAAUGCGCGCGGCGAAUCAGAAGGCGCGCCCUUCCGCUCGUCCUCGCCCGUCGCGAAGCACGGCGGCUAUCGCGCCGCGCGCGCGGGGAGAGGCGGCGGCGCGGGGUGGUGGAUCGACCGAGACGAGGAGGAGAAGCCGCCGAGGUUGAGAGAAGAACGACGGCGGAGGCGCGUCGCGGGGUGGACGAGCGACGAGGAGGAGGAGGAGGAGGAUUCGUCCGCGGAGGGCGGCGGCGGCGAGGCGGGGAAGGAGGAGGCCGACGCCGCGGCGAAGGAACACGCCGAAGGCGAGGGAGAGGGAGAGGACGACGACGACGACGACGACGACGACGACGACGACGACGACGAAGAAGAAGAAGAAGAAGAAGAAGAGAGCGAGGAGGAGGAGGAGGAGGAAGACGCGAUCGAUUCGCCCGUGCCGGCGGUGCUGCCGCCCGCGCGCGCGGACGACCCGUCGGAGAAACUUUCGCGCCUCUACGCGCGCGUGGAGAAGCUCUUCGUUCGCGUCGUCGAUCGAAGCAAGACGUUCACGGAGCGCGAGGCGUCGUUCGCGCGCGUGCGACGCAUGGUUUCCCUCGCGAGACUCAAGCUCACGAACGCGGACAUGGACUUGAUCCUUCUCCCGUGGAAGCAACGGCGCGGGCGCGCCGGGAGCGGGUUUAACCACUUUUUGGAUCUCGUGAUGACGCUCGCGGGCAAGGCGUUUCCGAACGCGGUCGACGGCGCGGACGCCGUGGGGUCGGUCCUCGAAGAGCUCGCCCGAGUCAGCCUGUGACGGAACGGAAGCGCGCGACUGUCGUCGCGUGUUGUAGCUAAUGACGUGCUUUACUUUAAAGUACUGUACUCUAGUAGUGUUUUACGAUAGACUAAUAAUGAAGUAGCACCCAUCUCUCUCUCGUCGCGUCGCGUCGCGUCGCGUCUCGUCUCGUCGCGUCUCGUCUCGUCUCAUCGACGUUUUUGGGUUUUGCACGCCUUCUCUUCUUUUUCCUUCGCUCGCCUCUCCCCCACGUCCGCGAAAAACGCGGCGAGGUCGCACCCCUCCUCCGGGUGCGCCUCGAACCACUCGUGCUUCAGCAGCUCCGACGCGGAGACGCGCUCUUUCGGCGACUUCUUCAGACACGACGCGAUGGCGUCGCGGAACGCGUCGGAAAAAUCGUGCCCUCCCCCGCGCGGCAGCGUCGGCGGCGGCUCCUCGACGAUGUGAUCAAGCAGAUCCCAGAACCCCAUCGGCUGCCGCGGCUUAUGAGCCGCGUCCGCGCCGUCCCCUUCCCCGCCGCUCGCGCCCGAAGGCGCCUCUUCGUCCGCCGGCGGCGGGUAGGGAAACCGCCCGAGCGCGCACUCCACGAUGGACAACGCGAACGACCACACGUCGGAAUCGAACCCGUACGUCCCUCCGCUUAUUCGCUCCGGGGACAUGUACGUCACGGUCCCGACCCACGAGUUACACUUCGUGACCGAGUUGGCGAGCUGCCCGGAGACGCCGAAAUCGCUGAUCUUCACCUCCCCGGCGUCGUUCACGAGCACGUUAGACGGCUUCACGUCGCGGUGGAUGACGCGCAUGUCGCCGUGAAGGUAGGCCAGCCCGCGAAGCACGCACCGCGAUACGGACGCGAGCUCCCUCUCCGGGAUCUUCCCCAAGACCUUCGCGACGUCGCUCAGAGACCCCACGUUCAUGUAAUCCAACAAUAUCGAAACGCUGCCGUCGGAGAAGAACGCCCCGUGGUACGGCACGACGUGCGGAUGCGCCGACUGAUGCAACGUUCGAAGCUCCGCGAUCAAGUUCUUGCGAACCUCCGCCUGCACGUUCAUCUGCACCACCUUGACCGCGAGCUCCGCGCCCGUCCUCGCGUGCGUCGCGCGCUGCACGACGCCGCCGCUCCCUUUGCCGACGACGCCGUGCACGACGAGCUCGUCGAGGCUGACGACGACGUCGCCGGAGGGAGGCGCGCCGGGUUUAGACGGCGUCUCGCCGGAGGUCUCAGGGUCGAAGGUCCAUACGAUCGAUAGUCGGGGUGGAGUUGAAAGGCGUCAGAUGGAGUUGAAAGGCGUCGAGGUGUGUCGGGAUUGAAAGCGGGGGUUGGGCGCAGAGACACGACGGCAAAAGUCCUUAAGGAUCGGCGUUCACCACGCCGACGCCGGCGUAUGGGGACCAGUGUAUAGAACGCACCUCAUGACGGCGGUCGUCGGGCGCGGCGUCGGCAUCGGCGGCGUCGUCGGCGGCGUCGUCGUCGGCGGCGGCGGCGUCGGCGGCGUCGCGCGCGUUCGUCGACGGCUUCCGUGGCGUCGUCGCCCUCGUGGACGUGGGCGUCGUCGCGGCGGCAUCGCGCGACGCGCCGGCGCGCUCGCCCGCCGCCGCGCCCGUGGGCGUGCCCGCGAUCUGCAACCCUUGUCGCGAGAUCGUCAGGUCGCCCUCGGUGAACGUCCCGGAGUUCGAGCUGCGCGGCGCGACGGUAGGGGAGGGAGAGAGGGAAGGGAAGGGAACGUCNNNNNNNNNNNNNNNNNNNNNNNNNNNNNNNNNNNNNNNNNNNNNNNNNNNNNNNNNNNNNNNNNNNNNNNNNNNNNNNNNNNNNNNNNNNNNNNNNNNNGCGGCGCGACGGNAGGGGAGGGAGAGAGGGAAGGGAAGGGAACGUCGGUCGGACGGGGAAGAUGCUCGCGAGAGUCGCGACGGGAUAGAUNCGUNGGACGCGAGCGACGACGACGACGACGACGACGACGACGACGACGACGACGACGACGACGACGACGACGACGACGGAGGGGGAAGAGGCGUCGCGCGCGGGACGCACAGCUCGUACGAGGUCCUCGGGACGUUCGGGACGGUGAUCGUCACCGGCGGCUUGCGGUUCAGCGGCAUCGCGGCAUCGGUUUGUGCCGGACGAGGAAGAGACGUAGACGCUGACUCGUUGCGUUGCGUUGCUCGUCGAGUCUUGUAGCAGCAGAUACGGCGAAGAGAACAUUUGAGACUCGUCGCGUCGCGCCCGCUCACACGAGCAUGCGCGCGGCGUGAGAAGGUCGCCGCGCCGAGACCGAGACUCGCGCGCGCGGGGGAAGUGGGGACGCCGCUCUCGUCGCGCGGCGGCGGCAAAGGCGCGGGCGCGAUGAGCGUCGCGGCCGCGGCGGCCGCGAAGAUCCAGCGGCGGUACCGCGAGUGGCGGACGCGACGUUUGAUGAAGCGGCACCGCAGGCGCCUCGUCGCGGGCAGCGACGACGACGACGACGACGACUCGUCCUCGGAGGACGACGACGACGCCGUCGACGACGAGCGCCGCCGUCUGCAUCGCGCGUCCUCCUCCUCCGCCGCCGCCGCGCCGCCCUCGGAGGCGCGCCGACGCGCGAAGCUCGUCAAGUGCGCGCUGCUCGCCAUCGCGUGGUUCACCCUCAGGUGCGUUCUAUACACUGGUCCCCAUACGACCCCGUUCGCGUGGUGAACGUCAUUCCUUAAGGACUUUGCCCGGCGCGUCUCUCCACCCAUCCCUCGCGUUCAAUCCCCGCCCUCGACGCCUUUGAACUCCACCUGACGCCUUUGAACUCCACCCCGCCAUCGCUUCGUACGGAACGACCCUCAGCACCGGACUCGCGGUCUUCAACAAGGCGCUCUUCGGCCAGCGCAAGGGCGGCUUUCCCGCGCCGCUGCUCUUGACGGCGUGCCAGUUCGCGAUGCAGUACGCGCUGGCGUCGGCGAUCGUCCACCGCGCGUUCGGAGGCGCGCUGAGGCCGAAGCGCGAGGUCCCCGCGGAGGUGUACUGGCGCCGCGUCGCGCCCGUGGGAGCGGCGAUGGGAAUGGACAUCGCGCUCAGCAACCUCUCGCUCGUCUUCGUCACCGUGAGUUUCUACACCCUCGUGAAGACGUCGAGCAUCAUCUUCCUGUUGCUGUUCGCGUUCGCGCUGAAGCUCGAGCCGGUGUCGUUUCGGUUGAUGGGCGUCGCCGCGUUGCUGACGGGGGGUCAGGCGUUGACCGUGGACGGCGAGACGCGAUUCGACGCGCGCGGGUGCGCGUUGGUCGUCGCCGCCGCCGCGUGUUCCGGGCUGCGAUGGACGCUGUCGCAGAUCGUGUUGCAAGGGAAAGAGCCCGGCGGCGGCGGCGGCGGCGCGGGUGAUAAUAAGAAUACGAACGGUCGCGACGGUUCGCGUCGCGACCCGCGCCGCCUCCGCAAGAGCUACGGACUGUCGCACCCGGUCGUGAUGUUGAAGACGAUGACGCCGCUCAUGUGCGGCGUCGUGCUCGCGUUCAGGCGCGUUCUAUACACUGGUUCCCAUACGACCCCGUUGGCGUGGUGAAUGCCGAUCCUUAAGGACUUUUGCCGGCGUUUCUCUCUUCCCACCCCUCGCUUUCGAUCACCGCCCUCGGCGCCUUUCAACUUCGACUGACGCCUAUGAACUCCACCCCGACGUUCGCUCGUAUGGAACGACCCUCAGCCUCCUCACGGAGCGGCCGUGGGACGCGCUUCCGGGCAGCGCGUGGCUGUCCGGGCCCGGCGAUUUCGUCGUGGAUUUGAUGAUCGUGACGUGCGGCGCGUGCGCGGCGCUGGCGAUGACCGUCGCGGAGUUUGAGGCGCGUCCCGUCCCGCGCCGCGCGCCGGUCCCCGUACGACCGCGUCCGCGCGGCGCGCGCCGAUCCUCGAGGACUUUCUCUCCCGGCGUGCGUUUCUCUCCGCUUCGUCGCUCUCUCUCGUCCGAUGAAACAAACGUCCACGUCAUCAAAUACCUGACCAAUCACAUCACUUCCCGCCACGUCGCCCACCGAUCGAACGACCCUCGCUCAGCUCCUGAAGGAGACCUCCGCGGUCACGGUGAUGGUGAUCGGCGUGGCGAAGGACGUCGUCCAGGUGCUGACCGCGAUCGCGGUGUACGGGGACGCGUUCGGCGUCGAGAACGGGAUGGGGAUGGCGCUCGUGCUGGGCGGGAUCGUCGCGUACAACAGGCACAAGGCGCUCGCGGCGGAGGAGAGGGCGGCGGCGCUCGGGACGAUGGCGGGGGCGGGGGCGGGGGCGGGGGCGGGGGAGGGCGUCGCGCGCGGACCCGGACUCGGACUCGGGGGGUCGGCGGAGAGGGAGAUCGGGUUGCCGAGGGUGGUGCCGAGGCGCAGCGGCGGGCUGAGCGCGGUGCCGAACCUUCCGCGGCGGGACGCCGCGUCGUAGCGCGCGUCGAGCCGACGCGCCGCGCCGCGCCGUCGACGCUUAUUAGCCUCUACUCGCGACGAAAAAAUAUAUAUUGUAUCGACAAGAUCUCGUCUUCGCUCUCGCCGGCGCCUACGCCCCCUCGAGCGUGGGCUCGACCUCGUCGAGGAGCGCCUUCGCGACGGCGAGCUCCUCCGAGUCCGCGCACUCCUCCCCGUGCUCUUCCUGCGCGAUGCGGGCGAAGGAGGGGGGGUGGCGUCAGUCGGUCGUCGGGCGAAAUUCAAACGAGCGAGAAGCAGAGCGCGGGCGAGAGAAAAGUCAACUCGUCGCGCGCACCGUCGCCGCGAGCAGUUCGUUGAACGCGUUCUCCAUCCGCGUCUUGCAGUCGCCGAUCAUCAUCGAGCUCUCGCCCAAGACCUGAUCUUGCUGCCGGACGUCGUGCGGGUCGCGCCCCUCGGCCUUCAUCGUCUCCAACUUCGCCGUCUCCUUCGCCACCUCAUCGGAAUACAUCGCGAGCUCCCUCCUCACGCGCGUCAGCACCCCGGUCUUGAUCUUGAGCGCGCGCGUCGCCUCUCUGUUGUCCGCCGUCAUGACGACGCUCGCCGGCUUCGUACGGCGGGAGGAGUUCGCGCGUCGUCGAGCGCGCGGUGGGCGGGAGGAUCGUCCGGUGCGCGGAGAGUGACGGCGACGGACGCGGCGAUCGCGCGCUGGUUUCCGCUUCCGCCCGCGGUCGAGACGCUCGCCUGCGUUGCCACCGUUUCAGCGACGCGUCGGCGAAGGCGGACGGCGAAUCGUCUUCCCUCCAUCGCGUCGCGCCCCCGAAGCCGCCGAUCGCGAGCGCGACCGAUACCGCGGCGAAGAAGCCGAGGACGAAGAUGAAGAGCCCCGCGGGGGCGUCCACGCGCGCGGACAUCGCGCAGUGGGCGGCGGAGGCGCGGAGGGGACGACGCGACGACGGAACGCGCGAAAAAACGCCUCGCCGUCUCCCUUCGCGUGUACGAUAUCGACGCGACGGGACGGGACUGCUCGUCUCUACAGUACGUCACGUUACUAGGCCCUACUCGUCGUCCUCGUCGACGAUGUCCGGAAGCUCGCCGUCGCUGUCGUCGUCCGACAGCUGCACCGCGACCGCGGCCUUCCCGGUGCCGAGCCCGACGCGCGGGGGCGCGGCGGCGGCGGGCUCGACGCUCGCCGCGGGCGCCGCGGGCGCGGGCGCGGGAGCCUCCGUCUUGCGGCGCUUCGACGGCGGCGCCUUCGCCGCCGCCGGCGGCGACGCCGCCGCCGCGCCUCUCCGCGUCGACCGCGUCGUCGCCGCCGCCGCCGGCGGCGGCGGCGCCGACGGCGCGUCGUCGUCGUCCGAGUGGUCCGCCUCCCGCAGCCGCCGCUCCGCCGCGCGCGCCCAGAACGGUUUCGACGCGUCGUCGCGCGCGCCCGUCGACUUCGCCGCAUCAGCCGGCGCUUCCGUCGUCUCCGUCGUCUUCGCAUCCACUUCUUCUUCCUCCUCCUCCUCCUCCUUCUCCUCCUCCUCCUCCGACUCCGCCUCUUCCUCGGCGCCCAACUCCUUCGACGUCGCCGCCGGCGCGGUCGCGGGCUCCUCGUCCCCCCACGUCGGCGCGGCGUCGCCCCAGUUCACCACCUCCCUCGCGCCGCCGCCGCCGCCGCCGCCGCCGCCGCCGCCGCCGAUCCCGACCCCGUCCAAAGUCGCUUCUUCUCCUCGGAUCGUCGCCAUCGGCGGCGCGAUCGCGCGCGAAUGCAGCGGCGGCGCGCACGGAUGCAUCACUGCGUCGAUCGCGGCCCCCGCGCGCAGCGCGAACCCGCGGCACGCGACGUCCUUCGUCCGCGCGACGCGGAAGACUGAGGGUCGUUCCAUACAAAAAUAGUUCAUCGGUCAGUUGAAAGGGACCCACGCGAUCAAGUGUUGAAACCGAGCUAUGGGUGAAAAACGUUUGUAUAGAACGCACCUGAAACCGCGAGCGGCAGAUUCGGCGACCGAAACGCGCGCGGCGACAACACCGACGCGAGGAGACACGCGUAGCUUCGCUCCCUGGCGCGCAGCGCGUGCGGCUCGUUCGCCUCCGCGACCACCGCGCUCGUGUGCGGCGCGCUCGAAGAGAACGCGAGGACGUGCUCGCUCGCGGACUCAGCCGCGGCGGCGUCGCACAGGCUCCGCGUCUUCGGAGGGAGCGACUGAGGGUCGUUCCAUAAAAAAACGUUCAUCGGUCAGUUGAUUGGAGAUGCGAUCAAGUGUUGAAACAUACCGAUGGGUGAAAUACGUGUGAAAAGAACGCACCGCGCCCGCGACGGUCAACGCCGUCUCGAGGUACUCUAACGCCGCCGCGCGGACGACGCACGACGCGACGCCGAAGGCGCCGCCGGCGAGGGAUCCCCCUCUCCUCGCGAGCGCGUAGCCGCCGCCGGACGACGCGAGGAAAGCCUCCAUCUCGUCCGCGCCAGCCUGGCCCCACGCGCCGCCUUUGCCUCUGCGUUUAGUUUUCUUUUGUCCGACGGAGCGCGACGCGGCGUCGUCGGAUCCUCCACGUUCGAAGGACUCUCCGCCGCCGCGACCGCCGAACCCUCUGACCGCGUCCAACGCCGCGUACGGCACCACCGCGCUCACGAGGUCGCCGCCGGCGGCGGCGGCCCCCAAACCCCUGGUCGCCGCUGCCGCCGUCGCGUACAGCGCCGAGCGCGUCCCCGCGCACGUCCCCGCGCGCCCUCCGCCGCCGCCGCGCCUCAACGCGUCGGCCAGCACGCGCGCGGUCGGCCCCGCGAGCCGCGCGCACGCGACGCCGCCGCACUCGAGCAGCGCGCCGACCACCUCGCACGCGCGCGCGUGCAGCUCCGGGAGCGCGCCCAAGACUUCCACCUGAGGGUCGUUCCAUACGAGCGAACGUCGGGGUGGUGUUGAAAGGCGUCAGUUGGAGUUGAAAGGCGUCGAGGGCGGGGUUUGAAAGCGAGGGACCCUGGGCGGAGAGAAACGCCGGGAAAAGUUCUUAAGGAACAACGUUCACCACGCCGACGUGGUCGUAUGGGGACCAGUGUAUAGAACGCACCUGACACGCGACGAUCGGAAGCCCCGGCGCGGACGCGACGCCGCCGCCGUCGACGUCGAGCGCUCUCCGAGCCGCCGCGAAGAUCUGGUCCGCGGGCACCGGCGCCGCGGCCGCCGAGGGGAACGGCGAGGAGAGCAUCUUCGUCAGGACGCGCAGGAGCGCGGUCGCGCGUCGAAGCGCGGCGGGCGCGUCCGCGGGCGGUCGAAGGGAGACCGUCCCGUCGCCGCCGCCGUCGCCGUCUUCUUCUCCUUCGCCUUUCGCGCUCCCCCCGCCUCGGCGCUGCGUCCACGCGCCCACCCUCGGCGGCCGCGGCGACCCCGCGGGAAGCAACACCGCGCGCGCCGCGCUCGACGCGCCCGCCGGCUCGACGCCGACGAGCGCGACGUCUAAGCAGUCGUGGACGUCGACGAGGACCCGCCGCGCGAGCGCGCUCCACGCCGCGGCGGGGUCCGCCGCGUUCGCGCCGCCGCCGCCGUCGACGCCGAUCCCCGGCGCCGCGCCUGCGCGCGGCGUCGCCGCGAGCGCGGCGACGGCGCGCUCCCACGCGGAGGUUGAAUGGUGUGAGGAGAUGGACGCCCGCGCGUCGACGACGAAUAUAAAUCGCGCGAGCGCGCGCUCGACGGCGUCUGCUCUCGGUCGCAGCGACGCCGGGUGGCCGAGCAGCGCGGCCCCCACGAACGCGAUCGCGGCCGUCGCCGCGGCGACGCGGUGCGCGUCGGCGUCGUGAUGCUCGGCGGCGUCCGCGGACGCGUCGAGAAUCCAUCGCGUCGUCGUCGGCUGCGCGCGCUGAACGAUCGCCGCCGCCUCCUUCCUGACGCCCGGCACGUCCAUCAUCGCGCCCGCGCGCGUCACGAUCGUCGCGAGCGCGUCAAGGGCGGCGAUCGCGGCCGCGGUGGGCGGCGGCGCGAGGGAUGAGCCCGAGGACGCCGCGGACGCCGCGGACGCCUUUGGGCCGAGGACGCGUCCGAGGAGCGCGUCGGCCCAUCUCGCGAAGGACGCGACGAAUCGCGCGGGGACGACGUCUCGCGCGCACUGCGCGAGGAGCGACGCCGCGGCGGCCUCGCCGCCGCCGCCGCCGCCGCCGCCGCCGCCCUUCGCGCGAUUCGUCAGGAGCUUCUCGAGGUGCGCGACGUACUCGUCCAGCGCGGAGGACGCGGCGGCGACCGCGGCGAGAUCCGCGCGGGAGGAGGCUCCGGAGGACGAGAGCUCGGGCGGCGCGGCGUCGGCGGCGAGGAGGUGGUGCGAAUCGAUCGCGCGCGUCGUCGCCGCGACGCCGCCGCCGCGCGCGAGCCUCGCGGCGGAGAGCUGCCCCGGGAGCGCGCGCAGGAGCCUUGCCCGCGCGGCAAGGCUGUGGACGUGCGCCGCGGCGUCGCCGGACAUGACGACCGCCGGCGGACGAGCCCGCGCGAGGGACAGUGACGACGACGAGUGCGAGAGAGCACCCCCCGCCGCCGCCGCGGCCGCCGACGACGCGAGCCUGACGCGGACGACCGCAGCUCGAGGCGGGCACCGCGAACGGAACGCCCCCGUCCCCGCGUCCACUCGUGCCUCGCGCGCGCGCCGCCGCCGUCGUCCGGGUCCGUCCGCGACGCGCGCCGGAUUUCUCCGGGAACCCCGCGCCCGCCGUCGUCCGCGCGCGCAUCUCGAGGCGCGCCCGCGCGGCGUCGCGCGGCGUCGCCGCGAACGAUCGGAGAUCGGUCGAGUCGUCGUUCGAACUCGGUCGAUCGAUCGCGGCAGCGCGUCUUCUCCUCUCUCCUUCGUCUGUCCAUCGUCUUCGUCGUCUUCCGGCCAAGCGGCGCGAUGGCGUCCACCGCGCUCCCGAAGCGCUCCACGCGCGGUCUCCGGAUGAACAAGCUCCUCGAGGACGAGGACAGCGCGGACGAGGAGUUCUGGGGCCAAGACGCGUUCGCGGAGGAGUCCGGCGACGAGGAAUACUCGAGCGAGUCCGAGGAAGCGGACGUGUUCGACAAGGACUUCGACGACGACGAGAGCUCGUCGGACUCGGAGGAAGUCGUCGUCGCGAAAGAGCGACGGAAGCCCGCGCUGAAGGCGCCGGAGAGGAAGGCGCCGCCGGCGCCGAGAGCGGCGGCGACCGCGACGAAGGAGAGGGCGAAGAAGCCGCCGCGAGGCCUCGACGGGAUGUCAGGUGCGUUCUAUACACUGUUCCCCAUACGACCGCGUUGGCGUGGUGAACGCCGAUCCUUAAGGACUUUGCCCGGCGCAUCUCUCCGCCCACACCUCGGUUUCAAUCCCCGCCCUCGACGCCUUUCAACUCCAACUGACGCCUUUGAACUCCACCCCGACGUUCGCCCGUAUGGACCCUCGACCCUCAGUGUUCUCCCCCGACGGCCUCGAGUGGAGCGACGGAGGCGGAGCGCGCGUCGACAACGACGGAGGGCUGCGGAAGUCGUCGCGCGCGAGCGUGAAGCAGAUCCUGAGCGAGAGCGAGAGGAGCAGGGAGGAGAGGAGGAGCAAGGCGCCGCCGAAGCGGACGGCGCCCGCGGAGCCGGCGCGGCCGCUGACGCAGGCUGAGAUUCUCGCCGAGGCGGCGGUCACCGAGGCGCGUCCCCUAUCUGACACCGGUUCCCAUGCGCUCCCGUUCGCGUGGUGGACGCCGAUCCUCAAGGACUAUCUCUCCCGGCGGGCGUGUCUCUCCGCCCAUCACCCCUCGCUUUCAAUCCCGACACGCCUCGACGCCUUUCGACUCCGCCUCUGACGCCUUUCGACUCCGCCCCGACGUCGCUUCGUACGGGCAAUUACCCUCAGGUGUGGAAUCUGCGCGACCUCGAAUACCUCCUCAACCUCGAAGAGGCGACGAAGAAGAAAGCCGAGCGCGUGAAGACGACAUUCACGGGGCCGACGCUUCGCGUGCGAAGCGUCGGGGAUAAGACGACGAUCGAGCCGAGGUACGGCGCGUCGUUGCCGGAGCCACUCGGGAUGAAGGCGCCGACGCCGCCGACGCCGGAGGUGAGACUGCUUCCCAUACGACCCCGUUCGCGUGGUGCACGCCGUUCCUUAAGGACUUUUCCCGUCGUUACUCUUCACCCGCGCUUCCCUUUCAACGUUUGACCGGUAAGACGUUCAACUGACCGAUCGCUUCACCCACGCACAGCGGUGCGUCGUCACGGGGGACCGCGCGCGGUAUCGCGACCCGCUCACGGGGCUCGCGUAUAAGGACGUCGCCGCGUUUAAGGAGCUCAGGAGGAGGCACGCGGCGACGACGGCGGCGGCGAAGAAGGACGCGGUCGUGGGGGUGGUCGAGGUGCAGGCUGGGGUGGCGGCGGCGCCGGCGCCGGCGAAGGCGCCGGCGAAGGCGUCGGCGGCGGUGGCGGAGACGUCGCAGUUCGCCGUGAAGACCUUCUCCUCGGGCAGUCCGGUCGAUUCCCCGAGCGGGGGGUCGGGGGGCAAGGCGAAGAAAAGGAAGCUAGCCUCGCUGAACGAGAUUUCCAAGCCGUGAUGCGCGGGGAUGCGACCCGACGUAUACCCUUAGCCGCGUUUUCAGCAGUGCGUUUACGUUUAGGAUCGUCGUCGCGCGUUUCGUCGUCGCGUCGUCUCACGCGCACAAGAACGGGUCGCGCUUCAGCGCCUCGAUCUCUCUCCUCACGUCCUCGAUCUCGUCGAGAAGCCAUCGCAUCGACAUCGUCGCUCUCGCCAUCGGCGGCGGUGCGAGCGUCAGCGGAAGGAGGCGAACGUCGUCGUCGUCGUCGUCGUUUUUUUCGACAAACGUCGCGUGAUGUAGCAGACGACACGCGCGCUCGCGGUGCGCCCCCGACGGGUCCGACGGGCUGCUCCUCGCCGGGGACGCUUUUUCGACGACGUCCUCGUCCUCGUCCUCGUCGUCGUCGUCCUCGUCCACCAUCGACGGCGGCGACUCGGUGUACAUCGACGACGGCGCGUACGGCCACCGCUGGUCCGCGGCGGCGGCGUCGAGGUCAAAAAACGGCGUCGCGUCCGGCGACGCCUCCUCCUCCUCCUCGCGCCGACGCGCCCGCGGCGGCGUCGUCCACGACCGACGCGCGGCGGACCAACGCGCGGCCUCGGCGAGGCGCGCGACCGGGCUCUCGCGCGGGGUGUCGCUCUCGACGUGCGACGCGAUCCGCGACGUCCAGAGCGACAGCGUGGAGUGAGUUUCGCGUCGGGGGCGCGGCGGCGGCGCGCGUUCGAACGCGCCGCCGCGCGCCGAGAGACUUCUCGUCGCGACCGAGGCGCGCGUCGCGCCGCGCGACUCGCGCGCGUCGUCGCGCCUCUCCUCCAGCGCGCGGAGGCGUCGGUCGACGCUCGCGACGGACGCCUCGAGCGCGCGAACGCGUCGCAGCGUCGGCGCGGCGGCCUCGCACGUUUUGAACGAGUCGUUCGUCGACUCGGUCUCGUCGUCGUCGUCGUCGUCGUCCUCCUCCCACUCCUCCUUCGCCGUCUCCGCCGCGGUCGCGCCGUCGUCCGUCUCCGUCUCCGUCUCCGCGUCCUUCUCGAGCCCGAGCGCGGCGACGACGAGGUGCCACCCGCGCGUCGCCAGCGACGCGCGCUGCCCCGCGGCGCCGUCUCUCUUCGAGUCCUCUCCGCGAACGCGAACGCCGCCCGCUCUUAGGGUUCGCGCGCGUCCCUCCGACGAGCUCGUCGACGCGGUCGCGGUCGCGAACCGCAGCAGCGACGACCCCAGCGAGCUCGCGCCGUCGCCGGAGGACGACGUCGCGCGAUCGUCGUCGUCGUCGUCGUCGUCGUCGUCGUCGUCGCGCAGGAACGACGUCGCGACGUGAAGCAUCGCGCCCGCCGCGCGCGUCGGGGACGGCGGGGCGCGACCGCACUGAGACGAAGCGCAAGCGCUUCCUUUCAUUUCACACUUCCUUCUCUGCUCUGCUCCUUCGAACAGAACCCUCGAAAGCGAAAAACCUCGCGCGCUCCCCCCACACAGCCACAGCCGCCGCCUCCGUCGCCCACCCCCACUCAGCGCACGCCGCGCGAUGGCUCCCGACCCGCACCACGUCACCUGGCGCGCGCGAUCGCCCGCGAACGCCCCGAUCGCGCGCUCCUCGCACGGCGCGUCCGUGAUCAACAACACCCUGUACGUGUUCGGCGGCGAGCACGUCGCGAGGACGCCCAUCGACUCCGUCGUCCACGCGCUCGACCUCACCGAUCCGAACGCCGCGUUCGUCGCGAUCGACGGCGGCGCGAAUGCGCCGCCGCCGCGCGUCGGGCACGCGCAGGCGUCGAUCGAGAACGUCUUCUACGUCUUCGGCGGUAGGCGCGGCGUGGAGAUGAACGAGUCGCCGCUGAACGACCUGUGGGCGUUCGACGUGGAAUCGCGCGAGUGGACCGAUCUCUCGGGCGGCGCCGGCGACGUGCCGUGCCCCCGCAGCUUCCACGUCGCGACCGCGGCGCGCGGCAAGCUGUACGUGUUCGGCGGGUGCGGCCCCGCGGACGCCGGACGCCUCGCGGACCUGCACGAGUACGACGUCGCGUCGAAGACGUGGACGAAGCUCCCCGGAUCGGACGCGAUCGAAAGCCGCGGCGGCGCCGGGUUCUCCUCCACGACGGACGGCUCGACGCUCGUCAUCGCGGGCGGGUUCGCCGGCCGCGAGAUGAAAGAUAUUCACGCGUACGACAUCGCGUCGAAGACGUGGCGCGCCGUCGCGGGCGCGCCCGGCGCGCCGCCGCCGACGGCGACGAAGCUGCGCGACGCCGACCACGAGCGGCCCGCGCCCGCGCCGCUGCGGCCGCGAAGCGUGUGGCCGGUGAUGGCGUUUACCUGCUACGGCGAUCACGUAAUCGGGUUCGGCGGCGAGGUGGACCCGUCCGAGCGCGGGCACGACGGCGCGGGCGGGUUCGCGAACGACGUCGUCGCGAUCGAGGUGCGCACCGGGGACGCGAAGACGCUGCCGCUCGGUCGGGGAGGAUUGGGCGCGGGCGUGGGAGGAGGAGACGGCGAGGAGGAGACGGCGGUCCCAGCCCCGCGAGGGUGGACCGCGGCGGCGGAGUGGCGCAGAGAGGGCGCGAUCGUGCUCUUCGGCGGUCUGAGCGGCUCCGACGCGGCGCCGGAGCGGCUCGGGGACGUCCAGAUCGGUUACAUCGAUCGCGGCGGGCUUCUCGCGUAGACGACGACGCGCGCGGCGCGGAUGAACAGCGCGCCUAGGGUCGUUCCAUACGAAGCGAUGGCGGGGUGGAGUUCAAAGGCGUCAGAAGCGGAGUUGAAAGGCGUCGAGGUGUGUCGGGAUUGAAAGCGUGGUGUGGGCGGAGAGAUGCGCCGGGAAAAGUCCUUAAGGAACGGCGUCCACAUCGCGAACGCGGUCGUAUGGGGACCAGUGUGAAGAAAAAUCGGUCGAUCGAUCGAUCGAUCGAUCGGUCGGUAGAUCGAUCGACGGAGCGCGCCUUGUAAUCGUCAACGCGUCCCGCUACCAACGCGUUCGACAUCGAACACUCGUCGUUCGCACGCACGCUAAGCUACAUCGUCUCGUCGCCGAUCACGGCGCCUCCCCCGGCGUCCACGUGCACAGCUGCAACGCGUCCCUGUUCACGCACGCUAAAACCUCCCCGCCUCCGCCGCCGCCGCUCCAUCCUCGCACGUCCGUGAUCCCCCCGCCAGACGCGGGCAGCGACGAUUUCAGCGCCUGUCGCAUCCUCCCCGUGGCCGCGUUCCACACCAUCACCGUCGGGCCCAUCCACGUCAUCGUGUGCGCGUUGUAGCCCGGCUCGGACGCGCCGGCGAGGAACACGGAGCACGCGCGCGUCGCGUGCGGCCGCAACAACGCGACGCGCGACAUCACGUCCUUGUUGCGAUGCCCGGCGGCGCGCGUCACGUUCGCGCGCGGGAACGGGAACGAAUGCGGAUACGAACGCGAACCGUCGUCGCCGCCGCCUGGAUUUGGAUUUGAAUCGUCACCCCGCUGAAGCAGCGGUCGCGGACGCGCGCGUCCGGCGCCGUCCGGAACGGCGCCCUCGACGCCCUCGGCGGCGCUCGCGGCGCGCAUGAUCACGUGCGUCUCCGGGUACGAGUCAGACUGCCCGGGUUUACGGCCGCGGAACGACGCCGCCGCGGUCAUGGUCCCGGGCGCCCACGCCACGGACGUGCACCCGGCGUCGGGAAGGUGCGGCAGACGCCGGACGAACGCGUCCGACACUGUGUCCGACACCGCGUCCGCCGCCAUCAUCGCGUCCGACGCCAUCAUCGCGUCCGACGACGCGCCCCCCGGCUGGUAGUAAUACGCCCCCAGGGUGGUCCCGAACAAAACGCCGCCGCCGUGCUCCCGCGCGAUCGGCACCACGGUGUGCACGGGCGGCCGGUGCGACCCCUCCUCCGCGGGGACUCUCGCGACCGGCUCGCUCGCGCGUCGCAGAUCGUACAUCAACGUCUCGCCGUUCGCGAGGCCGACGACGACGUAGUUGGGAUCGCGCGCGGGAUCCGCGGAGGACGCGUCCCUGGAGGACGAAACGUUCACCGACGCGCCCGGUCCCGUCGCGACCGACCACCCCCCCCACGCGCACGACCACGCGGGCGCGGGCGUGCGCACGCACGCGGCGAUCCCGUCGCGCGCGAGGUCGACGACGACGAGUCGCUUGCCGAGACACGCGGCGAGCGCCCACGACGCGCCGUCGCCGUCGUCGGCGAUGCGCACGUCUCGCGCCCGCCCGGAGCCCGCCGGGAGCGCGACGCUCGCGCGACUCGAGUGCGACGCGUGGCUUAUUUUCGUGAGCCGCGUGCUCCCCGUGGGGGAUUCCUCCGAGACGAUCGUGAACGAGCCGUUGACGUCCAUCGAACGCCCGGAGGAGACGUGCGUGACGAAGCGUUGCUCGUACCGUCCGCGCGCCGCCGCCGCCGCCGCCGCCGCGGCUUCUUCUUCUUCCCGCGCCGCCGCCGCCGCCGCCGCGGCCGCCGCGCGCGAUUCUCGCGCGUCGCGGUUCGGGUCGAACAUCGCGAGCACGGUGCCCUUGCGUCGAUCGCCGCCGGCGCCGUCGCCGUCCGACGGCGCGGUGGACUUGCGCUUGUUCGCCGCCGGCGCCGUCGCUUUCCUCGUCGCGUCCGGCGCGGGCGCGGGCGCUGAGGGCCGUUCUAUACAAGCGAAUGUCGGGGUGGAGUUGAAAGGCGUCAGUUGGCGUUGAAAGGCGCCGAGGGCGGGUAUUGAAAGCGAGGGGUGGGCGGAGUGAAACGACGGCGAAAGUCCUUAAGGAUCGGCGUUCACCACGCCAACGCGGUCGUAUGGGGACCAGUGUAUAGGACGCACCUGACCCGGGCCCCGGUCCCGGUCGCGACCCGGACGCGUCGAUCGACGACGUCCUCCUCCUCCUCGCCGCCGCCGCUACUUCUUCUUCCGCGCGCGUCGACGUCAACGCCGCGUUCCUCGCUUCGAGAUCCUUCACGCGCGCGUUCGCCUCCUCGAGUUCGCGCGCCGCCGCCGCCUUCGCCUCUUCCAACUCCGCCUCGACUUUUUUCAGUCGUCCUCUCGCGCGUUCGCUCUCGAAGCUCGCCUCGAUGCGUCCCGCGCGCUCUCUCGCGAGCUCCUCGUGCGCGGCGUCCACCUCGCUCGUGUCCACGAACGCGCGAAACGCGGGCACGAACAGCUUGCGCACGUCCGCGACCUUCGCCCUGCGAUUGCACUGCGGGCACUUCCCGCCGUUGCCCUUCUUGUGUCGCGUCAGCCACUUGCUGAUGCACGCGUGCCCGAAGCAGUGCCCGCAGGAGAGGGCGCUGACCUGGUGCGCGCCGUCGAGCGCGCAGGGUUCCAAGCAGAUGCUGCACGAGAGCGCGCCCUUCGCGGCGUCGUCCUGCGACGCGGGGGGGAGCGCCGGGUCGAGGACGUCGUCCGCGUCGUCCGCGUCGUCCGCGCCGUCGCCGUCGCCGUCGUCGUCGUCGUCGUCGUGAUUCGGCGCCUGCGUGAGAUCUACGAUGACGUCGACCGGCGCGCCGCCGCCGCCGCCGCCGCCGCCGCCGUCCUCCGCGUCGAUGCCCGCGGACGCGGAGCACCGCCGCAGCCGCUCCGUCGCGGCGGCGAGGCGGCCUAUCGCGCCGCCCGCGGUCGUGGACAUCGCGCCUUCCCCGCGUGCGACGCGACAGCCAAGACUGAGCAUUCAAACGAAGAAAGGGGCGCUCGUUUGGUACUGCACUGCGCGAGUAGCGAGUAGCGCCUGGUGAAAAAUAAAAUUCCAGGAAGUAACGCUACGCAGGAUACGGUCUCCGCCCCGGCCUCCGACGACGACGACGACGACGCGACGCGACGCGACAUGACGACGGAUAACUUAAUUAAAAACUCUCGUCGCGAUGAACGAACGCGAACGACGGCUCCGCCGCCGGCGUCAAAUAAUAUAUCGCCGUCGCGGAAACGUCGCCGCGUCACAACUUCGGCGCGGACGCGCACAUGACGAGCUUCGCGAGGCUCCCUCGCUCCGCGUUCAUGUAACACUCCGCGAGCCGCUGCGUGAUCUCCCCGAGCGCCUUCUCCCCCGCGACGACCUGGUCUAACAACGCCGCCGCCUCCUCCUCCGCGACUUGCGCAUCCGUCUUCGGGCCGUCGAACGACGACGCCGCGGGGCCUCGCCGCGUCUCGCAAAUCGCCUUGAUCUCCGCCACCGACUUCCCGGCCCAGCCGCACCGCUCCAACACGUCCGCGAAAUCCGUCUCCGGCCCGAUCGUCGACCAAUCGCAGUCCGUCACCGCGAACCGCGCGGCGUCCCUCGCCUCCUCGUCUCUUCCGAGGUCCGCGUAUAUCCGCGACAGGUACCAGUGCGGCCGGCCCCACCCCUCGAACGACGCCUUGUACAGAUCGCACGUCACCAGCGCGCUCUGCUCGUCGCCCUUCUCCACGUGCUUCUUCGCCAGCGCCUCCAUCGCGUCCGGGAACUUCCCCACCCUGAGCGUGAGGUACACCGGGAGCUCCUUCCCGAGCGUGACGAACGAUCCCGGGUCGUGCAUAGCGAGCCCCGUCGUCCCGGCGGCGGCGGCGACGGCGGCGACGGCGACUCCCGCGUCCGCGGACGCCUUCUCCUCCUCCACGAUCGCGCGGUGGACGUACUGCGGGUCGAGGGUUAGGGUUUAAGCGACGCCGGACGCCGGGUGGAGAUUGAAGGCAGGCGCAUCAGUUGGAGUCGUGAGGCGUCGCGCGCGGGGAUCGAUGAAAGCGAGGGGCCCCGGGCGGAGAGACGAGACGCGACGGGAAAAGUCCUUAAGGAACGGCGUUCACGACGCGGACGCGGUCGUAUGGGGUCCAGUGUGAGAACAGAAGGAGGACGCGCCUCCUUCGCCGUCUUCGCGAGGAGCGUCAUCGACACGUCGCCGCCGCCGACGCACGAGACCACCUCGAGCUCCGCGCGCGCGCCGUCGAACGGGACGGUGACGUGGAGGCACGUCGUGUGCCCGGUGUCGGGAUCGCGCGCGAGCGGGACGCAGCGCGGAUGGAGCCCCGCGCGCUCCGACGGAGCGACGAUCGCGCGCCCCUGCGCGGCGAGGACGGCGACGAGCGCGCCGAGCUCGCUCGGCGCGCGCACGCCGGCGACGGACGCGACGUACUCCGCGUGCGUCGUCCCGCUCGCGAGGUCCGCGGCGGCGUCGGAGGAGUCGCUCGAGGAGGAGGAGGCGGCGGACGCGAUGACAGUCGCGCGGCGACGACGGAUCGCGGGGCUUACGCCGACGCCUCCGCGCGGGGACGGCGCGCGCGCGGCGGCGGCGCGCGCGCGGCGCGUCGCGGACGACGCGGCACGCGGCGUCGUCGGCGUCGCGACGCGAGGGAGGGACGCCGUCGCGGCGGCGGCGGCGGAGGACAUCAUCGGAGCGCGUGCGUCGCGGGCGAGAGGCGCGGAUCGGUCUGCGCGCCGCGGCGUCGCCGGGCAGGUCGGGUCAGGACGCGUUCUCUGCCUCGCGUUUCGGAUAAAAAUCCGUUCCGUCCGAGAGACGGCCCGCGUCGGCCGACGCACUGCGAGCGGCGCGGCGCGCGACGCGGACGACCCGCGCGGCGGUCGGGUCGGGACCGCUCGGUCGCUCGCGGCGACGGCCAUCGCGCGGCACCUCGCGAUCGCAUUCGCACGCGCGCCAGUCUCGGGCCGUCUACGUAUAGAAACAAGAUGCUGAGGCCGAUAUUGAGGAAGCGCGCGCGGCGCGACGACGACGACGCCGCCGCCGCCGCCGCGCCCUCGACAAAGAAGCUGUCGUUCGACGUCACGGAGGCGCGCGUCGUCGGCGUCGCGGACGCGGACGUGGACCGCACGCCCGGCGAGUGCCCGCUCCCGUGCGGCGGAUGCGGGCUCCGGUGCAUCGCGCGUUACUACGCGUGCGGCGCGUGCGGCGCGAAUCACGGAAACAACGACGACGCGUUCGUCCUCUGUCCGACGUGCUUCGGCGCGCACGUGUCGACGACGGAGAGAGCGAGAGAGAAGGCNNNNNNNNNNNNNNNNNNNNNNNNNNNNNNNNNNNNNNNNNNNNNNNNNNNNNNNNNNNNNNNNNNNNNNNNNNNNNNNNNNNNNNNNNNNNNNNNNNNNCCGACGUGCUUCGGCGCGCACGUGUCGACGACGGAGAGAGCGAGAGAGAAGGCGGCGGCGGGAAAGAAGGAGCGGAUGCCGCAGACGCACCGCGAAGGCGACGCGGGGCCCGUGCCCGUGGAGGAGAGCGAGGAGGAGGAGGACGGAUUCCGUGGACCGGACGACGCCGCCGCCGCCGACGACGACGGCGGGAGGUCGCGAUCGGUAUCCGUCCACGAGCACCCGCCCGGAGCGUUCGUUAGAAAAUGCGAUUCGGACCGCGAGCUGCUGCGCGAGAUGCACCUGGAGAAGGUGGCGCGCGAGGCGGAGGACGACGCGGCGGCGGCGGCGGCGGCGGCUGCGGCGGAGACGAAUCGUCGGGGUGGAGUUGAAACUGACCGCCGCGGAGUUGAAACUGGCGCCUUUCAACUCCACCCCGCGGAAGACGACGCGGAGAAGAAGCGCGCGGCGACGGCGACGGCGACGGCGACGGCGAAGGUUUGGGAUUACGUCUCGGAGAUCAUCUGACGCUCGACGUCCAUUCGCGCGCCGGUAGUCUAGCUAGAGAGCACAGUAGCGGAACAACGACGUCGUCAAAACGCCCGCCUUAAAAGGUACCGACACCUUCGGUGAUAGUGUCACAUCGCGCUGCUAGUAUAUUUCUACUCGCGAGAGCGUCACUUACCUCCUCCUCCCGCGAGGUGCGCCUUCCUCCCGCGCGCGAUCGCGGCGUCGAACCCCCGCUUCAACUCCUUGUUGUCCCCGUCGAUCUGCAUCCCCUCGAAAAACGCCAUCGCGGCGCCCUCGAAGUCGCCCAGCUCGGUCAACGCCAGCCCCUCUCGAUACCACGCCUUGACGUACGUCGGCUCGAUCUCCCUUGCGAUCUUCGCGUCUCUCCGCGCGGACGCGUGCGAGCCCUGCCGCAGCUUCGCCGCCGCGCGGUUCGCCCACACCUUGGCGUUGGAAUCGUCCGCGGCGAGAGAAGCGUCGUACGCGGCGAUCGCGUCGGCGUCGGCGCCCUUCACGAACGCCUCGUCGCCGGCGCGCUUCUUCGCCGCCGCCGCGUCGGCGUCCGAAGCGCCCUUCGCGACGUACGGCGGCUCGUCGUCGGGACCCCCCUCGGCGCCCGCCCAGUGUUUCCUCUUCUCGGCGUCGUCGCCGUCGCCGGUACCGCCGCCGGUACCGCCGCGCGUCGUACCGAUCCCCAUCGCCCGGAGCUUCUCCUGAGGGCCAUUCCAUACAAAAAUAGUCCAUCGGUCAGUUGAAAGGGACCCACGCGAUCAAGUGUUGAAACCGAGCUACGGGUGAAAAACAAACGUUCGUAUAGUAGAACGCACCUGGACGAUCUUCUGCACCCCCGACGCGUUCCAAUCGCCCUCCGCGACGCCGUCGUCCCUCGUCGUCCUCUCCAGCAGCGUCUCGACGACGGCGACGCGGCCGACCGCCGCCGCCGCGUGUAUCGGCUUCAUCCGCUCGCCGUCCACCGCGUCCGAGUCCGCGCCGGCGUCCAGGAGCGCGCGCACGAGCUCGUCGGAGGCAUCGGCGCAGUGCGGAUGCGACGCGGCGACGUGGAGCGCCGUCAUGCCUCCGACGGGUCUGAGGGUCGUUCCAUACGAAGAAGCGAUGGUGGGGUGGAGUUCAAAGGCGUCAGAAGCGGAGUUGAAAGGCGUCAAGGUGUGUAGGGAUUGAACGCGAGGGGUAGUGGACGGAGAGAAACACACGCCGGGAGAGAAAGUCCUUAAGGAUCGGCGUUCACCACGCCGACGCGGUCGUAUGGGGACCAGUGCGAGAUAGAACGCGCCUGAGGUGCGUCGGCGCGCCCGCCGCGAGCGCCGCGCGGAGCGCGCCGGGGACGCCCGACGCGGUCGCGAGCGAGGCGGCGCCGACGCCGGCGUCGUUCGUCGCCGACGCGUUCGCGCCGAGGGCUUUCAGUCUGACGAUAUUCGCCUCGGCGCCGCGAGAGCACGCGAGGAGAAACGGCGUGUUCCCGGACGCGCACUUCGCGUCGACGAAUCGGUCGUCCUUCGCGUCCUUCGCGAGCGUCUCCACGCACGCCGCCGCGUUGAUCGAGUUCGCGCUCGUGACCGCCCCCUCCGCGAACGCGCUCGCGGCGGCGCGGUGCAUCGCCGUGACGCCGUCGGACUUGGCCUUCGCGCGGUCCGCGCCGAGCUCGAUCAGCGUCCGCACCGCGUCUGGCUUGGCGUAGUCCGCCGCCGCCAUGAGCGGCGUGUUCCCGUCCUUGUCCUCCGCGUCCACGGGGACGGCGCACUCCUUCACGAGGGCGAUCAGGAUAUCCGCGUCGCCGCGCUGCGCGGCGAGGUGCAACGGCGUGCGGCCGCGCGCGUCGCGCAGCGACGCGACGGACGCGCCCGUCUCGUCGCGAAACUUUUUCGCGGCCGCGACGACGUCGGCGACGGAUCCCUCGCUCACGGCGGCGACGACCGCUUUCAUCUCGUCCAUCGCGGCCAUGACCUUCUUGUCGGUGCUCUUCUCGUCCUUCUUGGUCGACAUGACGACGAGAAGAAGCGCGAGAAGAAGCCUUUCGAGGGCGGCGGCGGCAGCGGCGUGCCCUCGACUGACGACGAGAUCGACGCGAGCUGCUAGCUAGGUUUCCACGGGAGCUUCCGGUCGUCGGCUCGCGCAGCGCGCCGCAGCGCGCGCGACAGGCGACACGUGAUGAUGAUGAUGGAUGAGCUCUCUCACGUGUUCCUAACAACUUAUCUCGCUCGAUCGCACUUCGUCGCGCGCGCCGCUCACGCCGUCGCGUCGAGUUCCGCCGUCGCCCGUUCAUGUCCGCGUCGCGCGUCCUCUGUCCCGCGCGCGCGUCCCCGCUCGCGCGUCGCGGCGUCCGCGUCGACCGCGCGUCGCGCGCUUUAAAGGUCCGUCGCGCCCGUCUUAGCUCGCUCGUGCCCUCCCUCCCAUCCUCCUCGCCUCUGACGCUCCCUCCAUCCCUCUCUCCCUCCAUCCAUCCAUCCUCAGCCUUCUCUCGCGUCGUCGUCCUCCGCGCGCCGCGCCGCGAUCAUCAUGACCGCGAGCGAUCACACCGCGGUCCUCUUCGACUUCGACGGCACGCUCGGGGACACGGAGACGCCCGCGAUGGAGGUUGCGUUCUGGGAGCUCGCGCCGUACUUCCCCGAAGCCGCGAAGCCCGACGGCGCGAGUUAUCUCACGGACAAGACGUGCGCGGACUACAUCCGCGACAACGCGGGGAAGGCGUUCGAGUUCAUGGUGGACGUCGUCGAGGAGGAUCGCAAAGCCGCGGGGUUGUCGUCCAUCGAGGAGGCGCGCGCGUCCGCGGGAGAGGCGCCGGCGACGCUCGCCGUCGUGGACGCCGGCCGCGCGAAGUUUGGCCUCCCGCCGCUCGCGGAGACGCGCGGUCUCGGAAAGGACAUCCUGACGCUUCAGAAGGACGAGACCGUGGACGCGCUGUCCGUGGCUGCGCAUCCGUGCGACAACGUCCCGGGAGUGCUCGCGUCGCUGAAGGCGAAGGGGAUUCCGUUUUGCAUCUCCACCACGAGCGGGAAACCGCGCGUGCCCGUGAGGUGCGUUCUAUACACUGGUCCCCAUACGACCCCGUUGGCGUGGUGAACGCCGAUCCUUAAGGACUUUGCCCGGCGUCUCUCUCCGCCCACUCCUCGCUUUCAAUACCCGCCCUCGACGCCUUUCAACUCCAUCUGACGCCUUUCAACUCCACCCCGACGUCGCUUUGUAUGGAACGACCCUGAGCGUCGUGUCAUGCGGGUACACCGAGUAUUUCCCCCCGGAGAAGAUUCACAGCGGCGAGAGCGACUUCGAUCCGCCGCGGUUUAAGCCAGACCCGAGCGUGUACUUGCUCGCGGCGAAGAGCGAGGACGCGGACCCGAAGAACUGCGUCGCCGUGGAGGACAGGCGCGUGACGACUUUUACGUGCUGACUUUUACGCGUCAUCCUCCAUCGCGUCCGACGCCACGACUGACCGAUCAACUCAUCCAAUCAACUCCGAUCCAAUCCAAUCCAAUCCAAUCGCAGCACGUCCGGCGUUGGCAGCGCGGCGAACGCGAACGUCGGCCUCAUCGUCGGGUACGUCGGCGGGACGCACAUCACCGAAGACCGCAAGACGUCGCACGCGGGCACGCUGACUGCGGGCGGCAGGAGCGACGACGGCCGCGGCGCGGACAUCGUGAUCCGGGACAUGGUCGACCUGGUGCCGCUCGUGGAGACGUUCGCGGCGAGCGCGGAGAUGAAGGAUGCGGCGAAGAAGCCGGUCGUUUUCGAGAAGGCGACGCUGGACGCGUUGAAGGGCGAGUAUUGGCUUCCGGAGGGGAAAUAGAAUUUUGCCUUCGCGAGACGACGUCCGGACGACGACGAAGACGCCCGAGGUUUCUUCGAGCGAGGAGAACGAGAGCGGGGGUCUGUUCGUCUGUCCGCGCGAGAGAUGUGCGUGGCACGGUACGGUAUGGGUUAACGGGGGAGGGGGAGCGAGACGUGGCGGGAAGCCGCGGCGACCCUUGAUGUUGUGAGAGAGGCUGGUUGGUGUAAACGAACGAAAAGCGUAAACUUCGAGCGCAGGCUUGAAAAAACCGCCCACCCGCGCGCAGCGCGCGCCGCGGAAAUAAAUGGCGCGAACGCGUUCGACCGGCGGCACUGACGUGCGCGCGGGGCGACGCGCGGUAACGACGACCGCCCGCGCCCGCCGCUCCGUCGUCGUCGUCGUCCGGUAAACGCGGCGGCGAAUCGAAUCGCCGCGGGCGAGGCGUCGCGUCGGGCGUCGUCCCCCGCGCGCGGCGAAGCGCACCUCGCCCCCGCCCCGCCCCGCCCCUUCUUUCCGCGCGUCGCCGUCGUCGCGUCGAUCGAUCGAGAGAAAGAGUCGGCGACGGCGGCGGCGCGGGGUCCGGGUCCGUCGCGAUGUCGUCCGACCUCGACGUCAUGAUCGAGACGCUCCGACGGUGCGAGGUCUUGAAAGAGUCCGAGGUGAAGUGGCUGUGCGGCAAGGCGAUGGAGGUGCUCGUGGAGGAGAGCAACGUGCAGAGGAUCGACUCCCCGGUGACGAUAUGCGGGGACAUCCACGGGCAAUUUUACGACCUCGUCGAGCUGUUCAAAGUGGGGGGGGACUGCCCGCAGACGAACUACCUGUUCAUGGGCGACUUCGUCGACCGCGGGUUCUACUCCGUGGAGACGUUCUUGCUGUUGUUGGCGCUCAAGGUGCGCCUCGCGUCUCAGAUCUCGCGCCUCGUCGUCGUGGAAGGAAUCAACGACCCAGCCGCCCAAUGCGAAAAUCGAUCGAUCGAUCGAUCGAAUCGAUCGAAUCGAUCGAUGGAUCGAGUCGAAUCGAACGGACGAUGCAAAGUGCGACGACGCGCCGACCGAUCGACUCACCGCGCUCUUCCCCCACUACCCCCGCCCCGCGAUCCGAUCCUAUCGAUCAGGUGCGCUAUCCCGACAGGAUAUACCUCAUCCGAGGGAACCACGAGUCGAGGCAGAUCACGCAGGUGUACGGGUUCUACGACGAGUGCCUUCGGAAGUACGGCAGCGUAAACGUGUGGCGGUAUUGCACGGACAUAUUCGAUUACCUGUCGCUGUCCGCGCUCGUGGACAAUCGCAUCCUGUGCGUCCACGGCGGGUUAUCCCCCACGAUCACGAGCGUGGAUCAGAUCCGGACGAUCGAUCGAAAGCAAGAGGUGCCGCACGACGGCGCGAUGUGCGACCUGCUGUGGUCAGGCGCGUUCUAUACACUGGUCCCCAUACGACCCCGUCGGCGUGGUGAACGCCGAUCCUUAAGGACUUUUCACGGCGCAUCUCUCCGCCCACACCACGCUUUCGAUCCCCGCCCUCGACGCCUUUCAACUCCAACUGACGCCUUUCAACUCCACCCCGCCAUCGCUUUGUAUGGAACGGCCCUCAGACCCGGAAGACGUCACCGGGUGGGGGUUGAGCCCGAGAGGCGCGGGGUACCUGUUCGGAGGCGACGUGUGCCACCAGUUCAAUCGCACGAACGGCGUGGACUUGAUCGCGCGCGCGCACCAGCUCGUCAUGGAAGGGUACAAGUGGAUGUUUGACGAGGAGUUGGUGACGGUGUGGAGCGCGCCAAACUAUUGCUAUCGGUGCGGGAACGUCGCCGCGAUUCUAGAGUUGGACGAGCACCUGGAGAAGAACUUUAAGGUGUUCGAGGCGGCGCCGAGCGAGUCUAGGGGGGUGCCCGCGAAGAAGGCGGCGCCGGAUUACUUUUUGUGAUCGAUGACGUCGCGUUCGGCGACGAGCGAGGCGAGCAGAGUAGAAGCGAGCGGAAUUAACCUUACAAAAAAAUAAAACCAACCACCGACCGACUCGCCGGCGUUCCAUCGCGAGAACGGAGACGACGAGCGCGCGACGACGACGACUACGACUACGCCGCCGUCGCUCGUCGUCACCUCACGACGCACAACGUCAGGCCGUCGCCGAUGGGCACGGUGACGUGCGCGCUUAUCCUCUCGUCCCUCGCCACUUUUUCGUUAAACUCUCGAAUCGCAAUCGUCUGCUUAUCGUUCACCUCCGGGUCCGCCACCUUGCCGUACCACAGCACGUUAUCGAUCGCGAUCACGCCCCCCGGGCGCACGAGCUCGAGAAGCUUCUCGUAGUACGCCCAGUACCCGCGCUUGUCCGCGUCCACGAACGCGAAGUCGUAUCGCCCGCGAUGAUUAAUCUUUUCGCCCCCCGCGCCGUCGCCGUCGUCGUCGCCGUCGUCGUCGUCGUCGCCCGCGAGCAUCGCGUCGAGCGUCGCCUGCGCGUCCCCGAGCCGCUCCACGAUCUUCCCCCGCACGCCAGCUCUCUCCCAGUACGCGCGCGCCACCUCGAACGACGGCUCGGAGACGUCGCACGCCGUCAGCGUCCCGUCGUGCGGCAGCGCCAACGCCAUCGCGACUGAGGGUCGUUCCAUACAAAGCGACGUCGGGGUGGAGUUGAAAGGCGUCAGUUGGAGUUGAAAGGCGUCGAUGGCGGGGAUUGAAAGCGAGCGGUGGGCGGAGAGACACGCCGGGCAGUCCUUAAGGAUCGGCGUUCACCACGCCAACGCGGUCGUAUGGGAACCAGUGUAAGAACGCACCUGACGAGUAUCCGGUGAACGUGCCGAUCUCGACGACGUGCGUCGCGCGGAGCAUCGCGCACAGCGUAAAGAGCAGCGCUCCUUGCUCCGGGGGCACCUGCAUCUGCGACCCGCGCAGCGCGGCGGUCUCCACGCGCAGCGCGCGGAGGACCUCCGGCUCGCGCGUGUGCUUCAGGAGGUACGCGUAGAGCCGCGCGUCCAUCGCGAUGGGGGUCUUGUUCCACGGGUCGGAUUCCUCCUCGUCCUCGCCGCGACGAUGAUGAUGUUGAUGGGACGACGAGGGCGACGACGCGGCGUCGGCGUCGGCGUCGGCGGCGGCGAAGACGGCGCCGCGCGCGCGGCGGCGACGACGAGCGACGACGGCGUCAUCGCGGCGACGCGGACGCGCGCGUCGCGGGAGGAGGACGGCCGCGGCGGCGCGCGAGACGGACGCCGCCAUACCUAACAAUGCGGAAAAUAAUCCCAGUCGCGCGCGCUCGUUCAUCAGUCGUCAAAGCCGCGCCGCCCUCCCGCCUCCCCGAUAACGCGUCCGCCGUUUCGACUUCCCUCCGUCACGUCUCUCGCCGCCUCCGUCCGCGACGACUUCGCGCGGCGCGGGAAGCACGUCGACCUCGACUCGACGACCAUGCCGGUCUCCAUGAGCGCCGGCGUCGCGACGCCGGAGCUCAGCGAAGAGAAGCUCGCGGCCGCGCGCAAGUGGCUCGAGGAGAAUCGACACCACCUGGACCUGUACAACGACCCCGCGCUGCUGGGACCGAGCGCGAAUUCGAAUGCGAACGACGACGACGUCGCCGCGACGGCGAAGCGCGCGAAGAACGGCGAGAGUUACGACGACGUCUCCGACGACGACGACGAGGAGGAGGACGACGACGAGGAGAAAGCGACGGAGCGCAUGAGGAAGGCGUUUCACGAGCGCACGCUGCGGGUGCGCGGCGACGCGCGACGCGAUUCCAACUCCCGAACAAAAAACGUCCCUUCGUUUCGUUCGGAGAUGAUUUGAAUUUCGCGGCGGCGCGCGCUUCCGACCCUUCAUUCCUUCCUUCAUUCCUUCAUUCCUUCCUUCCAUCCCUCCCUCAUCGAUCGACCGAUCCCCCUAAACCCUAAACUCCACUUCGCAGGGCUGCGUGCGUCUGAUGGAUGCGUGGUUCAACAAAACCCCGACCGAGCGCGAGAAGGAUGAGAUCGAAAAGGUGAAAAACGUCCUCCGCAAGCAGCGGUGCGAUCCGCCCAUCGCGCCGGACGAACCCGCGCCGAUGACUAUUCGCCCGUACGACUGCGAUCCGGGAGAUCACCAGCACGACUACCAGUUCACGUUCAAGAACGCGCUGACGACGGUGUUCGACGUGAAGCGCGUCAUGGCGAAGCGCGACAACGUCCCGAGGGAGGCGCUCGACGUCGUGUUGGGCGGCAAGGCGCGUUUCGAGACGACGCCUCCAGACUGAUCCCCAUACGACCCCGUCCGCGUGGUGAACGUCGAUCCUUAAGGACUUCGCCCCCCUUCGCCAUGACGCGCCCUCUUCGCUUCGUCGCGCUCUCGCGUCCAAUCAAACGUCCACGUCAUCACAUACCUAACCAAUCACAUACCUUCCCGCCGCGUCGUCCGCCGAUUACGUAAACCACCCGCAGAAGCUCGCGGACCGAGAGACGCUGCUGGAGUGCGGCGUGGGCGCCGGCUACAUCGUGUACCUGAGAGUCGACCCCGCCAAGUUUCGGGAGAUGGCGACGACCACGAUGGAGCAAUUCCCGGGCGGGGAGAGAGUGCCGAUCACGAGGAUGGUGCACAAGGACGGGACGUUCACGCUCGAGUGAGCGAGGUGGGAGGAGGAGGAGGAGGAGGAGGAGGCGAGGGAAGAACGAACGAACGUCGUCUGGCGCUAUGACUACACGUAUUCCUAAUCCUAUUCCCAUGGUAAAUACGUCGCCUUUCCUGAACAACCCACCCACCCACCGCGCGAUAGACGCGUGCCCUCGUCUCGGCGAUCGCUCCCGCUCUUCGCCGCGCGCUCAGUCCGCGUGGUCGUGGUGGUGGUCGUCGUCGUCGUCGUCGUCCGACCCCCCCUCCGCGGCCGCCGCGGCUCGCAACAGACUCUCCUUGUCGAGACCCAACGCCACCUUGGUCGAAAAGUCGUGCCUCAGAACGACCCUCGCGCACUCGAUGAACAGACCGCUCUGCACGGCGAAGUACGUCAACGUCACCGCGUAGAAGAAGUUCGCGUUCGCGACGCGGUCGACGAUCCAGAGCCGCCAGAAUAUCGGCGAGAGCAGAAUAACGUAGAAAAAGCCGGCGACGACGGCGAACGCCGCGCCCGGAUGGAACGCCGCCAAUUCCUCCGAAAACAACGGCAGGAGCGACAGAUACCUCGCCGCGUCCCCAAGCGUGGGGUACGGGUGCAUUAUGCAUCCGAGACACGUCACGCCGAAUAUCGCGAACGUCGGACGGCUGUCGAUGAACCGAAUCGUCAACGGCGUCGCGAGAAACGCGGGAAAGAACGCGAACACGAACCGGUAAAACCCGACGAAGUGGUCGAACAGCUCCGAGAAGAAGUACCAGUGCGCGCCCAGGUUCGGCGCGAGGUCGUCCGGGACGAGCAAGUACACGUAGCACGCUCUGAACCAAUCGUCGAACGACGCGUGGCCGCGAAGUAUAUCCGUGGACAGCCACGUCAGCGCGAAGAGCCACGUCGUCGUCCACGCGAAGAGUUUCGCCGUCGCCGUCGCCGGGGAGUGUCCCGAGACCUCCGCCGCGCUCCGCCGCGCGAUCUCCCGCCCGCGCAUCCCGCCGUCCACCCCCGGCCGGUGCCCCUCCGCGCCGCCCUUCGCGAUUGCGCUCGCCGUCGGCGCGAAGAGCAUCGCGAGCGGGGCGAUCCCUCCGAGGUACGCGCUCGUCGCGAGCCCGAACCCGGCCACGUGCGGAUUCCCGCAGCUGGCGCCUGAGGGUCGUUCCGUCGUGCGAAGCGACGACGUCGGGGUGGAGUCGAAAGGCGUCAGGGGUGGAGUUGAAAGGCGUCAUAGGGUCGGGGAUUGAAAGCGAGGGGUGAUGGGCGGAGAGAAACGCCCGCCGGGAGAUAAAGUCCUUAAGGAACGGCGUCCACCACGCGAACGGGGUCGUAUGGGAGCCAGUGUGAAUGCGAACGCACCGAAGAUGAGAAACGCGAGCGCGGCUGUCCGAAGGCCCGCGCACGAGCACGCGACGCACGACGCGAUCGCGAGCGGGUUCGCGAGCGAGAGCGCAGCGACCGUCCACGGCGUCGACGCGACGCGCCUCGACGCCUCGCGCUUCGCCGCCGCGGACGCGCCGGGCCCGCCCGCGGAGCCUGCGCGCGACCAGACGAUCCGGCGCGCUUCGAUCCGUCGAGACGCGAAGAAGAGCGCGAACGCGGCGAGGACGUCGAAGACGACGAACGGCGCCACCGCGCGCGUUCCGAUCGUCGGCGCGCUCGCGAUGCGCGGCGCGAGCGCGGCGAGGAGCAGCGGCGGCGCGUGCAGCGCGCUCCCGGCGUACGGGGACUGCCCGAGGCGGCGCAGCGCGUCGCCCUCGCGCAGGCGCGUCGCGGCGUCCACCGCGCUGGAAAGCUCUGGACGCGCGUGAAGGAUCUCGCCCCAUCCGCGCGCGGCGAGGACGAAGCGGAGGAGGACGGACGCGAGAGCGAUCGCGGCGGCGACGCGGGGGGAGAGAUGCAUCGCGCGGACGACGGACGUCGUCGUCGUCGACGACGACGACGACCGCGCCGAAGCGGGGAGUGGCGGUGGUCGCGACGAGAUGGCGUGUCAUGUUUGCUGAUGCUGAGCAGUUGUUACUGUACAGCUGUCAUCACGAAACGCAAAUUCAAUCAUCACUUCUCUUCGGCGGCGGCGGCGGCGGCGACGACCCACGCGCCGACGACGUCCGCAUCGCGCGCCAACCGCGCGCUCUUCGCGCGCACCGCCUCCGCGGCCUGCGUCACCGUCCGCUCCGCGCCGUCGAUCUUCUUCGGGAGGUAAAACGCCUCGAUCGCCGCCGCGUCCUCCUCUGAGGGCCAUUCCAUACGAGGGAAUGUCGGGGUGGAGUUCAUAGGCGUCAGUUGGAGUUGAAAGGCAUCGAGCUCGGGGAUUGAACGCGAGGGACCCUGGGCGGAGAGAGACGACGGCAAAAGUCCUUAAGGAUCGGCGUUCACCACGCCAACAGGGUCGUAUGGGGACCAGUGUAUAGAACGCGCCUGACGCGAGACCCCCGCAGCUCGCGCCUAUGACGCGCGUCAGCCCGCUGCUCACGCCGCCGCCGCCGAACUUCGCGUCGACGGCGUCCCAGUUGGCGCGCACCCAGUCCCACGUGACUCUGCGACCGGCGCGCGUGCCCGCGGAGGCGCCGAUGAUGGCCGCGCCGUCUUGUUUACGCACCGCGUCCGUCAUGUUAAACUCGAGGACGCGCGAUAUCAACGCGGGAUCCUUCGACGCGCCCAUCGCGCCGAGAAGAAGCGACUCCUCCAGAGAGCUCUCCGCCUCCUUAUACAGCCGUUUAAGCUCGUCGAGCUCUCUCUCGCCGCCGUGGCGCAGCGCGGACGCGAACACCGCGCCCUUGAUGUCCGCGGGGAUCGCCUCUCUGUCGCCGCCGACGUACGCGUCGAACAGCUCGCGCGCCGCCGCGACCGAAGCCGGGUGCUCGUACGCCAGCGCGCGAGACACCGCGAGCUGCCGCAGCAUCGACGUCUGGUACCCCCCCGGCGCGGUCGCCUCGCCGCCGGGGGCGACCCAUCCGAGCUUGGCCACCAACGGCGCGAACAGCGACGCGCCGUACGCGCGGAGGGCGUCGCACACGUCGUCGGGCUGCUCGAAGAACGCGGAGGUUAUCCCGCCGAGCCCGCUCGCGAUCUCGUUCCUGUCGGGGUGGAGUUGAAAGGCGUCCUAAGCGGAGUUGAAAGGCGUCGAGGACGGGGAUUGAAAGCGAGGGACCCUGGGCGGAGAGAGACGACGGGAAAAGUCCUUAAGGAUCGGCGUUCACCACGCCGACGCGGUCGUAUGGGGACCAGUGUGAGGACGCACCACACGACGUACGACUCCUCCCCGGCGUCCGCGUACGCGCGCGCGAGCUCGAGCGCGGCGGUCGUCUUCGCGUACCCCGCGGCGCCGCACGCGAACGCGUCGGAGACGAGGCCGACGCGGUCCACCUCGGACAUCCCGGGCAGCGCGCGCAUGAGCCUCGCGCGCGCGUUUUCGUCGUACACGACGCGGUAAAAACCGCUCUGUCCGACGUUUAGCUUGAGCGGCUUCUCGCGGUCGGCGGCGGCGACGUCGAACGCGCCGGUCGCGGCGUCGAGAACGCCCGGGACGGUCGCGAACCCCUCCGCGCGGAGCGGGACCUUCCACGUCGCGCCGCUCUCUUCCGGCGUGAGCGAGUCCGGCCCGGAGGCGAGGUACCGACGCUGCGAGACGACGACCGAGGACCCGUCGUCUUUGGACGCGACGGAGAGAAUGGGAUAGCCCGUCUGCGACGUCCAGCACUCCAUCAGUCCUCUGACGUCCUCGCCCGACGCCUCGGACAGCGCCGCCCACAGGUCCGUCGUCCCCGCGUUCGCGUACUGGUGCCGCGCGACGUAUAUUCGCAUCCCGGCGCGGAACGUUUCCUCCCCGAGAUGCGAUUCGAGCAUGCGAAUGACGCACGAGCCUUUACUGUAAGAGAUGGCGUCGAAGAUCUCGUUCACCUGCGACGCGGACUCGAUCGGCACCUCCACCGGAUGCGACGAUCGGAGCGAGUCCAGCCCGAGCCCCAUGCCUUGCUCGUUGCACAGGAACUGCGACCAGACCUUCCACUCCGGGUAGAGGUGGUCCAUCGCGCGCCAGCCGACCCACGUCGCGAACCCCUCGUUCAGCCACAACUGCGACCACCACUGCAUCGUGACGAGGUUACCGAACCACUGAUGCGCGAGCUCGUGGCCGACGACGUACCCGAUCCUCUGUUUCGCGUUGAUCGGGGUCUUGCCCUCCUCGAACAGCAUCAGCGACGCGCGGUAGACGACGAGCCCCCAGUUCUCCAUCGCGCCCGCGCUGAAGUCCGGCACGGCGACCAUGUCCAUCUUCGGGAGCGGGUACGCGUUGUCAAAGUAUUCGCCGAAAAAUGAAAGCGAUCCGACGGCGGUGUCCAACGCGAACCUGUCGGGGUGGAGUUGAAAGGCGUCAGUUGGAGUUGAACGUUGAAAGACAACGCGGGCGGGGAUUGAAACUGAGGUGUGGGCGGUGAGAGACGACGGGAAAAGUCCUUAAGGAAUGGCGUUCACCACGCCGACGGGGUCGUAUGGGGACCAGUGUAAGGAGAACGAACCGCCCUUGCUCGGACUUUCCGACCGGGGUCCAGCACCGGACGACGACACCCUCCGGGGUCGUGGCCUCGAUGUGGUCGAAUUCGCCGACGCAGAACGCGAGGAGGUACGUAGACAUCACCGGCGUCGUCUCGAACGUCACGGUCUUCGUCUUAGGGCCAUUCCAUACAAAACAAGUUCAUCGGUCAGUUGAAAAGGGACGCGAUCAAAUGUUGAAACCGGGCGAUGGGUGAAACACUUUUGUAUAGAACGCACCUUAGCCUCCGCGUCCCUCGUCACGCUUUUCUCCGGCAUGUUCGACAACGCGACGCGAUCGUCCGCGACCGUGAGCGUCAUCCCGAACGUCGCCUUCAGCGACGGCUCGUCCCAACACGGGAAGCACCGUCGCGCGUCCGUGGGCUCGAACUGCGUCACCGCGAGAUGCCGCGUCUCGCCGCUCCCGUCCGGCGCCGGAUACGCGCUGCGGUAAAACCCGGCGAGCUUAGGGUCGUUCCAUACAAAGCGAUGUCGGGGUGGAGUUCAUAGGCGUCAGUUGGAGUUGAAAGGCGUCGAGGUCGAUGAUUGAAAGCGAGGGGUGGGCGGAGAGAUGCGCCGGCAAAAGUCCUUAAGGAUCGGCGUUCACCACGCCAACGCGGUCGUAUGGGAACCAGUGUAUAGAACACGCCUUAUCGUUGAGCUCGCCCGAGAACGCGAGCGUCAGCGUGAUCUCGGACCCGACGUCCGACGCGAGCAGAGGCUUCGAGAGCGCGACCGUCGCGGUCUCUUGCUUCUCGUCGCCGUAUAAGAUGUCCGGGCCGCCCGGGUUGGUGCGCUCCGCGCCGCUCGCGUCGACGACGACGCCCGACGAGAUCUUCAGGUCCUUCGCGUGGAACGUGACGGCCGCGCACGGCUCGCGCACCGUCAGCUUCACGGUCACGACGCCGUCGUACUGAAACGUCUCGAGGUUGGGCGUUAGCGCGAGGUCGUAGUGCGACGGCGUCACCGCGGUCGGUAAGAGCUGCUUGUCCCCGCACAUCACGAGGCCUUGGCACUUGCUGCACUCGCACCGGACGUAGGCGAUGGUACGUCCGCCCUCGAGCGUGAUGAGCGGCGCGCGCUUCGCCUCCGCGUCCGCGACGGAGCGGCAGACGACGUCGUCGGAGGCGGAGGCCUGAGGCUCGGAGGAUGUCUUCGGCGCGGGCGCCAUGAUCGAUUUUCUUCGCGAGAUGGACGACGACGACGACGACGACGACGACGACGACGACGGCGGCGAAGAGCGAGGCGCCCGGCGGACGGCAGAUCGCGCGACGAUCGAUCGGCGACUUUGAUGAAGAGAGGUCGCGAACGAAGCGACGGGGACUGCUCGGGUCGCGACGCCGCGCAUCGAGAGCGCGCGAGUGGGAGCGGAGAGCGAGCGCGAAGAAGCGAUCGCUGGGAGAGCGGCGGGCGGCGUGCGGGGGGGGCGCGCGCGUCGACGGAAGUGUCGUUUCGAAGAAGUGCCCACUUAUCCAGAGACGGGACGUGUACGUGUCGCGCUGUGCACGAGGAACCUGCAAAUGAGGAAGGAACCGAACGAGCCCGUCGGCAUCCGUCUACGCGAGGAGAAUAAAACGCUCACGAAUCGUGCGUUUUCAUUGGACACAUACAUAUGUACACGACGCGCGAGGAACGCCCUCCCUCACUUCAAGUUCUUCCCGUCGAUCGGCCCGAGCGCCCCCCACGUUUCGCCGUCGUACCCGUUCUUCCCUUCCCUCGGCGGCUUCAGGUAGUUGCUCUUCGGAUGCCCCAACCCGAGCCACUCGUACUCCUCGCGCGUGUGCGCGCCCGGCACGUGCGCGCCGUCAAACUUCGCGGAUUCGAGCUCCCACUUGUUCCUCGGCCCGUCGAUCGUCUCGUGCGUCUCGAGCUCGUCGCCGUACAGCGCGUCCACGCGGAACGGGCCAAUCUGUUCGCGUUCCCUCGGCGCCGGCUCGGGCGGCGGCUGCGGCCGAUCCGGCAUCACGAAUCGAUCCACGAGCGGCUCGCCCGUGAUGGUGUUGUACUCCACCGAGCUCUUCAGAUGCCGCUGCAAAAACUCCCUUCGCAGCGCGCUCUUGUACUUGACGUGCUCGUCCUCGUACCGAAGCAUCUGGCCGCCGUACGAGUCGCGGUACUGCAGCGUGAUCGGGUCGUAUUCCACCUUGGGGUCGUUCCAUACGAGCGAACGUCGGGGUGGAGUUGAAAGGCGUCAGUUGGAGUUGAAAGGCGUCGCGGUCGGGGAUCGAAACCGAGGGGUGGGAGGAGAGAGACGCCGGGAAAAGUCCUUAAGGAUCGGCGUUCACCACGCGAACGCGGUCGUAUGGGAACCAGUGUGCAGAACGCACCUUGGACUUGUUGUUGUUGGAGAUGGGCUCCUCCUUGAGGUCCUCCGCGCGUUGGUCAAAGUACGCGUCUUGCUGGUGCACCUUGCCCCACCGCGCAGUCUCCUUCUCGUACGUCGCCAUCCGUUUCCGCUCGAAGAAUUCCUGGUGGUCGAGAGCGGAGCGGGGGAUUCGCGCGGGGAGGGUCAGAGAGGGAACGGAGAGAGGGAACGGAGAGAGGGAACGGAGAGAGGACGAGCGAGCGAAAGAACGCCGCGCGAGACACAGCUGUGUUCCCAAAACGGCACGAGAAUCGCGAUUCGAUCGACCGAUCGGAUCGCUCGAGACUAAAUGCUCAUAGGAUCGACCUCGAGGAACGCGCGCGGAGACGACGACGACGCACCUCUUUCUCGAGUAUCUUCCGCUGCCGGUGCUCGAACUCCUCCGCGGCGGCGUUCGUGCCGAACCGCUCCGCCUCGCUGAUGAACGCGGCGGCUUUCUUCAUCGGCACGAUCGGAUUCGUGUACAUGUCCUCCGGGUCGUAUCGGUAGUGUCCGCCGCGGCGGUUCCCGAGGCGCAAGCGCUCGAGCGCGUCUUUAUCGUUCAUCGCCAUUCGCUCCUCGCGCGAUCGCGCGGGGGCGUUGAAGAACUCAGCCGCGGGGGGUUCCGGGAGGGCGCUCAUGGUGGGCGCUUUCGGCGAUUCUCGUUCGCGCCUUUCUUUUUUCCCCCGUCCUCGCGCGCGCGCUCCUGCCGCGACGACGACGACGCGAGUCGACGACGGUUCGCGCGCGCUGGCGUAUCGCGACGGGCGCGGGCGCGGGCGACGAUGCCGCGGGCGUUUCGCGCGCGGGUUCGGUCGUGCGGCGACGCGCGCGGCGGUCGAUGACGCGCGGAGUCGCGGGGGGGGCGGGGGGAACCGAAGCGCAAUCGUCUGAAGUCAACUCCUGCGUGGUCGCGGUCGGCCGCGGCGGCUCGAAGUUGAUCGGGCGGCGUAGGUUCAACGGGGUGAAAAACGUCGCUGACCGACCCACGUCCUGCGUUUUCAAAGGCGGACGAUCGCGCGCGCCGAUCGAAAGCGCGCGGCGCGCGAGGUGCGCGACGCCUCAUCACGAGCAACGGAGAACGCGGCACGUCACCGGAGCCACUACUUGUCGCUCUCGUGGUCGCGUCGUUCCGCGCGCCGUCUUCACUCAUUGGUCGCCGCGCCGGUACCGCGACGACACCACCGAGAACGAUGACGAUGCCGAUGACGCGCGCCGUCGCCGGGCUCGCGCCGCGGCGCGACGCCGCGCUGCCGCCGUCGUCCGCGCGUCGACGCGCCGCCGCCGGCGUCGUGCGCGCGACGGUCCGCGCGAAGAAGAGGACGACAUCGAAAUCUCGUCGCGUCGUCUCCACGACGACGCGCGCGCGGAUGGGCGGAGGCGGCAUCGCGGAAGUCGCCGGCAACGCCGCGAUCGCGGUCGUCGAAGUCUCCAAAGCCGUCCGCAUGCGCGGCGUCGACGCGCCGACGGUCGAGAAGUCGUACGUCAGCAAGGGCAGAGGCGCCGGCGCCGGCGACGACGCCUCCGCCGACGGCCCCGCGGCGGUGGACGCCGAAGGCCUCCCGCUCGUGUACGACGCCGCGGCGAUCCAGGCGUUCUGGGCGAAGCAAGGCGGCGCGCUGCAGCGACGCUGGGGCGAGUUCCUCUCCCUCUCCGUGCCGUUCCUCACGCGCGUCGCGACGCUCUCCAUCACCGGCGGCGCGGCUGAGCUCAGCAAGAACGAAGCGUCGCUCGCGAGAGACGCGCGCGUCAUCAUCGAAAAACUCGGGCCCACGUACAUCAAAGCCGGACAGAUGAUGUCCGUGCGACCGGACGUCCUGCCGCAGGCGGCGCUGGACGAGCUCGCGAUCCUUCAGGACGCGGUCAAGCCGUUCGCGACGACGACCGCGAUCGAGACGAUCGAGGCGGAGCUGGGGGGGGCGCUGGGGGAGUUUUUCGACGAGAUCUCCGAGGCGCCCGUCGCCGCCGCGUCGCUCGCGCAGGUGUACCGCGCCAAGGUGCGUUCUAUACACUGGUUCCCAUACGACCGCGUCGGCGUGGUGAACGCCGAUCCUUAAGGACUUUUCCCGUCGUCUCUCUGCGCCCACACCUCGCUCACAAUCCCCGUCCUCGGCGCCUUUCAACUCCGCUUCUGACGCCUGUGAACUCCACCCCGACAUCGCUUUGUAUGGAAUGGCCCUAAGCUCGCGGGCACGGACACGUACGUCGCCGUCAAGGUCCAACGACCGGAGAUUCUCUCCACGGUGAGCAAGGACCUGUACGUGCUGCGCCGCGCCGCGGAGGUGUACCAAGGCCUCAUCGAACGCUUCGCGCCGCAACAGCGCACGGAUUACGUCGCGCUCCUCAACGAGUGGGCGGUGGGCUUCUACACUGAGGCGCGUUCUAUACACACUGGUUCCCAUACGACCGCGUUCGCGUGGUGAACGCCGUUUCUUAAGGACUUUGCCCGUCGUCUCUCUCCGCCCACCACCCCUCGCUUUCAAUCCCGACGCGCCUCGACGCCAUUCAACUCCGCUUCUGACGCCUUUCAACUCCAUCACCCCGACGUCGCUUUGAAUGGACCGUCGCCUCGACCCUCAGUUGGACUUUCUCAACGAGGCGGAUAACCAACAGCGCCUGCGCGACCUCAUUGCGGCGGAGAAGGUGCAGGGCGUGUACGUCCCCGAGGUCUACCACGAGAUGUGCACGCGCCGGGUGCUCGUGUCCGAGUGGAUCGACGGGACGAAGCUGAGCGACUGCCCGAAGGAUGAGAUUCGCGAGCUCAUCGGCGUCGGACAAGAGUGUUUCCUCGUGCAGCUGCUUCAGGUUGGGUUCUUUCACAGCGACCCGCACCCGGGGAAUUUGAUGAAGAUGGCGUCGAGGGAGGACCCGAGCAAAAACACGCUCGUGAUCUUAGACUUUGGCUUGAUGGCGUCGAUCGAGCAGAGCGACAUGGACACGAUGGUGUCGUCGAUCAUCCACCUCGCGAACAAGGAUUACCCCGCGCUCGUGGACGACUUCAUCGACUUGAAAAUCUUACCUGACGACUGCGACCGCGCCAAGGUGAUUCCGCUGAUGGACAAAGCGCUGUCGCCGUACGUGAAAGGCGGCGGCGCGAAGAAGUACGAGGCGGAGUUAAAAAAGAUGUACGACAUGGACGGCUCGCUGCAGUCCACCGCGGGCGGGUUCCAGGCGAUGACGCAGGACCUCCUCACGGUGUUGAACGACAUUCCGUUCUCCAUCCCUCCGUAUUUCGCCCUCCUCGGCCGCGCCGUCGUCACCCUAGAAGGCAUCGCGCUCAUCGGGAACCCGGACUACAGGCUCGUCAUGGAAGCCUACCCUUUCGUCGCGCGAAAGCUCCUCCGCGAAGAUCGACCCGCCGCGCAGCGCGCGCUCCAGGAGGUGCUCUACGCCUCCACCGUCGGCGGCGGGAACAUCCUCCAAGGACAGCGCCUCGCCGUGAUGCUCAACAGCGCGAUGGGCGUCGUCGCGAGAGACCAGAGCGAGGGCGCGUUCGUGGACCUCGACACGAUCCCGGAGGACUCCAUCUCGCUCGAGACGGGGGUGCGAUACCUCCUCUCCGAACGCGCGGAGUCGCUGCGGAAGGUGUUGGAGCGCGAGGCGAUCGGCGCCGCGGACGUCUUGUUGCGGCAGGGUGCGCGAAAGUCCGGGGGGCGGAUCAUCGCCGCGUUGCCGCAGCCGCCGUCGCUGCCGUUCGACCUGCCGUUCGUCGGGAAGCUGCCGAAACCUGAGGACCUCCCCGGGCCGAUUUUGGUUCCGAGGAGCGCCGCGUCGGGGCUGCCGCCGACGCCGGCGCUCGCUAGCCCGAACGAAGUCCUCGACGCGAUCGCGCCGAGGCUCACGCGAGAGGAGGAGCUCUUCGCGAUCUCGCUGACGGACCUCGCGCGCGGGAGCCUCGGCGACGACGCCGCGGUCGUCCUCUCGGGGGACGCGCUGCUGGAGCCAGAGGCGGUCGCGUCGCUUCUUCUCGGGGUGUUGGCGACCGGACGCACGCCCGUCGGGGAUUCGCCGCAACUCGCCGCGUUGGCGAAGAGCGUCCGGGAGCGACUGCUUCCCGCCGCGAACGCCGCAGACGCGGACGCUGACGUGGCAAACGCGGCUAGCGGCGCGAACGACGGGUUCGAGGAGCUCUCCGCCGCGGUGCGAGAUCUCACGCCGGAGGAGAGCGCGGUGUUGAGCGCGACCGCGCAGAGCGUCGCGGACGCGCUGUGGGCAAAGCUCGUGGCGAGGAUGGAAGAGGGGUUACUGUCGCCGGAGCAACGGGGCGCGGGCGCGAGCGGUCGGUCGACGACGGUCGAAGGCGGCGGGGGCGGCGUCGCGGCGAACGCGGCGAACGGGUCGACGAUCAGGGGGGGCGUCGAGGUCGCGGGCGAGGCGGUGAAGACCCCUCUUGAGCCGGUCGUCGCGAUGGCGCGGUGACGAGAGACCGGUUCGAGAGACCGGUUCGAGAGACCGGUUCUCUCACGGCCGGGAAGUACUGUACUUCCGGAAGUGCUUCUUUGUACUCGUACCUGUAACGCUCGCGCUUGAAUUAAUAAUGCAAUUCCAUUCAUCGUUCACGACGGCGCCGCGCCGCGCCGCUCCGCUCGCCGCGUGUACUCCACUCCGCGCGUCGCCGCUACCGCACCGCGCCGACCGCGUAUCGGUACGCCGCGGACCGGAACACAUCCGCGUGCGCGCGCACGCUCGCGUCCGGCGGGCGCGAGUACCCCCCCCCCAUCGUCACCACCAGCGGCACGUGCGCGCUUCUCUCUCCUGUUCGCUUUUCCUCUCCUCCUCCGCGCGCUUUUCCUCUUCUCAAGCACGCGUCGUAGACGAGAUGGUUUCGUCGCAGGAGCCCCUCUCGCGACAUCCCCAGCCGCCCGAACGCGUCGUCCCUCAGCGCGUCCACGCCAGCCUGAGGGUCGAGGGUACGCGCGAGCGAACGUCGGGGCGGAGUCGUGAGGCGUCGCGGCGCGUCGGGAUAUAUAUAACGCGAGGGGCGGGCGGGCGAGAGAAACGCAAACGCAAACGCACGCCGGGAAAUGAAAGUCCUUAAGGAUCGGCGUGCACCGCGCGAACGGGGUCGUCGUGCGGGGACCAGUGUGAAGAGAACGAACGCACCUGAAAGAACACGAGCUGCGGGUCGUACGUCUCGAACAGAAACGGUAUCCACUCCUCGAAGACUUUCACGCACUGGUCGUCGGACGCGUCGUCGGGGAGCUCCACGUCGUGCGUGGAUCUCAUCUUCGUCUUCCAAGGGUAGUUCUUCUCGCCGUGCGCGCUGAAGGUCACGACGCGCGGGUCGUCCUCGAAGAUCUUCGCCGUGCCGUUCCCUUGGUGCACGUCCAGGUCCACGAUCAGUAUCGGCGUCUUCGAUCUCGCGCUGAGCAGGUGGUCGUACUCUCUCAGCGCCAUCGUCGCCGCGACGGCGAUGUCGUUGAAGACGCAAAACCCCUCCCCGGCGUCCGCGAACGCGUGGUGCGUGCCCCCCGCGAUCUGCGCCGCGCAUCGGUGCGCCGUGUUCGGCGCCAACACGUCGCGCGUCGCCGCGACGGUGCCGCCCGUGGACGCGAGCGAGCGCGUGACGCUCGACGGAUGCAUCGGGAAGCCGAUCGCGCGCGUCUCCUUCUCGGUGAGCUCGCAACGCAGCACGCGAUCGACGUAGCCAGAUUCGUGGACGGCGAGGACGUCGGCCAGGUCGACUUUCUGUCGGUCGUCGCGCGGGGCGCGGGGUCGCGUGGGGGGGGGCGGGGGUCAGGGUCGUCGCGGGCGGUCGGCUCGGCGCCGUGGAGAGACGACGACGACGACGACGACGACGACGACGACGACGACGACGACGACGACGCGAAGCGAUCACGCGCCGGGGACGGCAACAGCUCCAGCUUCCCCGCGAGGCUCGCGUCCGCUUCCAGCAGCAGCCGCGUCGCCUUGUACUUCUCCAUCGGGAACCGGUGGUUGUCCGGGAGGAUGACUUCCGCCCAGUCCGCGUAGUACGUCCGCAGCGGCGGCGGCGGCGACGAUGACGACGACGACGACGCGGUCGCGGACGUCGACGCGGCCGCGACGUUUUCGCCCGUCGUCGCGCAUCGGAUCCCUCCUCCUCCUCCUUCCCUCCGCGCGCGCUGCGCGACGCGCCGCGCGACGCCGUGAUGCGCGCGGUGACGAACGAGCGACGCGAAGAGCGCGACGCUCAGCCCCGCCGCGCGCAUGGUGACGCGAGCGCGCCGCGGCGUGUGACGACGUCGAGCGAGCGAAGGUGAUCCUUCAGUAGUUCUUUUCUUCGUGUCGGAGUUUUCGAGAGAUACCUGUAGGAGCGUGCGUGGGAUCAGAUAAUACUGUAAACGUGCAACACAGCCUACGCCUCCGCGACCCCGGGGCCCGCGCCGGGCCCCGACCCGGUGUCCGGGUUGUCCUCGAUCCCCAUCAGCUUCACCGCGAACUGCAAGUCCGACCCCGCGAACGGAUGGUUCGCGUCCAAGACGACGAACCCUCUCUCCUCGUCCAGCUCGCGAAUCACCGCGGCGUUUCCGUUGGACAGCGCCACCUGGAGCGUCGGACGCGAGGUGGAGGACAACGAUUGGUUAGCAUUCGAUGACGUGUACACAGUAUUCGGUGACGUGGAAGAACGCGCGGUCGCGAGGCGCAUCAGACGCGCGGGAGGGAGGGAGUCGGUCGGCACAGCUCGCGCACCGUCGCGCCCGGAUGCAGCCCUCCCUUCCCCGGCUGGUCCAGCUCCUCACGCAGUCGCGCCACCUCCGGGUGACUCGUCGGCACCUUAAACAGUAAAUUCGGGUCGUACUCGCCCCCGGACGCGCUCACGAGCGCCUGGUCGCCGACGACCAUCCCUCGGACAGCCUUAUCGAACGCGAGAAACAGCGGAUUUCCCAUCGCGCCCGACGCGCCGAUCUCGAACGUGAUCGGAUCUUCCAUGUCCUCCAUCGACUGCAAGAGCUCCCCGUCCUCGGUCUGCGCGGAGAAGACGAUGGAGACGAGGUCACCCUCCUCGGGCUUGCGCCCGUCCGCGGCGUCGUCCUCCGUCGGGAGCUUCGAGACCGCCAUCGUCGUCGUGAACCCCUUGACUUUCUGGCGGACGUUCUGAAGCAUAGGCGCCUCGAACGUCUCCGCGUCUCGCGGAUCGGACGACGACGACGACGACGACGACGACGACGACGACGACGACGACGACGAGGGCGNNNNNNNNNNNNNNNNNNNNNNNNNNNNNNNNNNNNNNNNNNNNNNNNNNNNNNNNNNNNNNNNNNNNNNNNNNNNNNNNNNNNNNNNNNNNNNNNNNNNNNNNNNNNNNNNNNNNNNNNNNNNNNNNNNNNNNNNNNNNNNNNNNNNNNNNNNNNNNNNNNNNNNNNNNNNNNNNNNNNNNNNNNNNNNNNNNNNNNNNNNNNNNNNNNNNNNNNNNNNNNNNNNNNNNNNNNNNNNNNNNNNNNNNNNNNNNNNNNNNNNNNNNNNNNNNNNNNNNNNNNNNNNNNNNNNNNNNNNNNNNNNNNNNNNNNNNNNNNNNNNNNNNNNNNNNNNNNNNNNNNNNNNNNNNNNNNNNNNNNNNNNNNNNNNNNNNNNNNNNNNNNNNNNNNNNNNNNNNNNNNNNNNNNNNNNNNNNNNNNNNNNNNNNNNNNNNNNNNNNNNNNNNNNNNNNNNNNNNNNNNNNNNNNNNNNNNNNNNNNNNNNNNNNNNNNNNNNNNNNNNNNNNNNNNNNNNNNNNNNNNNNNNNNNNNNNNNNNNNNNNNNNNNNNNNNNNNNNNNNNNNNNNNNNNNNNNNNNNNNNNNNNNNNNNNNNNNNNNNNNNNNNNNNNNNNNNNNNNNNNNNNNNNNNNNNNNNNNNNNNNNNNNNNNNNNNNNNNNNNNNNNNNNNNNNNNNNNNNNNNNNNNNNNNNNNNNNNNNNNNNNNNNNNNNNNNNNNNNNNNNNNNNNNNNNNNNNNNNNNNNNNNNNNNNNNNNNNNNNNNNNNNNNNNNNNNNNNNNNNNNNNNNNNNNNNNNNNNNNNNNNNNNNNNNNNNNNNNNNNNNNNNNNNNNNNNNNNNNNNNNNNNNNNNNNNNNNNNNNNNNNNNNNNNNNNNNNNNNNNNNNNNNNNNNNNNNNNNNNNNNNNNNNNNNNNNNNNNNNNNNNNNNNNNNNNNNNNNNNNNNNNNNNNNNNNNNNNNNNNNNNNNNNNNNNNNNNNNNNNNNNNNNNNNNNNNNNNNNNNNNNNNNNNNNNNNNNNNNNNNNNNNNNNNNNNNNNNNNNNNNNNNNNNNNNNNNNNNNNNNNNNNNNNNNNNNNNNNNNNNNNNNNNNNNNNNNNNNNNNNNNNNNNNNNNNNNNNNNNNNNNNNNNNNNNNNNNNNNNNNNNNNNNNNNNNNNNNNNNNNNNNNNNNNNNNNNNNNNNNNNNNNNNNNNNNNNNNNNNNNNNNNNNNNNNNNNNNNNNNNNNNNNNNNNNNNNNNNNNNNNNNNNNNNNNNNNNNNNNNNNNNNNNNNNNNNNNNNNNNNNNNNNNNNNNNNNNNNNNNNNNNNNNNNNNNNNNNNNNNNNNNNNNNNNNNNNNNNNNNNNNNNNNNNNNNNNNNNNNNNNNNNNNNNNNNNNNNNNNNNNNNNNNNNNNNNNNNNNNNNNNNNNNNNNNNNNNNNNNNNNNNNNNNNNNNNNNNNNNNNNNNNNNNNNNNNNNNNNNNNNNNNNNNNNNNNNNNNNNNNNNNNNNNNNNNNNNNNNNNNNNNNNNNNNNNNNNNNNNNNNNNNNNNNNNNNNNNNNNNNNNNNNNNNNNNNNNNNNNNNNNNNNNNNNNNNNNNNNNNNNNNNNNNNNNNNNNNNNNNNNNNNNNNNNNNNNNNNNNNNNNNNNNNNNNNNNNNNNNNNNNNNNNNNNNNNNNNNNNNNNNNNNNNNNNNNNNNNNNNNNNNNNNNNNNNNNNNNNNNNNNNNNNNNNNNNNNNNNNNNNNNNNNNNNNNNNNNNNNNNNNNNNNNNNNNNNNNNNNNNNNNNNNNNNNNNNNNNNNNNNNNNNNNNNNNNNNNNNNNNNNNNNNNNNNNNNNNNNNNNNNNNNNNNNNNNNNNNNNNNNNNNNNNNNNNNNNNNNNNNNNNNNNNNNNNNNNNNNNNNNNNNNNNNNNNNNNNNNNNNNNNNNNNNNNNNNNNNNNNNNNNNNNNNNNNNNNNNNNNNNNNNNNNNNNNNNNNNNNNNNNNNNNNNNNNNNNNNNNNNNNNNNNNNNNNNNNNNNNNNNNNNNNNNNNNNNNNNNNNNNNNNNNNNNNNNNNNNNNNNNNNNNNNNNNNNNNNNNNNNNNNNNNNNNNNNNNNNNNNNNNNNNNNNNNNNNNNNNNNNNNNNNNNNNNNNNNNNNNNNNNNNNNNNNNNNNNNNNNNNNNNNNNNNNNNNNNNNNNNNNNNNNNNNNNNNNNNNNNNNNNNNNNNNNNNNNNNNNNNNNNNNNNNNNNNNNNNNNNNNNNNNNNNNNNNNNNNNNNNNNNNNNNNNNNNNNNNNNNNNNNNNNNNNNNNNNNNNNNNNNNNNNNNNNNNNNNNNNNNNNNNNNNNNNNNNNNNNNNNNNNNNNNNNNNNNNNNNNNNNNNNNNNNNNNNNNNNNNNNNNNNNNNNNNNNNNNNNNNNNNNNNNNNNNNNNNNNNNNNNNNNNNNNNNNNNNNNNNNNNNNNNNNNNNNNNNNNNNNNNNNNNNNNNNNNNNNNNNNNNNNNNNNNNNNNNNNNNNNNNNNNNNNNNNNNNNNNNNNNNNNNNNNNNNNNNNNNNNNCGACGCGCAAGAGCGAGCCCGCGCACGCGACACUGUACUGCGCGCACGAUAAGGCGCGUUAAUCCUCGCUCCGUCGCUCUCUUCUUCUUCUCCAUCUUCUUCUUCUCCCCCGCGCGCGCGACGACGACGCGCGACCCUCGCGCGCGCGAAGAAGAAGAAGAAGAUGAAGAAGAAGAAGUGAGCGACGAAGCGAGGAUUAACGCGCCUUAUCGUGCUCGCAGUACACCGUCGCGUGCGCGGGCUCGCCCUUGCACGUCUCGCACAGUCGCACGCGCUGAUGUUUCCACGUGAGCUUGUUGUUCGAGUGCGCGCCGACAUGCAUCUGCGCGUCGCACGCGGAGCACAGGUUCGCGGCGUCGUUGAAGCAGUAUAUCGCCGCCUCGGAGGUGUUACAGAGCGCGCAUAUGACGCCCAUCGCGAUAUCUCGCGAGGCCGCGGCGGGGGGUCGAUCCGGUCGCGGGGGUCGCGGGGCGCUUUAUUUCCCGCUGAGUAGGGAAGGCGACAGCCGCGCGAGAUUCGCGAUUUUCGAUGCGCUCGGCGCGGCGCGGACGCGGCGUUCGACGCGACGCGCGAUCGCGCGCGUGCCUCCCCCGGCGGUCGACGCGAUCGGUGAGACGCCGAUCGAACCGAGCGCGCGGUCGCGCGCUUUCGCCGUCGCGCGCGUCGCCGAGUGCGCGCGCGCGACCGGGAUGAUUUUGCACCCGGGGUCCGCGCGAAAAAAUAAAGUCAUCCGCCAGCUGGCCUAUCCGAUCCCGGGGUCGCGUAUCCGAUUCUCGUUUCCUCGGCAUUCCGCGCGCGCGUACGCGUUUCUAGUCUCAGAACGGCGUACUUCCGUACUACGCGCGGCGGGGCGACCUGCAACGCCUGAGAAAACGCUUCGCCUCCUCGGAUGUCGCGUCGUUCCAUUUCGUCGCGCUCGCGUCCUCCGCACCUCGACACGCCUCGAUGGCCGCCAAGAGCGUAAUUCACGAUCGCCUGAGAGCGCGAUGGGCGAAGCAGGGCGGCGGCCCGGAGAUGGAGGCGAGGCUGCGCGCGGCGAAGGAGGAGCUCGCGCGGCGCGAGAAGGUGGCGAGAGCGCGCGCCUCCGGGACGUCGCUUCCCGAGUCGAUGCUGACGCCGACGCGAGAUCCGGCGACGGUCGCGGCGACGGACGCGGGCGCGGACGCGUCGACGCCGCCGAAAACGCCGCAAAUUUCCGUCGACGCCAUCAUGGAGGAAGCGAGAGAGGAGAUCGCGAAGCGCGUCGAGCGCGCGCGGACGGAGGGCGUCCGGGAGGGAGACCCGCGAUUGAUUCAUCCCGACGACGACGACGAAGAGCUCAAGGCGCUGGAGGCGGGCUGCGUCGUCGUCGGCGGCGAGAAGACGCGCGUCUUGACCCCGCCGGAGACGAUCGACCCCGCGCAUCCGAUCGCGCGGUUGAAAGACGACGCGAACGCGGCGCUGCGGCGCGGCGAGUACGAGCUCGCGAAGGCGCUCUACGACGAGGCGCUCGCACCCACCGGGGAGAAGAAGACGGCUCUCGGCCUGCUCCCCGCGGACCUCGCGGGCGUCCUCCUCAGCAAUCGCUCGAAGGCGCGCCUGCUGUUGGACGAGCCGGAGAUCGAGCUCGCGUGCGCGGACGCCGUCGCCGCGUGCGCGCUGUGUCCGAACUGGGCGAAACCGCGCGCGCGGCUCGCGGAGGCGCGAGACCGCUUCCCGCGCGACCCCGUUCGCGCGUCGCGUCGCGCGUCGUUUCGUGAGAAGUUCUACUUUUUUUUCGCUUUCGCGCGGUGGCACCCUCACGAUUUGACACGUGGCAAUUUCUUUCAUCCACCAAUCACACUUCAACACAUCUGACACGUGUCUUCCCUCGGCCUAUCGAAUCAUCCGAAGGCGCGCGCGCUCGAGGGCGCGUACGCGCUGGCGAUGAAAGCGUGUCGCGAGGGCGAGGCGAUCGCGGCGCGGUGCGGGGAUAAGUCGCGGCCGUUCGAGAAGCUGAUCGACGAGAUCGCAUUGAAAGCGGCGCGGGAUGGAAGCGUCGCCGGGUUCGACGGGAGGUACAUAUACGUUCGAAGCGCGGGCGAAGAAGCCUGGCUCGGUGCGUUUUUUUUUUGAAAUUUUUUUGUCGUAAAGUUUGGUCGUUUUCUGAUCGGUCGCGCUGACGACCUCUCUCCACCCACUCGCGCAGGCAAACGCGCGCCGGAGAACCCCGCGUUCGACGCGGACGACGACGGCGACCGCGAUCGACCUCGGCCGGACGACCCCAAGGCCCCGAUCCACGCGCGAUCGAUCGCAGAGGCGAUGGACGCGUGCGAGGACGGCGACGUCGUGUUGCUUCUUCGCGGCAUUCACAACGGGCUCGGCCAGGCGUGCCUCGUGGACAAGCGGAUCUUGAUCCGCGGCGAGGGCGCGCUGAAAGAGGCCACCGUGGACUGUCGAUCGAACGUGCCGCUGUUUCGCGUGACGCGACCGUGCGUGAUUCAAAACGUCGACGUCGACUUCACCGGCUUCAGUCAGGUAAAGUUUUUCACCCAUCGCUCGGUUUCAACAUUUGAUCGUGAGGGUCCCUUUCAACUGACCGGUGAACAUUUUUUGUAUGGAAUCGCCCUCAGGCGAUUCACGUCGAAGGCGGCGACGCCGUCGACGCGCUCAUCGAGAACUGCCGGAUCAAAGCCUCGGGCGACGACGGGAUUUGCGUCGACGGCAGCGCGAGGCCGACGUUUCGAAACUGCGACGUGACGGGCAAGAAGAGCGCGCUGCGAACGAUGGGCAACGCGCGCGCCGAGCUCGUGGACUGCAAGCUGCACUGCUGCGAGACUUCGGGGGUCAAGACGUUCGGCGAGUCGCGCGCGACGCUCCGCGACUGCCACAUCGAAAACUGUCAACACGAGGGCGUCGUCGCGAUGCAGAGGAGCACGGUGCACAUGGAGAACUGCGUCGUCGUGGACAACAAAGGGCCGGGCGUGGACGCCUCGGACGACGCGCGCGUCGUCCUCGUCGACGUCGUCGUCGACGACAACGUCGGAGGCGUCUGGUUAUGGGACCACGCGUCGUGCGACGUCCGCGGCGGCGUCGUGCGAGGCGGCGCGUCGCACGCGGUCCUCGCGGACGAGGAGACGACGCCGCGGUUCGGACGCGGCGCGAGAAUCGAGGGCGUCGUCGAGGCGACGGCGAGGGCGCGCGAAGACGUCGCGCCGGGACGAGAUGGCACCGUCGCGUUGACGCAUCCGGCGAAGCCGACGUCGUUGCCGCCGGACUCGGGGUGUUUCGCGUUCGAGUACACGAUGUUCGACCGGAAGCAGUGACGGACGGACGGAGAAGGACGGAGAAGGACGGACGGACGCGCGAAGAAGAGGAAGCGAUGGACGCGCGCGAGGUGCGACGACGAGACGACGCGACGCGUAGGACUGAAGUACGAAAGUACUUUCAAGUACGAUGUUGAUUUUGUUUUGAUUUUUGGCGACGGACGCGACGCGCCGCGCCGCCCGUCCAGUCUACGUACAAAACACAGUAACCCCACAGUAAUACCAUACCCCCCUCCCUCCCUCCCUGCCUCCCUCCUCUCAACCCCCGUCCGGACCGAAGUACUCCACCGCGUCCUGCCACAGCGCGGGCGGAAACCGCGCGGCGAACCCAAACGCGGGACACAAUCCCUCCGCCGCCGCCGACGACGACGCGCCCGACGCUCUCGCGUCAAUCUCCCUCGCCGCGAAACCGCGCACCGUCUCCAAGCUGAGCUCAUUCGCGAUCAGCGCGCGGUUCGUGCCGUGCCCGAACGCGACGGCGACGAGCGUCGGGAACAGCACCGCGAUCUUCCGCGAAUCGCUGUAAUACUCGAACGGCAGAUCCGGCAGCCGUUGCAUCAACGUCGGCGCCCGGCCCCAACACAGCAUGUCUUGGUUGGACGGCGAGAGGAGGGCGAACGCGCCGAUGAAGAGUACGGUCUGGUCGAGAAGCUCCGCGAGCUCUUCCACGGUCGCGCCCGCGUUGUCGCUGCCGCCGUGGCGCGCGCGACGGCCGUCUUUCGCGACGCCAUAUUCCGAGGCGUCGUCGUUUUUAUCCCCGGCGCCGCCGCCCGGGUUGUUUUUCCGCUCGCGAUCCGCGCGCGCCUUCGCCGCCACCGCGCUGUCCCACUCGCUCGCGCACAGGGCUAAUAUGAACGACAGCAAGUGAUGCGUCUCCACUCUCAAGUCCGGCGACGACAGCGCGUCUUGCGCGAUCUCCGGGCCGAACCGCGCGGUCGCGUUGAGCAGACGCACCGCCGCCGCGGCGACGGGGACGAAAUUCGACGGCAGCUCGCGCGCCGCCGCCGCGGGGUCUUGCAGCACCGGCGUCCGCAGCGUCGCCUCCGUCUGCAGCAGCACCGAGGUGAGCAGCGACGGAAGCCCUCCCAGCGCGGUCUCCUUCAGCGCGGCGAUCAGCGACCCGGCCGGGGACUCGCCCUCGCGAAGAUUUAUCGUCUCCGGCUCCACCGCGACGUUAUAGCGGUCGACGCCGCCGACGAGCUCGCGGCCGGGCGCGGGCGCGCGCGCGUCCAACAGAGCCUCGAGGAGCCUCAGGCCGGCGAGAAUGCCGGGCGGCACCGGCUCGACCGUCGCCUUCGGGCGGUCGUGCAGCGCGAACAGCGACGCGAUCGCGUCGACUGCGCCGGACGUCACGAGGAGCUCGACAAAGUCCGCGGACAUCGCCACGACGCGCGCGCACUGCGCGCGCGCCGACGCCGACGCGGGCGCGGGCGCGGUGAUCUUCUCGCGCGCCGCCGCGGCUUCGCACCCGAUCGCCUCCACGCCGCCGUCGUGCGACGCGGCGGAAGACGAGACGACGGCGGCGGCGACGUCCUCGGCGGCGUUCGUCGGGCUCGCGCGCGCGAGCGACCUCGGCGACAGCACGUCCUCGAACGACGACGACGAACCCCCGCCGCCCCCGCCGCCGACGCCGACGCCGCCGACGCUCACCCCCUUCGGCCCCCGCACGACGCGCGCCACCACCGCCAUCAUCGGCUCCAACGCCGACGUCGGCGGCGGGAUCCCCCCGCCCGUCCCGGGCGUCGCGUACUCCGCGUUCGCGGGAUCGCCGAGCCACCCGAGCCCCGCGACGAGGUGCGGCACCAACGGCGACGCGAGGUUCUCCGCGAGGAGGUGCUCGCACGCCGUCGCCGACGCCGCCGUCGCCGCGUCCAGCGCGCGCGCGAGGCUGACGCACUGCGCCGCCGCCGCGGGCGACGCCGCGAACCCGCCGCCGGUCGCGGAGGAGUUGAGCGACUCCGCGAGCGCCUCCGCGAGCGCGCGGACGAGACCGGAGGUGACCGCGGCGGCGAGCGCGGCGGACGCGGCGGCGGCGCCGGCGGCGCGCGCGGACCCGGAUCCGGACCCCCCGGAUGCGUUUUCGCCGCCCCCCGCUCUCGCGGCGUCGCCGCCAGCCUCGGCGAGCGCUUGCAUAACGUCGCGGUGCGCGUGCGACAGCGACUCGGGCUUGCGCUUGGAGAUGGCGAGCGCGACGCGCUCGAGCCGCGGGCGCGCGGCGUCCGUCGCGGGCGGAAGCGGCGCGUACCCGACGUCGUCGUCGGCGGCGGCGGCGGCGGCGGCGGCGGCGGCGACCGACGACGUCUCAUCCUCCGCCGUCGCCGCCGCCGCGUUCUCCCUCUCCGCGUCCGUGGGCCAUCGCAGCGGCCCCGCCGCGUUCGCGAGCCGCUGCCUGAGCUUCUUCGCGCGCUUGCGCAUCGCCUUGUGCCGCUCCGCGGCGGCCGCCGCCCGCGCCAUCUCGCGCUCCAUCCCGCCGGGGAAACCGCCGCCGCUCUCCCCCGCGCCGCCGCCGCCUCGGACGCGCGACGGCGACUCGGGCGCGCCGCCGCCGCCGCCGCGUCCCGGGGACAUCAUCGCGCCCGACCCGCCGCCGCCGCGCGCGGGCGACGCCGGCGGCGACGUCGCGGGCCGCAGGGUUGAAUCCUUCCCCGCGGAGCCGAUCACCGCGCGCUCGCGGACGACGUCGAGGUACUCCCGCCGCCGUCGCUCGGCGGCGAACAGCCGCCGUCGCAUCUCGUCCAACCGCUCCUCCGCGCGCUUCUUCGCCUCGCGCUCCCUCGCGACGCGCGAACGCUCCUUGUCCUCCGCCUCGCGCGCGCGCCGCUCCUCGUGCGCUGUGGCCGCAGCCUCGCGCUCCGCCGCCUCCCGCUCGCGUCGGAGCUCCUUCUCUCGGACUUUCUCCUCGAGCGUCGACCGCUUCGCGGCUUGCUCCGCGGCGCGGCGUUCCUCCGCGGCGCGCGCCGCCGUCUCCGCCGCCUCCGCGGCGCGGCGCCGCUCCUCCGCUUGCGCUGCGCGUCUCAGCUCCGCGGACGUGAGCUUAUCCCUGAGCGCCGCCUUCUUGUUCUCCACCUCGAGCGAGUUGUAAAACGCAAUCUCCUCAACCUUUCGCGUCUCCUCGCUCGCCUUUCGCACAACCGCGCUGAUGCGCUCCUCGCGCGUUUCCUCCGCUCUGCGAUGCCGCGCCUCGAGCUCGAGCGCUCGGAGCGCGAUCCUCCGCUCCUCCUCCUCCUCCCUCUCGCGCGGCGUCGGCGCGGUGAACUUUCUGCGCGCCGCGCGCUCCGUCUCGACGCGUCUUCGGAGGUCCUUGGCGCGUUCGUGCCUCUCGCGCAUCGCCGCCGCCGUCUCCAUGGGCGUCUUCUUCUUGUUUCGAUCCGGGGACAUGAGCUUGAGGUGCAACUCCGCGGGCGACUUCCCGCGGUUGAUGAGACGCGCCGCGAGCGCAGCCUGCGCGCCCGUCGGGUCGAGGAUGUUCCCCCAGUUCCGCUUCUCGCCCCACGCGGCGGCGGGCGGCGGCGCGUCCUCGUCCUUCAGGUCCUUCUUAAGGUCCUUCUUCUCCAUCUUCGCAUUCGCCGCCUCUUCCUCCUUCUCGUCGCCGCCGUCGAAGGACGCGUCCGCCAUCACCGGCGGGAGGUCGUCGGACUCGUCCGCCCACGACGCGUUCGCUUUCGCCGCUGAAACGCGCGGCGGGGUCGCGUUCGCGUUCGUUCGCGCCGGCAGCUCCGCCGGCGACGACGGCGAGCGCGGAAGCGGCGGUUUCCCGGGCGGUUUCGCCGCCGCGCCGCUCGCCGCCGCGCUCGCCGCCGCGCUCGCCUUCGUCGUCGCCGCUCCCGCGCUCGUCUUAGAAGACGCGAUCGCGGCGGACUUCUCGAGGUCGGAAUCGCUCGAAGACCGGUUGGGCGCGACGUUCGAAGAAGACCUGUGCGCGUUGUGCUCCGCCGCGCGCGCUUUUUUCCUCUCCUUUUUGCUCAUCGCGCGGGGUCCCGCGGCGUUUGCGGCGGCGGCGGCGGCAGCCUUCCCGUGACUGCCGUUCGCGUUCUUCCCCGCUCGCCCGCGCGCGCCCGCGGUCGUCCACUCUCCGCCGCCGCCGUCCUCGUCGUCGCCGCCGCCGCCGCCCUCGCGCUCGCCCGGGUCCGGCGUCCGCCCGCCGUCGCUCCUCCCCGUGAUCUCCUGAAUCAUCUCGUAGUGCCGCGCGCUCGGCCGCACGUCGGUUCGUCCGACGUCCCACGAGAUCGCCCUGCUCUCCGGGUCCGCGGCGAACAUCUCUUGCUCCGUGAGUCGCUCUUUCAGGGCGUUGAAGUCCUCCGCGGACUCCUCGAGAAGCCGAACCGCGGCGUCGAUCUCUUCGCCGCCGCACUCGAGCUCGCACAGAAAGUACACCUCGUCGACGGCGCGCACGACGUUGCCGAGGAGAUAGCUCCACAGGCGCUCUCGAAAUUCAGACUGGACGCCGGCGGCGGCGUUCGACGCCGCCGCCGCGACCGCCGCGUCCGCCGCCGCGGUCGUCGUCGUCGUCGUCGCGCCGCCGCCGCCCCCGCCGUCGCCGCCGCCGCCGUCCGCGCGGUCGCGAUCGCCGCCGUCGAGCGACUCCGGCCUCGACCCGCCGUGGAGCGACCCGUGCCGCGACGCCGCGACCGCGCCGAGCGCGUGGACGAGGUCGUCGAGCGACCCGCCUCGGCUGCUCGUGAGCGAAUCCGGGAGCAGGUGCGCGGCGCCGCCGUGGCCGCGGUGGUCGCGCGAAUUCAUCUUCGUGUUCAAAAUCUUCGUCUUCGCGUUCAACGACCCGCCCGCGCCGCCCGCGCCCCGGUUCUCUCGCCCGCCGAGCUCGCGGCGGUCGCGGUCGCGGUCGGGGGUCAUGCCGAGUCGCCGCCGCGCCGCGGGUUCGUCUCUUCCGUCUCUUCCGUCAAACUCUUCGUCCGCGUCGUCGCGCUUCGUCGGCGCUCCGUGUUUUUUUUCGGCGGAGAACAUGUCCCGGAACGACGGCACCGCGAACGACGGCGACGGCGAGCGGCCGCGGUACUUGUCGUUCAAGUUCACGAGCGGCGAGCGGUCGUCCGCACUACUCGAGAGGGCGGCGGCGUGGGCGUUCGGGUGCCGCGCGCCGCCGAUGAUCGCGCCGCGUCCGCGUCUACCGGGGGACGCGCCGAUCCCGCGCGGCGUCGAUCUCGGCGCGCUCGUCGCCGCUCGUUCGAACGCGCGCGUCGAGGCCUGCGGGGGACACACGGAAGGAGGAAGGGAUGGACGUGAAUAAAAGUCCUUAAGAAACGGCGUUCACCACGCGAACGCGGUCGUAUGGGGACCAGUGUCACGUGAGAGGCGGGAGGAUUGCCGGCGCGGAGCGAAGCGACGAAGAACGGCGCUGAUGAGAUCUGGGGACGGGGACGGGGACGGGGACGGGGACGGGGACGGGGGGACGCGCCUCCGCUUCAGACGACCGGGAGCGCUCCGCGACCAUAUCCCAUGCGCGAUGCGAUCGCGCUCGCGUGCCUGCGGAGAGAGAGGAAGAUGGAGAGGAGCGAGCGAGCGCGGACGCGCGGCGACGCGAUGCGAGGAGGAGCGCUGGUCAACUUUAUGUCGAGAAGAUGCGUCGCGUCGGAUGGAUGAUGACUCGAUGGACGUCGAGCGGUCGUCCGCCGCGCGCCGUCGCGCGACGGCUCGAACGACGCGGGGGCAGCGGGGGGGAGGGGGGUCGAGACGCGCGAGCGACGCACCGUUCCCGUCGCGCGCGUCUCCGCUCUCGAACGCUCGCGUCGGGAGGGUGUGACGCCCUCGCGGCGCGCGUCGAGCGCCGAGGGAGGUUUCAAAAACUGACGAACGAGCGGGCGGGAAGGAAAACACCUGAAAACUUUGAAAAUAUCGCGGGAUGUGCUCGUCGAUCAGUUGAAAGAGGAUGCGAUCAAGUGUUGAAGCCGACGGGCGGGUGAACUUGAUCGCGGUUUUCGCACACGCAUUCGAGGCGCGCCGCGGCCGCGCGUUCUUUUGCGGGAAUGCGGGCGAUUGACACUGCAGACAACGCGGCGCACGGCGCCGGCGGGGUGGGGUCCACGGAGAGGACCCCGCGGCGAUAUCGCCCGCUCGCCCGCCUAGCGCUCCUUCGCCAUCAUGCCGAUCUUCGUGCACACCGCGAUGGUGAACAGCGCCGAGCGCCCCGUCAGCGUCGCGGGCGUUCGCCGCGUCGUCUUCGUGCGAUGCGGUCGCCUGGUGCGACGCACGCACUGGACCUCCGGCUCGCUCGAGGACCUCCAGCUCGAGGUGCUCCGCGUCUUCGACGCGCCGCCCGAGCUCAUCCACGCGCGAGGGCGCGAGACCGCGAGCGGGUUCGUGCUCGCGCAGUCGACGCGCGUGAACGCGUACCUCGACGCGGAGCCGCUCGUGCAUCCGGACGACCUAGGACACGGCGCGGUCGUGAGCGUCCGUGACCCGCUGUGGCAGGCGGUGUGCACCGCGUGCGGGGAGCGCGGUUCGCGCGGAGAGGAGGAGCCGUGCCCGCCGAAUUUGCGCCGCGCGUUCGAGGCGUGCGUCGCGAGGGUGCUGAGCGCGCGGCGGCUCCCGGCGAAGGAUCGCGUCUUCCUACUCCUGAACGACCCGACGUCGUCGAGAGAGGCUCUGAUCGCGCAGACGUUCAUCUUGUUUCUCAUCCUGCUGUCCACGAUCACGUUCGUGAUGGAGACUAUUCCGUGGUUCUACGAGGACGACGCGGGAUACGACCACUGGUUCGCGAUCGAGACGGUGUGCAUCGUCUUCUUCACCGCGGAGCUCGGAGGGAGGAUUUGGUCGGCGAGGGAUCGAAAGAAGUUUUCGAAGAAAUUUCUCAACUGGGUCGACCUCGUCGCCAUCCUGCCGUAUUACAUCGAGCUGUUCUCGCGCGGCGGCGCCGAGGUCCCGGGGCUCGCGGUGUUGCGCGCGAUUCGACUCGCGCGCGUGUUCCGCCUGAUGAAAGUCUCGAAGCGGUCGCUCAAGAUGUUGGGGACGACCAUGGUCAAGUCGGGGAAAUCGCUCAACGUCCUGUUCUUCUUGCUCCUCAUCUCGCUCGUCGUGUUCUCCGCGCUCAUGUACUUCGCCGAGCGCGGGAGUUGGGACGAGACCCAAGGGCGAUGGUUCCGAACCACCGGGUACACCUGCUCGGUCGCGUGCAGCGACCAAGGACGGAAGCUCGCGGCGACCUACGUCGCGUGCGGGUACUCCUAUUCCGCCGCCGACACCAAGUCGAUCAAGUUCAACUACCACCGCUUCGGGCAGUACUCGGGCGCGUUCUAUUUCCACACCGGUUCCCAUACGACCGCGUUCACGUUGUGAACUUCAUUCCUUAAGGACUGACUUGACUUUUCCCGGCGAUGCGAUCGUCUCUCUCCGCCCACCCCUCGGUUUCAAUCCCGACACACCACCGCGACGCCUUUCAACUCCACCUGACGCGCCUUUCGACUCCGCCCCGACGUCGCUUUGAACGACGGAACGACCCUCAUCAGACGCGUGCGUCGCCGUCACGGAGGAGUCGCCGUUCCAGUCCAUCCCGCACUCGAUGUGGUUCAGCGCGGUGACGAUGGCGACGUUGGGGUACGGCGACGUGUAUCCGGUCACCGGGUGGGGAUUCCUCGUCGCCGCCGUGCAGAUGUUAUACGGCAUCCUCGUCGUCGCGAUGCCGGUGACGGUUGUCGGGAGCAACUUCACGCAAAUUUACAACCGGCUCUCCGAGCCGAACGCGCUGCUGCCGUUCGAGGGUACUGUGCCGACCGGCAGCGUCGUGCAGCACGGGCUGCACGAGGCGUCCGAGGGCGCGCGCGCGGCGCCGCUGACGCGGUCGUGGCUGUCGCCGCUGUCGCACGAGUGGGACGUGGACUUGCGGUUCGCGGAGCUCUUGCCGUGCAAGGCGCCGGCGAUCGUGCGCGUCUUCGACGUCAAGAAAUCCGCGCUCGUCGGCGGCGGCGUCCCGGGGCUGGACGGGAAGAGCAAGAAGAAGAAGGACAGAGACGGCGGCGGCGACGGCGACGGCGACGACGACGACGACGCGUCGGUCCCGCUCAGGCUCGGGGCCGCGAAGACGGGGUCGAAGAAGAAGCGUAGUAAGACGGACGCGGACGCCGACUCCGACUCGGACGACGUCGAGCAGUACGUGCUGGGCCCGCUGACGCGCAAGUCCGCGUGGGUCCCGGAGCGAACGCUGAAAGGUCAGAAGAUGUUACAGCGCGCGCGGCGAGAGCGCAGCCUUCGCGAGGGGUUGGACUCGGGAGGGCCGGACGACGAGCGAAAGCUUCGGAGGAGCGCGUCGGCGAGGCGCGCGGCGGCGGCGCGGAAUCUCCGCGCGAUCCGCAUGUUCCAACUUGAAUCCUCCGGCCACUCCGACGCGCUCGCGCCGGGGGACGCUUCCUCCGCGGGCGACGUGAAGAAGCCGUCGAGGUUCAAGUCCGCCGCGCAGGCGGUGAUGUUUCUCAACGAGGAGGACGCGAGAUCGAAGGCGCGACGGCCCGAGUGGAGAGCCGAACGCGAGGUGCGUUCUCCUCACACUGGUCCCCAUACGACCGCGUUGGCGAGGUGGACGCCGAUCCUUAAGGACUUUGCCCGGCGUUUCUCUCCGCCCACCCCUCGCUUUCAAUCCCCGCCUUCGACGCCUUUCAACUCCAACUGACGCCUUUCAACUCCACCCCGACGUUCGUUCGUAUGGAACGACCCUCAGCACGAGGAGAUGGAGAAGGACCGCGCGGAGGCUCUGGUCGCGGUCGCGACGACGCUGCUGACCGACGCGGUGCGAAACGUGAACGAUCACAACGACGGCGGGUUAUUCUCCGUGUUUCGCGGCAACCGCGGGCAGGGUCUGUUUGGCGGCGUCGUCGUGGGCGCGGACGGGAAGAGUAAGUGGGUCACGAAACAGAUCGUGCGCGCGGGGGCGAACCGCGACGCGCGGCCGAAGGGCAUCACGGAGGAGAUCGCGUUCGAGGGGGACAAGGGGACGGACGCGGUCGCGGUGCAGUCUCCGUACAGGCAGCUGUCGCGCGGGGGGUUGGGGCGGACGAAGAAGGGCGGCGGCGGCGGCGGCGGCGGCGGCGCGUCCUUCGCGAAGAAGCCGCCGUCGCCGGUGGAGGAGGGGUCCGAAGAAUCCUCGUAACUCGCCGCCGCGAGCGCGGCGGGCGGCGUGUGAGGGCUAUUUAUUAGAGAGCCUACGCUACACGAACUCUGAUGUGCUCUCGUAGAAACGAACGAACGAACGCGUUCUCGUCUCGUCGUCGUCGUCGUCGUCGUCGUCAGUCGAAUCCGAAGCCGCCGCCGCCCUCGGCGCCUCGCAACAAUCGCUUCUCCUCUUGGACCCAGUCCCCGCCGCCUCCCUUCGCCUGCCCGAACGCGCGCUUCUUCUUCUCUUUCUGGUUCCACGACUUGUGGCGCUUCUUCUUCGCGUCGUCCUCCUCGGCGGCGGCGGCGGCCAGCGCGUCGCGCGCCUCGCGUUCCAGCCGUCGUCGAUUCCGGAUCGCCUCUUCCCUCUCCGCGCGGUCGAGCUCCUUCCUCUUCCUGUUCUCCUCCGCGCUCGCGAUCGCGCUCGCGCACGUCUCGUGCAGGCGUUCGUGCGUGAUCGCCCUGAGCUCCUCGCGCGACAUCGUGUCCCUCUCGUUGUCGCCCGCGCGCCCUCGACUCCACUGGAACGACCCCGCGUCCGCGUUCGCCUUCUCCGGGAUCGUCAGCGCGCGCGCGCCCGCGUAGCCGUUCCUCUUCAGCGUCUCGUAAUCGAGCUCCGGCGCCUUCGUCGUCGGGGGUUCCGCGGGCGUCUCCUCCUCGUCGCCGUCCGAGUCCGAGCCGGAGGGGAGCUCCCCGAGCGCGUCCAUGUACGGCGCCAUGGGUCGUCGGGCGCGGGCGAGAUCUGAACGCCGACGCGAGGGAUUAUUUUAUUUGCGAGUUCAGGAGCGCGCGAGCAAUUUUUUGAUCAGAUCGCGGAUGGAUCGCCCUCAACCGCAAGUGCUGAAGGGUCCAAAUGGACCCCCCCGAUGUGUACAUUAAAAAAACAUUCCGGUCCUUUCCUUCCGUUCUCUCUCGCGUCCGUCCGUCGUCUUCUCUCACAGUCUCGUCUCGUCUCUUUCGUUCGUUCGCGCUCGCGACCGGCCGUCGUCGGCGUUUCUCCGACGGCGUUUCAUCGUGUACAGCUGUGCGCGCGGCGUCCUCUCGCGUGAUUCAUUCAUUCAUCAGCGUCGAACGGCAUCCGCGCCGAUGGCGCCCUGCAUCAUCCCCAUCCGCACGCUCGCCGCCGCGUCCGCCACCGCGCCCGGACCGCUCGGCACGAAGAUCGUGUUGUUCCCCUUCGUCGUCCCCAUCUCCUUCAUCGUGUCGAAGUACUGCGUCUAAGGGUCGUUCCAUACAAAGCGACGUCGGGGUGGAGUUGAAAGGCGUCAGAUGGAGUUGAAAGUCAACGCGGGCGGGGAUUGAACGCGAGGGACCCUGGGCGGAGAGAGAGGACGGCAAAUGUCCUUAAGGAUCGGCGUUCACCACGCCGACGCGGUCGUAUGGGAACCAGUGUAAGGAAGAACGCACCAUCAUCAUCAUCUCCAUCACUUGCCCCGCGUUGAUUCCCUCGACGUCGGCGUGGAAGUGUAUGACGCUCUCGCGCAGGCCGUUCAUGAUCGCCUGGCGCUGGCGCGCGAUGCCGGUGCCCGCGAGGUACUUCGCCUCCGCGUCCGCCUCUGCGGCGGUGACGACCAUGAUCUUCUCCGCCUCGGCUUUAUCCUGCGCGGCGACGCGGAGGCGCUGCGCGGCGUUUAUCUCAUUCAUCGCGCGCUUCACCUUCUCAUCGGGGGAGAUGUCCGUCACGAGGGUCUGGAUGAUCGCGUACCCGAACUCGGUCAUCGCCUUCUCGAGCAUGGACUUGACCUCGACCGCGAUCUCUUCUUUCGUCGUGAAGACGUCGUCGAGGUUGAUGCGCGGCACCGUGGAGCGCACGACGUCGAAGAUGUACGAGCGGAUCUGCUCGCGCGAGUCGGUGAGCUUGUAGAACGCGUCGUACAUGCGGCUGGCGUCCUUGAGGACCAUGAACUGCGUGGAGACGAUGAUGGUCACGAAGACGUUAUCCUUCGUCUUCGUCUCGACCGCGACGUCCAGGGAGCGGAUGCGCGUGGAGAUCUUCCCGGCGACGGCGUCGCCGAUGCACGGGCAGACGCAGUGGCAUCCGGGCUCGGCGAACUUGCGGAAUUUCCCCCAGCGUUGAAUCACCUCGACGGUGCCCUGCGAGACGCACGUCCACGGCGCGAGGCUGUCGCACAUCGCGUCGUCGGCGUGUCGAAGAAGAUGGAGGGUUUACGAGCGCGCUCGAGGAGGACGCGGUGGGUGCCGGGGUGGCGGUGCGCGUCGGAGUGCGUCAACGCGGGCCUCGGGGAUCGCCCGAUGACGUAAUAAUAUGCCAGUGUGUCGUUGUCGACGUCACUUCACGCACAGCACCACAGCAGUCACGACCGCGCGACCAGACGCGACGUUCGACGACGACGAAACGUCGCGCCUCGUCGUCGCCGACGGGGCGGCACUCCGCCGCGCCCCCGAGGAAGACGACGCGCGCGCCGUCGCAUCGCGCCGCACCGCGGAAGGAUGGCGACGACGCGCGUCGGCGUCGCGACCGCGCUCGCGGCGCCCCGCGCGAGGACGCGCUCGACGCGACGCGCGCUCGUCGUCGUCGCGUCCGCGUCGUCGUCUUCGCGCGAGCGGAGACGUAAUAAAUAUCUUCGAUGUCAACUCCGCCCGCGAGCAUCGAGCGCGAGCGUUCGCCUCGCCGCGCGCGCGACGACCGACGCGUCCCCCGGCGCGUCGCGCGGCGCGUCGUCGUCGUCGCCGUCGCCGUCGCCGGCGCCGCCGCCGCCGCUCGCGCGCUCGAUGCUCCACCUCGCGAAACGCGCGGCGCUCGCCGUCGCCGUCGCCGUCGCGCUCCUCCUCGGCGGCGCGUCCAGCGCGCUCGCGGGCGCGCCGUUCCACGGGGUACCCGUCGUCUCCUCCGCGAGCGCGACGACCAUUGCCACCGGCACCGCGGUCGCGAACCUCCCGAUCGCCAUCGGCGACGUGGGGUCGAUGGGCGGGCUGACCCCGGACGCGUGGGGGUUACCGUACCGAGGCAAGUCAGCGGCGAUGGGGUUGUUCAUGGCGUCUGCGGGGGUCGUGAUGCGGAUGCUCGUCAACGUCGUCGUGAUAUACGCGAUAUACACGUACUGGAUGGGGGACGAGGACUCGCCGGGGAGGGGCGGGAAGGGCGGGUUCGGGGCGUGAUGAGCGGCGCGGCGCGGUCGACGACGUUUGGAUCUCGCCGCCGCCGCCGCCGCCGCCGCCGCCGCAGCCGAUGUGAAAUUAUUGUUGUAUGAGUAACUGAUGAAUGCCACCUGUAUGAUCAAUAUUGUAUGCGCGUGUGUUAUUUAUGAUAAGUACGUGUACUGUACUGUUCCACCACCCCCCGUCCCCUCGCGAACGAAACGCGACGUGAUCGCGACAACGUACUGUACGUCGCCUCUCAUCAGUCCAAAAACAUCGGCGCCAUGACGAGCGUGAUGGUCGCGAGCAUCUUGAUCAACACGUGAAUGCUCGGCCCCGCGGUGUCCUUGAAAGCGAACGUCGGGGUGGAGUUGAAAGGCGUCAGAUGGAGUUGAAAGGCGUCGAGGGCGGGGAUUGAAACCGUGGCGUGGGCGGAGAGAUGCGCCGGGCAAAGUCCUUAAGAAACGGCGUUCACCACGCGAACGCGUUCGUAUGGGAACCAGUGUAUAGAACGCACCUUGAACGGAUCCCCCACCGUGUCCCCCGUCACCGCCGCCUUGUGCGCGUCGCUCCCCUUGCCGCCGUGCGCGCCCGUCUCGAUGUACUUCUUCGCGUUAUCCCACGCCCCGCCCGCGGUGUUCAAGAAGAGCGCCAUCAGAAUCCCGCUCACCGUCGCGAACAUCAACAUCCCGGCCACCGCCUUGGCGCCGAGGAGCUCCUGAGGGCCAUUCCAUACAAAAAUAGUUCACCGGUCAGUUGAAAGGGACCCACGCGAUCAAGUGUUGAAACCGGGCGAUGGGUGAAACACGUUUGUAUAGAACGCACCUGAGAAGUCGCCGCGCCGACGCAUCGGAAGACGACGCCGACGAGCACGGGCGCGGACACCGCGAGCACGCCGGGCUUGAUCAUCUCUCUGAGCGCGCUCGCGGCGACGAUGGAGACGCAUCGCGAGUAGUCGGGCUUGACCUCGCGCGUCAUGAUGCCCGGGUUUUCGGCGAACUGUCUUCGGACCUCGGUGACGACUUCCUGCGCGCUUCUUCCGACGGCGGUGCACGCGUACGCGGUGAAGAGAUACACGGUCAUCGACCCGACUGAGGGCCGUUCCAUACAAAAACAGUUCUCCGGUCAGUUGAAAGGGACCCACGCGAUCAAAUGUUGAAACCGGGCGAUGGGUGAAAAACUUUUGUAUAGAACGCACCUAACCCGGCGACGAACACCUCCGGAAUAGCGAUGUCCACGACCUGGAACGGCACGCCCGUGAACGCCUGGACUUCGUCCAUGUACGCGGAGAAGAGUAAAAACGACGCCAACGCGGCGCUGCCGAUGGCGUACCCUUUCGUCGUCGCCUUGGUCGUGUUCCCGACGCUGUCGAGCUGAUCCGUGAUGUCGCGGACGCUCUCCGGUUGAUCGGACAUCUCCACGAUCCCCCCCGCGUUGUCCGCGAUCGGCCCGAAGACGUCCAUGGUCAGCACGUACGCCGCAGUCGACAGCAUCCCCAUCGUCGCCACCGCCGUGCCGAACAGACCCCCAGUCGGCGCGGAGGUCUGCGCGUCGACCAACCCGGCGGACUGAGGGGCGUUCCAUGCGAGCGAACGUCGGGGUGGAGUUGAAAGGCGUCAGAAGCGGAGUUGAAAGGCGUCGAGGUGUGUCGGGAUUGAAAGCGAGGGACCCUGGGCGGAGAGACACGUCGAGAAAAGUCCUUAAGGAUCGGCGGUCACCACGCCAACGCGGUC
rnacentral:lncRNA from 1 species